rnacentral:lncRNA from 1 species
AAAAAAAAAAAAAAAAGAGUAAAAGUGAGUGACCAUUUAGAAUAAAAUUGAAUGUGAAAUUAAUGAGUAUGGGAGUUUGGAGAGAGUGGUAGUUAUGAGAUCUUAGUCAAUGUUAGAUUUUGUUCUUAAUUAUCAUAUUUAUUAUAUAUCUCUUUCUUUUUUCAUUGUUUAUUAAAUUUUGUUAAUAUAUAUAGUUUUGUUUUGUUUUGUUUUUAUGCUUGAUAUUGAUUAUAUAUAAUCCUUAAUCAUAAAUAAUUAACAAUUAUUCUCAAUGGUUUUCUCCCUCUCCCUCUCCCUCUGAGCUGUAUAGGCUUAAAUUUUUGUGUUUAAGGUUAAUGCUUUAAAUUGAUGCUUUGAGAGAUUCCCAAACCCUAAACCCUUGGUUUUCUUCUUAUUCUUCUCUUUUUGUAUUUUAUUUGUUUGCUCACAAAAAGCCACACCCAUUUUAUAUCUUUUAGUGGGAAAUAAUUGAACUCAAACAAGUUUUCACAUAUCUAAUAAUAUACCUAUAUUUUAGGUACAGUGUGGUGUAUUGUCAUACCUAAGAAGUAUACUUAAUAAUUAAGAUGUGUAUUAUCGAUCAAUAAAACACAUAAAUUUAAGUUAUGUAAAUAUUUGUAUUGCUAAAAACAUUCUUUUAAGAUAGAGAAGUUCAAAAACUAGAUUCACACAUUUGUCAUACAAAACAUGGACCGAUGAUUAAGGUAUUUCUAUUCUUCUUCUUCUUUUUUUUUUUUUCAAAGUUUGAUUAUGUACACAAAUUGGAAAAGGGGCAACAUUCUUUGUUCCAUUAAACUCUACUACCUUUCUUCGGCUUUAAGUGGAAUUUUAAUUUUAGUAAUGUGUGAUAGGUUUAAAUAUGUUGUAAAUAUAAUAAAAUAAAUUUAUCGUUUAAAAUAAUUUCUUUGUGUUUUUAUUGAUUUUCUAUUAGGAGGGUUAAUUUGAUAUCUUACAUUUCAGACUUUCUUCACCACUAAUAACUUGAUCUAGUGGUUAACAUUAAAAUAGAGAGCAGUGACGAUAAAGUUUAGAAAACCAACCCAAGAAAUUCCCAAAAAAAAAAAAAGAAAAAGGGAAAAUUAAGGAAAUCCAAAGGCAUUGGAAUAAUUGAAAAGAAAGGUGAUGGGCUACAAGAGGUAUAAAAAUAUUAUAGGAUCAUGAAAAGACUUAACAUAAAACCUGAAAGAACUUGUCAAUGUCACUUCGUUACUUCAAAAAAGUUCUUCCCUAUAACAAAAUUUCCCUUUUUUCUUUGAAAAAAAUAUGUAUAAUGCAUGAAAAUCAAUAAUAAAAAAGAGAAGAAGAUUUAGGAAAUUUGAUUGAUUGACAAUUCAAAAAACCCCCUCUCCUUUUUUUGUUGGUCUCAGAAAUCUUUGCAUGUAUAAAGCUAAAACCAGGAGACCAAACAAUGGCCAAUUUAAAAAAUUCAGAAUUUAAAAUAAUGAUCGAUGUGGGAAACAUUAAACACGAUAAUCAAAGCAAAUGCUGGGAUUUGGAUUUGGAUUUGGCUGAUGAGAUAUAUCAGAGAAAUUGAAUAAUCUCUUUUAUGUUUUCUUUUCUCUAAAUUAAACAGAAUGUUCUCUCUCUCUCUCUUGAUUAAUUAAAUUAAUUAAUUUGUUUGUUUAAUUGUUUCUUUUUUAUAAAAAAAUUGGUAUCUCUCUCUAUCUCUCUCUCUCUUUCCCAAUCUCUCAGGGGACAACCAGCAUGUACUCUCUGACUUUGUCUUUUGGCUUUUUUCUUCCAUCUUUAUUUUAGGUUAUUAUCAUUUUCCCCCCUACUUAUUACUACCCAUAUAUUCAUAUAUAGGUUAAUUUCAGUGUUUUAAUAUGUCCAGGUCUUGUUUAUAUUCAUUUCUGAUCCCAUCUUUGAUGUCAAUGAACAUAUAUUAUGAACUAAAAAUAAUGACACGAAAAGAAAUUACAACUUAAUGAAAAUUUUAACCUUGAUGAUAAUAAUAUAUAAUACCUUUUUUUCUUCCUUUUUCUUUUUGGCAGGGGGUAAAAAUUUCCACUUUUUCUCAGUCUCAGCUCUCAGCUUUCUGCUUUCUUUCCAUUGCUUCAAAUGCUAAAUAGUUUUUGGAAACUGAGGUUUGGUUUCUUUGGGGUUUUGUUGGUACUAUUUUUGUGUGUGUUUCUUUGCUUUUGGUAACUUUACACUGUGUAUAUAUUUGAACUUUUUAUUCAAUUUAAUCUGUUGAGUUUCAUUUGUUAACUGUUAGUUUUUUAAAAUUAUGUUGUGAUUUUUUUUAUUAGUCUUUUUUUAAAAAUGAGUUGAUGAAUCAAUCCUGAGUGUAAUUCGUAAAUAAGAUUUUGUAAAACUAUUUUUCAUAAUUACUUAACUCUUAAAUUUAUGUUUAAAUUUAAAAAUUAGAAAACAAAUGAUCAUGAUACGAAGUUCUUAUCUUUUUCUUUUUCUAACUUUCACAGAAUGUAACUUUUUUAGUUUUAAUGUAAAAAGAAAAAAGGUUGUUCUAAUCUUUAUUAUAUUAACCCUUGUUUAUGGAAGCGUUAAAGAAAUUCAAUCAAUCUCACAUCUAGAUUUUGUAAAAUAAAAUUAUGCAAACAAAACAACCUCUAAUUAAUUAAAGGAACACUUUACUAGACACAAAUGUAAAAAAUUGAACCAUACACAUGAAAUUGAAACAAGAAUAUAAUUUUGAAAAGAAAAUAAAUAGUAUUCUCUAACCUCUAAAUUUCAUUUUAUUUAACAUGAAACAAAGUUAAGUAAAUUAAAUGAUUAUUGAUUGAUAACUUAUUACAAUAGGUUUAUCAACAUGAGCUCAACCCGAUUGACAGGAAGAUGAAAUUGUUGUGUUUAAAAGAGACACAACUCAAAGCUUAAACAACCCCAUACCAAAACUUAAUUGUGCAUCAAAACAUCACAUCUCUAUCUCUAUCUUUCUCUCCUCAUUCUUUCUCUUUCUCUCACUUCUUAUCAAUAUAUUACACUGUACUCCCCAAAGUACACAAAAGCCUAACACUCAAAAAGCAUAAAGAAAAAUAAAACCUUUCAACCCUUUUUUCCAUUUUGCAAUUCCCUUAAUCCAAACCAUGACGGACCCAAAUUACUCCUCCAAUUCCUUCAAUUUCAUCCAUCUUCCUCCUUCCAAUUUCCUCCUUUCCCAAUGCCGUCGCCCUACUCCUCCUCCGCCACCGUCAUCUCCGCCGCAAGCCCUCCCUCUCCUCAACACCCUCUCGCCGGAAACCGCCGAUCAUCCCUCCUCCUCCACCACCACUCGUAGUUACGAUGACGAAUCUGCCGUUCUUGCUCUUGACAUCAGCCUCUCUUGCCCUAGCUCCGAUCUAGACUCCUUCUCGCCAGACCCCGGCACCGGGAAAAUAAUCGACGGCGACGUUUCCGACCACCCUUUGCCGAUCUCCGGUAAGGGUCAGUACUGGAUUCCGACCCCAUCGCAGAUCCUCAUCGGUCCUACUCAGUUCUCUUGCCCUCUUUGCUCUAAAGCCUUCAAUAGAUACAAUAAUCUUCAGGUAAAAGUUUUCAAUUCUUUUUUUGGUUUUAGUUUUAUUUAUUAUUUUUUUUCUUGGGGUUUUGAUUUAACGGUUCAAGAAAUGUUCUUUGUGUCUUCCUUUUUGUGUACUUCUUUUGCAAGAUUGAGUUAUUGCAUUGAGACUAUGAGUGAGUGUUUUUCUUUUUCUUUUCUUUUCUUUUGUGGGUUUUUGCUUUUUUGAUCAGUCUGAGAAAUUGAAGUGAUCUGCUGCAAAACAACUGUUUGACAUUUAUGAUUAUUUUUUUUGAGAACGGUGAAAUAGUGAAGUAAUUAUGGGGAGAAGGGGUUUUUUUUCUUUUUGGUGUUUAAAAAUAUUUCAAAAACUUCUCUAAAUGGUAGAAUUGAUUAAUAUUUUCUUUUCAUUCUUUUGGGAUUUAAAGGAUUUGAAUUGAGUUUUGUUAUAAAUAAUAUAUUAGAAUUGUGUUUUUUUGGUUGAUUUCAGCUCUCUUUGAUACGACUUCGUUGAAAUGUAUUCUUCCUUUCCCAUAAUUUUUUAGUGUUAAAAAUUUGAUAACUCAAAAAGUCCAAUCAACCCAACCUUUGGAUUUUCUAUUACCUAAAUAACUUUCUGAUGUUCAUGAGUUUGAUUGGUUUAUAACUUUAAUUUGCCUAAAAUUACUCAAAUUAACCCUAAAACUUAUUAUUAGUUUUCAAAUGUGUAUAUAUAUAUAUUUUUACUUAUUAGAAUAAUAUUAUAUAUUCAUAUAUUUAUUUGAAUGUUGUACUUUUUGUUUGAUGACUUAUUCCCAGCAACUCCUAAAAAUAUUGUUUUUAGCAAUUUAGAAAUAAAAAUUUCAUAAGAUAAAAAGAGAAAAUAGAUUCCAAGAGUUAUUUCAAAUCUUAGUCAACACCUUUAAAAACAAAUAAACAAAAAAGUUUCUUUCUUUUUUCUGGGUUGGGAAAUCUAGGUGAGAUUUUCAAAGGAACUGUUAGUAAAACAAUAUUUGCUUCUUAAAAACUAAAAUGGGAUUAAUUUCUGAAAGCAGAAAGAUAUAUAUAUAUAUAUACAUAUUCACGUUUUCUUUACUAAAAAUGUUCCUCGUUUUUCAUAUCACAGCAUAGGAAAAAUUGCUUUUUCUACUGUUAUUAUUUCAUUCUCCUCUCAUAAUUUUCAUACAUUAUAUCAGAACAAUAGUUAAAAAAUGUAAUAAUAAACAUUCUUCCAUUUUAUUUGGAAGUGUUCUCUUUAGAAAAUAACAGUGAAGGACAAAACAAUAACAUGUUUUAUUAUGAUAUAUACUUUUAAUAAUGUUAUGGAAUGACUAUUUUAUAUGAUUACAUUUUAAGAUAUCUAAUUAAUGAAGAGUCGGGACUGUAUAUAUAAUGAAAAUGAAUUGACAAAAUUAGUUAUAGGGAUAUGUAGAGACGAAAAUGAAAACAAAACCCACCAGUUCAGGAAGUGGCGACGUUUUUCUUUUCUUCUUUUAGAAUAUUAUCUUUUCGGUUCAAAAGUUCUUACGAAGCAUAUGUGCAUUUAGUCUUAAUUUUUUUAGAAUAGAUGUAUUUGUCUCUGAGAUUCAAUAUGUAUAUACUUUUAGUUGUUGAACUUUUUUUUUUUAAUAGAUUUCUUAGACCCUUGAAGUGUUUUUUUUCUAAAAAUAAAAUAACAAAAUAUGCUGUUAAAAGUUAAUAUAUAAGUUAAUUUUAGAGUUAAAGAGAUAGUUCUUUUAGAAAGUAUUUUUUCCAAUUUAAACCAAUAAAACACCUAUCUUAAAAUCGUAGUGGCUAAAAGACGACGUUUUGAGAUGUUCAAACAUGGCGAGAAUGUUGAGAACAAGUUAAUGUAGUUGAUGGAUAUUAAGAUAUACCUAUCUAACCCUCUCAUUCUAAGAAAAACGACAUUUUGUUAUCAUAGUAAUACCGAACACAAGUCCAUAUUUUUCAAAAUUCGAGAACUUUGUUUCAUGAGUUGAUGCUUUUAAGUUAACUAAAUAUGAUUGUUUGACAUGCAGAUGCAUAUGUGGGGACACGGUUCACAAUACAGAAAAGGACCAGAAUCACUCAAAGGCACACAACCAACCGCAAUGCUAAGGCUACCAUGCUACUGUUGCGCAGUUGGUUGCAAACACAACAUAGACAACCCUCGUUCACGCCCACUCAAAGAUUUCCGAACCCUCCAGACACAUUACAAGCGCAAGCACGGCAUCAAGCCUUUCACUUGUAGAAAAUGCACCAAAGCCUUUGCUGUUAAGGGCGAUUGGCGAACCCACGAGAAGAAUUGUGGCAAGAUUUGGUAUUGCUUUUGUGGCUCUGAUUUUAAACAUAAACGCUCCCUUAAAGACCACAUCAAAGCCUUUGGUCGCGGCCAUGGUGCCCUUGGCCUUGAUUACUUUGACGAUGAUAAUGAACCCUCUCCUGAACUCGAUGAAGAUCAUCUCUUUGUUCGCCUUCGUUAAUCACGUCUUCUCUCUCUUUUUGUUGUGUGGUUAAAUAAUAUAUAUGAUGUUUGUUGUUGUAAUUUGUGUUGUGUAUAUGAGGAGGAAGUUGAGAUGGGGGACUGUGAUACAAAGGUGCAAAUUGAAAUAUUGAUUUAGUUGUAAAAUUUUUGAUAUGAUGUCGAUUUUUAUGGCAAUUUAUAAUAUAUGAAUGAACGGAUUAUGACCCUUGAUGUUUGAUCAUAAAUAUGGAAACUCGGUUUCCAUGUAGAUAUUUAAUAUUUUUUUUAUAAGAAAAACGUAGAGUUGUGUGAUUUUGUGUGUUAAUAAAAAUUGUUUAUUAUAGCUCGUUAUCUUUGUGUAUACUACAUCCAAUCAUUUAAUUAUAGUUUGUCACACGAUAAACUUUUAUUGUUUUUUUUGUGUGUUUAUGUAGGAUUAGAGUCGUUGGAAUUAAAUACUCUACCACCUUUAAACAUUGUUCUUUAUUUAUUGUUCGAAUAAACUCGUUGUACUUCCUUUCAAAAGUGUGAAUUCAUAGUAAUAUUGACCUAUAAUAAAUUUAGAUUGGUCCAACCAUUCACUUGUGACCGAUUCAUGAUGUAUUUACUUUUGUGACUUUUUCCUAACCUUUGUCUAUUUCACAAUGUUCAAACUAACUUAUUGCAUGAAAUACCACACAAAGGUCAAUUAGAAAAACAAAAUUAGAAUAAACCAAUUGUGGUUAAGCACCUAUUCAUGUAUGUAGUUAAGGUGGUGUUUGAGGCAAUAAGUAUUUAAGACGUAGUAAUCAUCAUUUACUACAAUAAAUACUAUUUAAAAAUUUUCAAUUACUUACGUUUAACACUAUUUUGAAAUUAAUUUUUUUUAUAUCUUUUGCUAUUUGGUGCAUUUUUUUACUAUUUUAAUUCUAUCAAUUUUUAUUAUUUGGUACAUAAUUUAUUUUUUUCUCAAACUAAAGCAGUUUAUACCUUCGACGCAUAUUAUUAUUAACCAAACUAAAAUAGUUUAUACCUUCAACGCAUAUUAUUAUUAACCAAACUAAAAUAAUAUACGUGAUCGAGUAGUAAGAUAUAAGCCCUAGGGGCAAUAUUGGGAUAUUCUAAAAACAAUAGGGUUAUUAUAGUAAAUUUGUUCCUCGUUCCAGAAUGGGCCGAGGAAAGUUCGUGGGCUUUAUUUAGCCUCUCGUUAUCGGCUCUACUCGAUCUCUAACUCAUCCCUAACCUUGGAAUCUCAUUGUUCUCUGUGAAACGAAAUUGAAUGAGUGCUUCCAUGGCGUUAGCGCCAAGCUUAAAUCACAGCCCCAGGUUUCCACCAUGGAACGGAUCAAAGAUCGUGGCCUGCUCAAACUCAAUCAACCCUCCGAUAAAUUCCACCAGUUUCCAAUCAUCCUCCGUCGCGAAACGCUGCUUACGGUGCCAUACCGUUUACUCGGAUGUCGAUAAUUCUCCUUCCGCUUGCGUCUUCCAUGGCCACAUCACUGGUUCGUAACGUACACUCGAAAUUUUAAAAUUAGGUCUUAGAUGUUUUUCCGAAGAGUGGGGAUUCGUCUUCACAGUUUUUAUAUUCUUUUGAGAAAAGCUUAUAUUGAGGUUGAAAUAGUACGUGAAUCUGGUUUUAUUAAUAGGGGAGAGGGGGUUGUUUGCUUUGUCGCCCCCGCACCAGGGGAUUGACGGUGAAUGGAGUGACGGCUCCGGUGUGAUCGUUUAUAAAUGGAAUGAUAAAUCAAAUCGUCCUAACUCCGGAACUGGCAACUGGAAGAGACGGUGGAGUUGUUGCUCCGAGUACGAUGAACGUGCACCUCCUUGCCGUCGGGGAUGGCACGUUUCUUACGACGAUGGGUUCACUUUGUAUUAAUAGAAUAGAGUGUCGUCUCUGCCAAUAAUUAAUGGCAUUUGUAUAAACCGUAAGAUUGAUGGCAUUCGUAAAUUGCUUGAAUGUUAUAAGAAGUGUAUUGUAAAGUGUAAAUUGCUGGGAUGUUAUGAAAAUUAUAUUACAAACAGAUUUCAAAUACACGCUCCAAACAUUGAAUCUCAAUCAUGUUACAUUACAAAAAUAAUCUCAAUACAGGCAUCAAACCUAAAUUAGGCAUGUAAGGUUGAUCAACCUUGCAUGAAGUAAAGAUGUGAACAUCUAAGCUAAUGUUGUGAAGUUUUAAUCAAAUUUGAGUAACGUUCAAAUUCGCAACUAACAAAUUAAACAUUAGCAUAUAUUUAAUUAAAACUUGCUAAAUUUACACAAGUCAUCUUCCAAAAACAUUAGAUUGUAUGAACAAAAUUCUCAUAAAACAGAGACGAGAGAGAUGAGUGUGAAUGGUGAAAAAAAGCAUCCGAUUCUCAUCAUUCAAGAAUAAGCAUAUAUAUAUAUGUGUGUGCAUAACAACAAAUUCAUACACUCUCCGAUCAAAUCUCCGGUGACGCCACAAAAGCUGCCUAAUACGAUCCCACCGUCUUGAACGAAUCAUGAACAUGCCGGAGCAUAUCCUGGUCCCGAUUCCACUCCGGCGUCGGCGCAUUCACAAAAUGAGCAUACAGCUUGUUCUUUGCACAAGUCACCGAGAUCAAACUAUGAGUUCCGGCGCCGUCGAUCUCGUACACAUAAUAAACCUGUCCAUUCUCAUCCUUCUUCUCUUCCGCCAAGAAGCUCUCGGCGCUCGCGAUUUGAUCCUGCAAAUUCACGUCCGAUAGAGCCAGGUUAUUCAGAAUCACAUCCUUCGGCCCUAAUUGCCGGAUUCCAGCCAGGAAAGUUAGGUAUUCUUUCUCUGAUCGUUUCUUCGGAUUGUAAAAUUCACUAUCGGUUCCGUUGGUACCUGCGGAAAUUAGUAGGUAGAAUUAAUUUUCGGAACGAAUUGAGCUAUUAGAUAUCUUUAAUUUAGGGAUUUUGGAGUACCUUUUUCGACUUUGGAUACUAAUCGCUCUUUCCAUCCUUCCGGCACGUCGUAGAUGUAUUCUGCUGUGUCUUUCUUGUUGGCGUUGCCACCAAGGCCACCGUAGUUGGCGGCGCUGGCGGCAGUGCCAUAGUAGACAUUGAAAGCGGCCCCGGUAUCGGCGAGGGAGGGUGUAGCGGUGCUAAGGAUCGCGGCUACGGCGAUGGCAGUGGCUGCGAUGGAGAUUGGGGCAGUUGAUGAAAGUGGAGGUUUGGAUUGGAGAAUGGGAAUUUGGGGCUUUGGUAACGAUGAAGCUUGCGGUGGUUUUGGGGCGGUUGUGCCGGUGGAGGUUAAGAACGCCAAUGGCGCGAUUGCUGUGGCCAUAGUGAUUGAUUUUCGUGGAUUUGGGCUUCUGGUGUAUCUCCUCGAACAGGAUUUUCUCCUUAUCCAUUCUUUUUCUAUUUUCCUUUAUUUUUCUAAAUCGUUUUUUUUAUUUUUUGAAUUUAUGUACUUUUUUUUCUAUUUUUGUAGAAUCCCAUUUAACUUUAUAACUAACCCCUAAUUUAUGUCUUUACUCUCUUCUAUGGCUUGCUCACGUUGAUGAUAUCACAUCACGACGAAUUAAGUUUUUCUUUUUCUUCAUGGUUAUUAAAUUUUGUUUUUACAUUCACCAAAUUGAAUUUAAAAUCCAUUUAAUAUAACAUUAAUUAACUAUUUGUUAAAUUUAGAUAAAUACAAGCAAAAGUCAAAAGCUUGAUGAAACAACUAAUUAAUAUACGAGCAUAUGUGGAUUGAGUAGUAGGUGUGGAUGAGAGAUUGUUAAAAGAGAAUUGUGAGGAAGUAGUAUAGUGGCGGAAGCUAACCACCUACUUUUCUUCCAUCUGCGAGCCCAUUAUCCAUGAUCCCGCAACUACUCUACACUUUGGGUAUUAUCCCACGAUCAUAACCUACUCAUGAGUAAUUAUCUACGUUUCGAGCAUAACUCAACUCUCACACUAACAAAGGUAAUCCCCAUUACGUGUCAAGGAGUUAAUGUCUCCAAUAAAAAAUAAAAGAAAAAUAAUUAAAUGUAGCUUGGACAUCACAUACAUCUCACAUAUUAUCUAAUUUACGUAUUAUCUGGAGUUGGAGAGUAGAAAGGUGAUCCUAAUUUAGAGAGAUUGUUUUUUAAAAAGAAAAAUAGAGUAGAGAAGUGGAGGUUGAAAACUCCGCCAUGUAUAUUUACGUAUUAACUCUUCUAACAAAAAAGAAAUGUAACGGUCACUAUUCUUACCUAAACGGACAAAGAAACCCAACCAAUUAGAUAUUUUAAAGCCAUCAAAUAAAAAAUAAGCUUAUUACAAAAAUGCCCUCGAAUUCACCAUGCAAUCUCCCUUUUCCGGGCAGGGGUAUUUCGGGAAUUAUCCCUAAAAUGAAUGGCCAAUGGUUAUAUUGCAUACUGACCGCCAAAAAAGCCCUAGGUACAGCCGUACAGGCGCGAGCCAUAGCUUUUUCUUUUUCCCUUCUCCGAUUGAAUUAUGCACUCCCUUCAUUUCCUUCAUUUCUCUUCCUCUUUUCAUUUCCCUCCACUACCUAUAUCUUUUUCAAAUCUUCUCUCACUUCUUUAAUCAAUCAAAAUUUUUCAUUUCUUUUUCUUUCCUUUUUAUUUCAUUUCAAUCCGUUUCUCUUCUUUCGAUCGCCAUGUCUAAAAGGUCAGUUUCUCGCUUUGACUAUGCUUCUUUAUACGUUCUUGUUGAUAUUGUCUCUUGUUUUUCAUGAGUUUUGAUGAUUGGAUUAUGGGUUCCGAUAAUCGCUUCUUGAUAUUGUUUUUUUCAUCAUGGUUCUUUGGUAUCUUGGUUUUGUUUAUUAGGUUUUGGGCUAUUUCGACGGGAUGGGUUCUUUAACGUUUGGAAUUUACGUUUCAUGAAAAGUCCUUUUGUGGGGUUGUUAUUGAUGCGUUUAUUUGAACUUUGACUUGUUGUUCGUACGGGUGUUAAUUUACUUUGCUGGUUUGUUUAGGGUCUUAUGCAAGUAUUUUGCGCAUGGAGCUUGUUUAAAAGGGGAAUAUUGUGAGUUUUCUCAUGACUGGACGGCUCCACCAAGCAAUGUAAAUAUUACUUUCUCUCCUCUGUGUUGCCAUAUACUAUAAUGGUGUUCAGACUAUUGUUUCUUUCUGAUGCAUCGUCCAUAACAGGUUUGUACUUAUUAUCAAAAGGGAAGGUGUGCUUUUGGCAGUCGAUGCAGAUAUGAUCAUGUUAAAGUUUCUCACGCCGAAUCAUGUUCGAAUGUUCAGCAAUCUCAUGGGUCUGAAUCUGUUUCUGUAGCUCAUUCUCAAUUGUCAAGGCCACUUUCUCCCUUUUCUGGAUCUACAAGCGAGCUUGCUAGUUCAGAGAUACCCAGUCUUCCCUUGCGCGAAGAAGCUGCUUGGAGUGGAGAGUUUGUGCGUCCAGACGGUCUUGAUGAUUGGGUGAAUGGGGAGGCAAGGGUUGUUGGUCCAGCUGAUAUACCUAUUUGUUCUUUUGCUGCGGCUGGUGGUGACUGUCCGCGUGGUGAAAAUUGUCCUCAUAUUCAUGGGGACUUAUGUCCUACAUGUGGAAAACAGUGUUUACAUCCUUUUAGGACGGAUGAAAGGGAGGAGCACUUGAAGGCAUGUGAGAAAAAGCAAAAACAUCUAGAGUCUUUGAAACAUAGUCAAGACAUAGAGUGCAGUGUUUGCCUGGAGCGUGUGCUUUCUAAAACCGAAACAGCAGAGAGGAAGUUUGGGAUUCUAUCAGAAUGUGAUCAUCCAUUUUGCAUUUCUUGUAUUAGAAACUGGCGCAAUAGUUCAUCUACCUCUGGAAUGGAUAUUAAUAGUGCCUUAAGAGCCUGCCCAAUUUGUAGAAAGUUGUCAUACUUUGUCAUUCCAAGUGUCAUUUGGUAUUCUUCAAAGGAAGAAAAGCAAGAGAUUGUUGAUAGCUACAAGUCAAGGCUGCGGUAAAUUUAUGUUCUUUUAUUUCUAAUUUGUGAAUGCAUUAUGGAAACUGUUCAAUUGCUUUCCAUUAUGUUCACGUUUUCUGCUUCCCUUUUGUUAUGUUUUGUUUUGUGUGCGUGUGUGUGUUUAUAUAUAUAUAGAUUUAUUUAUUUAUUUAUCAAACUCAAUUUAGUAAAUUGAAGUUAUUACAUAUCAAAUGUAAUUGUACGAACUAUUAUUUAGAGAAUGGAAACUGCAUAACUACUAAAGUAAACUGCAUAACUGCUAUUAUUUGAGAUGAUUUCGCUACUCUAAUCUGUGAGUUUUUAUCAUUUUCAUAUUCAGAUCAAUAGAUUGCAAGCACUUCAACUUUGGAAAUGGGAACUGUCCUUUUGGAUCCAGCUGCUUUUACAAGGUAAGUUUACCUCUGAAAGCAGUCACUUCAGUUUCCUUAUCCUAAUUGUACUCUUUCAAGCAUGAUGGAUGUUUUUGUACCGCCUUUUGUGUUGUGAGGACUUUCCUAUUUUCCUGAAUUUUUAUUGUUCUUCAUUUUCUUUUCAUUAUGCCCUUGUCCAAAUUGUUUUCUUUACCUUUUUUAUUGAUCAUUGAUAUGCAGCCUGCUGAAUGAAAAUCUCGACCUGUUUGGUUUUGCUAAUCUGCAUACGCCCUAGGAUAUCUGUUAAAUAGUACAUGCUUGCCUACUGGACAUGAGUUUACUAGAAGAAAUCCUUUUUGAGAUCUGAAUAUGGAUAUCUAGUAUAAUGGAAUAUUCUUUUAUCCUAAUUAUUUUCCGUUGGUUUCAUAAGCACCCCCAUCUGCCAUGGCUAUCCAAUCAUGGCUGGUUAGAUAAGGCUCAAUCAUACUCACAUGACUUUUUUUAAUUAAUUUAUUUAAAAAAUGAUAGUUCUGUUUGAGGGGUGGCUAAGAAUUUAAAAGCGCUUUUAAAAUGUGUGAGCUAAUUUUUUUACUUUACUUGAAUUUUUUAAUAACCAUCUUCUUCAUUUUUCUAUUUAAAUUUUAAGAAUGUUUAAAAAAUCUAAACCUACAUUUGAAACAGAAAAAAAUCCCCAAGAACUAUCAUUUUGUUUUUAAAUUUUGGUUGAGAAUCUUCAAGUGUUCUGAACCCCUAUUUGAAACCAUUUCAUUUUUUUUGUUUUUGUUUUUGUUUUUUUAAAUUAAGCUUGCACACACCGUUUUUAUCUAUGGGUUUUAUUAUGUAAUCUACUUUUUAUGAGUUUUAAAAACCAAGCUAUGUUUUGAAAACAAACUUGUUUUUGUAUUGAGAUUCAACCUUUCAUUGGUCUGAUUUGGAAGUCGCAUAUAUUUCUAGGAGAUAUGAAGACCACUAUGGAGAAAUGAUGUGAAAAGAAGCUAAUUUUUCAUUAACUAGAAACCAAAUGGUUAUCAAAUAGGGCCUAAAAAUAUAAAUUAGGAAACGAUCAGCAAUCUUGCUUAAUAUUUGCAAUUACUUUUGUCAUCCCUCUUCGAUAAUUUCUAUGGCUCAAUUCAGGUACAAAGUGAUGUGCUGACUACUUUGCCUGGUUGGCUCUGCCACCUCUAUGUAGUUGUAGUAGUGUAGUAAUUUAGUCUUAGUUAAAUUCCUAGUAAGAAAAAAUUAUAUAUUUUGGACACCGAGAUUGUGUUGCUAGACCUGCUACAAUUGAUUGAUGGGAUCCCUCUGAUUCAAAUUAAUAAUAAGUUAUAUUCCUACAGACUAACAGGUGUUUGAUUUGAAAGUGUUAUCAUGGGAAAAUAAAUGUAGUUUAGGACUGUAGCAAGGCUGGCGGGACCUCUCCUAAACUGCAAUCUGUUAAUCUAUAUAUAUACUUCAUUUGCCAGUCCUCUGCGCUCGUCUAUUUUAGAAAGAACAAAUGCAACUGCUGUGUCACAUCUUCUUCAUCUCAUAUGAGUGUUGCAAUCUCAACAACCCUUAUAUUUUUUGGUGACGUGUCAUAGGUGUCACAUAAGCAGUGCUGUUGCUGUUCAUUUUCAAUCAGUUUUUGUGGUAGAUGUUGAAAGAUGUGAUUCAUAGUGGAUUUUAUCUUCAGAUCUAUUCGCAUUCUGUUUGUCAUUUAAUUUCAUUAGAGCAGAUUGGCUUUCCAAUGAUACAAUGUUUGUUGUGUUCCAGCAUUUGGUCAUUCCUGGUUCAUACACAUGGAAAUAUCACAGGCCACCUCCACGCCAACCACAAUCAUGGAGAACUCCUCCAAGCAGAUCUAAUAUUGUCGAUAUGGAUGCCUUUUUUGAAAUGUUCGAAGACUUGGAGGAUUUGGAUUUUAGUGAUGAAGAUUUAGAUUUUGAAUAUUUAACACUUUUGGAGAUGGCACUAAUGCAGUUGGGUUGUGAAGCUAACUCGUCAAGUGAUGAAGAGUCAUAGUUCUUGGGCUACAGUUUUCUUCUUAGGUUGUUGUAACCUGAUUUAUGUUGGGUGUUUGGCGAGUUUCUUCUAGUCUUGCCAAAAAACUUUGAAUAUUUGCUUCUCUGGCAUUUUUGGCCACCUAGCAGUGCUUUUGUGCAGUAAGAUAAGCUUGUAGACUUUUUUAAUUAUCAUAAAUGCCAUGUUAAUGGGGACUCGUACUUUGCAAAAGGCAACAGUCAUUUGUCCUGGGGAAAAUUAGUUACCAAGUUAUCAAGAUGACGAUGGUCUAUUUAUGGAAGAACCUUUUCUUUGCGUAGAUUAUAAUAUGGCUUCUUAAGUGUUGUAUUUUACUACUGGGAAUUAGGAAUAUCUGCUACAGCUAUCUUCUUCGUUCCUAGAUUUUACGGAGAGUUCCAUUUCUAACCCUCUUGCUUACCAAAACCAAUUGUGUGCUCCUUAUGUUGAUCCUUAACAGAUUGGUUGUUUAUUAUCCCAGUAUGCUGGUAAUUUGAAGUGAAUGUUCGAUUAAUAUGUUCUAUUAUCUAUGAAGUAGUUUUUCCCAUAUGUGGACUUUUGCACACGAUGAUUGUUUUUUGAAUGAAGCCUUAUCUGUUUGCAACUGGGACGUGUGUUGCUUCUUUACUUUCAUUCUUGUAUGCAUUUUUUUUUGUGACUAGCUGUAUUAACUUCAAAAUGAGAGUCAAAUUUUCAAUGUGAUUUUCUCACUGCAGCAUGCACAUCGGGAUGGUCGGUUGGAAGAGAUAGCUCUGCGUCAUAUUGGGAAUGAAGAUGGUCUCACUGUUAUAGCUAAAAAUCUUAGGUCUUGAUUUGUGCAUUGCUUUAUAUUGACCAUUUAUUGUGCAUCUUUUACCUUAUAAAUUUGAAGCUAUUUUCAGGUUGUCGGACUUUCUCAGUGACUUGCAUAUCAGGUGAAGAAUCCUUCAUUCAGGUAUGGAACACACUAACCACUCAUCCUUUGACCCUGAGGUUGAAAGUUCAUACUUUAUGCCAACUUUUGCUAUCUAUUAAAUAUUUCGCAUUUUAAUAUGAUUAAUCAUUUGCCUUUAUGGAUGGGGUAAACUUCAAUAAUUAACCUUGAAAAUAUCAAUUGAAACUCAACAUUUAUAUUAGAAACAGAGCGAAUUAAUCUUCUGGCACUGUCGCUAUCACUAUAUUUCAACACUUCUCUGGCUCUAAAGAGUCCAUGAAACGCUAAACUCUUUGCAUUUUGUAUUUAUCUUGAGUUACAAUAUAUUUCACCUGUCAUUUAAAUAUCUUUUUUAUUGUUGGUCUUCGUUAACACUUGCAAUGUAAUCGAAGAGUUUGAAAAACCCAUUUCAGAUGUCGAAUUGCUUGGUCUGAAGGUCUGAUAUUGAGAAAUGGAAGGUGGGGGUAUCGAACACGGUGCUUCAAACUUUGUGUUCUACAAUAUCAAAAUAAAGCUAAAGACAUUUAUGUCAUAGUGAGAAAUGAAUGUUGGAAACCCAAGCUUGUUCUUCCAAUGAUAUGGUGAAAUAAAGAAUCAUAACAUUCACAUCUCACAUGUUGAAUUUCAGCUGAAUAAUAUGUAUGGGUUCUACAAGUUGUACUAAACAACUGGAAAGUCACAGAAUGUAUUUUGGUUUGGUAUUUUAAAAGAAAGAUAUGUGGGAAUGUCAAUGUUGUAUUUUGUUUUAUACAGAAACAAGUAGAAAAAAAAAAGUAGCAUCAGGAUUUGCCUUCGGAUGAGACUUAGUACUCAUCAAAUUUACAAUAAAAAAAACUGUGAUUUUUUUUCUUCUUUUUAUUGUCAUUUUCAUUAUCAUUCUCUCUUUCUGUUAGUGAUGAUUUGUUGUAUUAGUCAAAUAUUGUUUCCUUCUUUCUCACCUGAAUGAAUCAAAAUACUUGUACAAUUAAUAUAUGUUUCUAGAUGGUUAUUUUUUGCUAUAUUUGUCAACAUCUCCGUAAGUUUUGUCAUUUUUUGAAUAAUUUAUAAGUAUUAGUUUAGUCAUUUUAUCAUGUGAUUACAAAGUCUUAUUUAUCAUUAGCUUUACUCGCACAUCCGACUGUAGUUAUCACCUUUAAAUUUGUGAUGAGGUCGUUACAUAACGAGUUUUAUAUAAUUUGUAAGAAAUAUUUAAAAUAAAUUGAGAUUGCAACCACAUAUUUUUUUUUAUUUUUCAAAGAUGAAAAGAGUUUGUGAAAGCAAUUUGAGGUUACGGUCUUUCAUAAUUUAGUUCGAAUUUCAAAGAUGCUGUUGGCUUGUAAUAAUCUUUCAAAUAUAAAGUCUCGAUUACUUUUCUUUCUUGCCUUCAAAAUUCUUCGGAUAUUGUUAAUUAUAAAGUAUGCAUUCACACUUUAAUUUAUUCAUACUAUUUCAUUUCUAAUUUUGAGCAUUUCUUUGUCAUUUAAUUUUAUGCCAUUCAAUUUCGAUUUCUCAUUUUGAAAAUCUUAGCAAUGUUUUGGAGUAUACGUUACUUUUCUAAACAUGAGGCCAUUCUUUCUAAAAAAUUUAGGGUUGGCGAGUUAUAUAAACAAUUAAUGUUAUGUAGAUGUUUACUUUUAAUUAGAACCUAGAGCUAUAUAAUUAAUUAUUACUCGUUAACAAAAUAUCUUAUUAAUUAUGUGUAUGUAUUUUCCUUGGAAAAUUAAUAAGAGAAGGGAUUGAUAAAAAAUAAAAUAAAAAUAAAAAUACAAGUUGUUGUUUCAUUGUUUUGAGUAAAUAUGCAAAAUAAUUUUAAAUGACUUUAACUAACUAAUUAAUCAAAAUACAUUCAAAUAUCAGUUUUAUAUAUUCUUAUUAUAUUUUGGAUUUUGUUUAUGCAAUUUCAUUAUCUAAUAUAUGUUUAAAUGUAUUCUCAUGCAUAAAAAUUUAAAAAGAUAAAUAAAAAAGUUGGAAGGAAAAUUAAGUAAAAAUCUUCAUAGUUGAAUUAUUUAUUUUAAACAUUAUGAAGGAAUUUCAAUCAAUUUAUUUUGUGUAUAACUUAUUUUAUUUGGUCGUACGAAAAAGAAAAAGAAAAUUAAAUAGUUAACAAUUUAGUAGUAUUAUUUAAGAAAAUGAUGUUUUUUAACCUACUUUUAUUUAAACACUCUCGAUAAAAUAAAAGUUUGCUUCAUUUGUUAUUUUUGACAACUCACCUUUUUAUUAUAUAGGAAGUCUUUUUAAUUAAUUUCAAAUUACUAUAAAUCAAGAAUUUAUUGGUGGAGGUGAUGGCCGGAGUUGGUCAACAGUCAUUUAGAAAUGUAAUUAAAGGUCGGUUGAUGGAUCCUUAGAAAUGACAACUAUAGUCUAAGGUUGGCCACCGAAGAUCAUCAAAUACAUUGUUAGAGAUUGGUAGAAGUUAGAAGGCAACGCUAGAAAAUUGGAGAGAAAUUAAGCUUUAAAACAUUCAAAAUAAUUCAUUUGUCCAUAAACCAACUUAUUUUGUAAGCUCAUUCUCUAUUUCAUGUUUAGGUGGUUGUCAUUCUUUUUCGAAACAACUUACCCUUUUAGUUAAAAAAUAUUUACACGUACAACAAAUAAUCUAAAAUUCUAUAUAUAUAUAUAUAUAUUUCCUAAAAAAAUAAAAUAAUUAAGUUUGUAACAAAAUUACGUCAACAUUAGAUUAGGGUAUAUGAUUUUCGUGCUCUCCUAUUAAAGAUGCAAAUCAUUAAUUUAAAGGCAAACAAAUUUGUCGUAUUAAUUAAAUAUAUUUGUUCUUAUACAAAUACACUUUUUUGAACAAUAAUUCAACCUUUACCUCUCAAUCCAAUUCAUUCCAUAAAAACAAAAACAAAAACUCUAAAUCCAAAUUCCUAAUUUGAAAAUUUGACCAAUUAACCUUAAUUGGAAAAAAUGGGGAGGAAUAAUCCUAAAAAUAACCAUCUUUCACAAUUACUGUUCAUAUUAAUUACAACGUUUCUUUGUACCAUUUUUUUGCCAAUUGGUUAAAACAUCGUUUUUUUUUUAAUUUAUUGGUUCAAUUUCAUUUCCGAUGGGUUCAAUAGAUCUUGAUAGUUUAAUGUUCAUUUAAAUUUUUUCAUCUAAAACAUGUUCAUCCAUUGUAUGACAUAAUUAAACCUAUUAUUGUUAUUGUUGUUGUUAUUUAUUUAAUCAAUUAAUGAAAAGGAAGAAACUAAAUUUAAAUGAUUAAUGACAUUAUAAUAUGUGUAAUCACUGACUUUGAAGUCCCAAAUUGAAACAGAAAGAAGAAGACACAACACCCUAUUUUUAUUGAAUAAAUCACACUAAAUUAAAAAAUAAUAAUCAUACAGCAAAAACAGAUCACUAACAACAAUGAAUCAUACAGUAAAGAGAUUCUAGAGAAUCUCCAUUUUAUUUUCCGAUCAAACUAACCUCUAAAUAUAAAAAUGAUAAUUAAUUAAUUAAUUAAUGUAUAUGAAUUAACAAUCCACAUUCGAUUUAAUUUAGAGCUUUAAGAGUGCAGGAAGAGAGAAGAAGAAGGAAGCAAAGAGCAGAGCCAUGGAGGUCGCAACAGGCAGGGACGACGCUGCUCCUCGGUCGAGCCCUGGCGCCGGCGCUGGAGCUUCCUGAGCGGAAACGAGGGCGGAGAAGAGAGCAACGAGGGCGAGGAAGACGACGGGGGAGAUCUUGGAAAUGGCCAUUGAAAUGAGGAAAGAAGAGAAGAGUAGAGGAGAAAGAAGAAUUGUGCGGGGGAAUAAUUAUGAUUUUUACUAUGUGAGGGGAGAGGUUAUUUAUAGUGAGGGGCAGGAUGGCGCGUGGAACCCACUGGGAUUAAGCGUCCAAUGAGGUGACGAAAAGUCGCGUGAGAAUUGUGGUCACGUGGAGGGUACGUGGAAUAUAAAAAUUGUAGACAAAUAAUAAAAUUCUUUACGUUUCGUACUACUAAUUGAUUAAUUAAUUCAAAUCCAUACCUAAGUCAGUAAUAGUAAUUAACUGUCUUAGUGACCAUCGUUUGUAUUUACGUGGAGGUUUAGGUUGAGUUGGUUCAAGAGAAUACUCAUUUUUAUAAUACAAUUUUCGUACAUAGGAUACACCUAUUUACCUACGUACUUUUAGAAAAAAAAAGACUAUUAAAACAGUAUGAUUCUAGAAAUUUUAAAUUUUUACUAAAGACACUUUGCCAAACAUUGUUUUUGUUUUCUUUAAAUAUGAUUCGGUUGAUUGAGUUGGUCAUAUGAGGGGAUUGUAGAAGUUGGCUAUCAAAGGUUGUUACCAUGAAUUUGAUUAUAAGAGGUGGUUAUUUGUCCAAAAUGGUCAUUUGAGAUGAGUGUCGGUGUUGGCUAUUACAAGUGGUUGUCUCACCAUAUAGUUAAUCAUUAAAGGUGGUUUUCGCCAAAGUUGUUGGAACUCGAAAGUGGUCGUUGGAGUGUACCAAUAUAAUCGUAUUAAGGAAUGGAAGGUCUACAAAUAAAAUGAGUGAAAACAUUAAAGAGUAACGGUUGAAUCGGUUAAAGUAAGAAAUUUCACUGUAGCAAAGUUUGAAGUGGAUGGAAAAAACCAUAAAAGUAGGUUUGUGUGUAGAAGGAGAAAACAACAAAAGAGGGAGAGAAGUUUGAAUUGAGGAAGAAAAGAAAGAAAACGCGGCGUUAGUUCAAAGGCAAUGCGCGGAGGGCAAAGUUGAGAUUUUAAAUUGGGUGGGGGAUGGGAGCUUUGAAGUUUGUUCAACCAAAACAGACGAAACGGCCAAGUGUGCUUUCCCCCCUCUUUUCUUCACUUCGAAUUCAUCUUUCUUUUUUCCUUUUAGUAGGUUUGUGUGUAUGUCUGACCUUCUUUCUUCUACUUUCCUCCAAAACGUAACCCCUUUUCACAUCUGACUUGGGACAAAUAUACAAUUCCUUUCCCUCUUCCACAAUUUUCAAUCUGUCUAAUUAAUUUAUUUUUAUUUUCUGAGUUUCAAAACGUUAUAUUUUUAGUUUUGUUUAAAUUUGACUGCCAAGUGCGUCAGUGAGUCAUGGGGAAUAGUAAAGGGUCUUUUCCACCCACCACAUUCUUCUACUCCUUUGGUUUGCUCAACUUUUAAUUGGUGGUGUCUUCCUUGUGAAAGUUACUUCAAACCCAGCUUGGAUUUCUGAAGCUUUUAAUGUAAAAACAAAGUGUUUAAAAAUAUAAUUUUCAUAUCUUAAUUGUUUUGCUCUCAAAACCACCACUGUGAGAUCAAUUUCAGUCCUAAAUCAUUCUAAUUCAGUUGCUCUCCAGAGUUAAUACAUCCUCCAUUUAUAGGGUACUCAUAAAAAACAUAGAUAAAUGACUAAGAUAAAAUUGAAAAAAAGAUUAAUGUGUUCUCUUUUAAAGCCAACAUGACUGGAAAGCUUUUAAGAAAAAAUAAAUGAAUGAAAACUUUUUAUAUUAAUUUAAUAAUUAAUUCAAACAUGCUAUAACUAUUUUUUUUUUUACAUUAUGAUUGAUGCAACAUUGGUCUUUUCAGAUCAAUAACAAUAAUGUUACAUAAACUAACCUUAUACUAAUUACAUUUACUAUUUUCAUCUGACUUGUUGUGUCAACAUUAAACCAUUACUUAUAAAUUUAGGACAUAAUUUCCAAUCUUGUUUAAUCCAAUUCCUAAUCUUUAACACUUCAAUUCAUAUGUAAUAAAUAUUUUAAAUUUUGUUACUUUUUCUUUUGGUAAAGAUAUUGUAUUUAAAGCCUAAGAAAGAAAAAAUGAACAUGUAACGUUAAAAGUUGACAUAGGAGAAGCAAUUAAAGUACACUGAAAUUUCAUUUAAAGUUGCAUUCAAAUCUAAAGGGGAAGAAAAAAGAAUCCAAGUUGUUAAUUAUUUGGUAAAAUUUUGAAUCUGCAACCCCACCAUCCACAUAUCAUCAAACGGCCCACGUAAGACUCGCUCAAACCAAUUACUUAAUUCAUUUUAACCCAAAAUUAGCAUCUUAAUCUCACCUAUAAAUAAUCUCAAUUACCAUUCAUUAUUCCUCAGGCAGCAAUCCAUCAAUCAAUCAAUCAAUCAAUCAAUCAAAGGCUUCUUCGGUUCGAUCGCUCUCAUCUCCACCGGAAGUGAGUUUUCUGCCGAAGAAAGCCAAUUCGCUCAACCCCAUCCCAUCAUCCUCAAUGGAAAUGAAGAAGAUCGCCUGCGCUGCUCUUUUCGCCGCCGCUGCCAUCAGCGCUGCCGUGGCUGCCGAUGAGUCUCUCUCUCCCGGCGCUUCUCCCGCCGCUGCCCCGGGGCCGAGCAGUGCCGCCUCCGCCGCUCUCCCCGUUCUCGGUGCCUCAGUUGUUUCCUUUGUUGCUGCUUACUUCUUGAACUGAAGCCCCGUCAUGGAGAGGGAGAUCAAUUAUUUCAAAUUUUAUGUUUUUUUCUUUCUUUUUUCUUUCUUUAAUGUGUUUAUUUUCCAUGGAUGAUGUGAUGUGACGAAUUGAAAACAAUAAUAAUAAAAAGGGAAUCCGGAUUCUUUAUAUUGUUUAUUUUCCAAAUUAUGUUAUUCUCAAUCUAUAUUUAUUGUUGUUGCUUUAUAAACAACUUUGAUGAGAAAAUGUUAAUAGUUGGAUUAUAAAGUUUAUAGUAAAUUAAUCUCUAUACAUUAUACUUGAACCACAAUUACCCUUAACUAGUCUACACAUCAUAGCUAAGUUGCAUCAUAAUGGGUGAUUUUUGUUGCUUUUGAUUCAUGAUUAUAGUCAUGAGAUAAAGAUAUACUUAAUUAGGAGAAUAAGAAGUUUAAUAUUCUUUUUUUCUUCAAACAUUCUAUUAAGAAAAAUUAUUAUAAAUGGUAAAUUGGUGAAAAUAUUUACAUAUAAAAUAGUAGAUUUUAUCAAAAAUAUAUACAUGAUUGUUUGGAUAAUAAUAUAAGAAUAAUAUUAUUUAUAAAAUAAAUGAAACAGUAGUUUUAUUAAUUUUCAUCUACAGACAAAAGAAAGAAAGAAAUAUUUUUAAUAACAUUUGAAAGAGAAAAAAAAAAAAGAGCCUCUGUGUAAAAAUGGAAGAAAAAAAAGGUAUUUAAAAUAAAAAAUAGAGAGAAAAGUGAUUAAAUACAUAAUUAACGAAAAUAGUAUUUGAUAAUAAUAUCGAUUCUUUCUUUCUCUGUCUCUCUCUCUCACAAACAUUUCCAAGUUGAAAAUCAAUAACCCAAAAAUGGCCGCCAUUGUUACGCGCAGGUUAAGCUCCAACAUUUUCAGACCAUUUCUUCCUUCCACCUUUCUCAUUUCUCAAAUCCCUCACGAGCCCUUGACCCGAUUCCAUUCUCCACAUUCCGAUCCCUCGUUUCUGGGAUCUUCCCGACGAACAUCUCCUAACACUACGGUUGACCUCUUCAAUUCCAUUUCGAAAUCAAUCACUCACGAUUUACUGGUUCAGAAUAAAACCCUUAAUUUCAAUGACCCAAUUGGAUCUGGUUCUUAUUCGAUUAUGAAAUUGAGAAACCCUAGCUUCGUUUCCAUAUCGGAUUUCGAUCGGAAAUCCAGGUUUUCUACAACUUCCGAGAAGGAGAACGAGCAGAAACCGGAUGAUUUCAAGCACCAAGACAUCGAAGGGCCGACCGUGGAGAGAGAUCUAUCGGCGUUGGCUAAUGAAACCAGAGACGUGAUUGAAGCGAUGAUGAAGAAUGUAUACAGGCUAAGUAAAGCUAUGGCGGUUCUGGGUUUGGUUCAACUCGGCAUUGGGGCUUGGAUUUCGUAUAUAACCCGGGGUUCGCCGAUUACAGAAGUUUCAAUCCAGAGCUUUGUGGCGUUCGGGUUUCCUUUCUCGAUGGCGUUUAUUUUGCGACAGUCUUUGAAGCCGAUGAUGUUCUUCAAGAAAAUGGAGGAACAAGGUAGGUUGCAGAUUCUAACACUGAGUCUUCAGAUUGGUAAGAAUUUGAAUGCUCUGUUUGUUAGAGUACGAACUGUUUCUUUCUUAUGUGUAACUGGAUUGUCUGUUGGAAUUUUGUUUGCUUUGCUUUCCAGAUGAAUUCAUUUGAGUUUGAAAUUGUUGGAUUAUCUUAGUCAUAAUGAACAAAUGUUCUGUUCAUGUAAUGACCUGAAUUUUGAAAACAAUGAAGGUUAUUACACCACCUAUUUACAACACACAUACCAAUUAGAUCACGUUCAUGUUCACAUUUCAGCCUACCGUCUCGAUCCAAGAAGCUGUAUUAAAUUUGCCUUCACUUGUUUCUCGUGGGUAGUGUGUUUAAACCUUUGCAGUGCUAUCUAUUCGUUUUUAUGUGUUUGGUUAAUAGAUGAUUUAGGAAGCAGUAAUGUUUCCAACCACGUUUCAACCAUGAGAAGGUGCGAAAUUGACAAAGAAAAUAGUUGACAUCAUCUAACUGGCAUGUUAACAAGUAAAAUCCUUUUAUUCAAGAGAUGGAAUUGAUGUAAACAGAACAAAUUCUAUCCCUAAAUUUUGUCCAUUAACUUCUACGUCAUUUUUAAUUGGGUCAUCAUGCUAUUCUAGAGAGGUAUGAAAUAAAAAAAAACCAGUUCUAGACUUGUAGACAUCAGCAUCAAACUUGAAUGACUAAUUGCUUUUGGUAAAAAGUAAUUAUAAUAGAUAACAAUUUUAGUGGAGAUAGAAGUAUAUUGUUGAUAGACCCACAACAAACUUUAAAUUUAAUUGUAACCAAAAGAAAUUCACUUCUAGCUAUUCAAAUGAUCAAAUGAGAUGACUUACAUUUUUAAAGUUGAAUUACAAUACCUUCUCAAGGAAAAAAACUUACAAUUACAUUAAAUUUGGAGGUACUUAACUACCAGGGCAUGUAAAAAUAGAUAUAUAAAGAAAUAAAUCUCUCACAAAUAGAAUUUAGGAAGAAAAUAAAAUUGUUUCUAUCAAUUAAUAAAUAAAUAAAUCAAUCAAUAUAGACUAUUAUUUUGACUCAAUUUUAUUAAGAAUGAGCUCAAAAUCAGGCAUAAACAAAACGAAAAAUUAUAAUAGGGAAAGAGUAAAUACAUAAAAAGUAUGGAGGGGGGAUGAAUAUGAGAUUAGCGUUGGGUUUAAAUAUAUUGGAUAUAAAAUAACGUGUCAAUGAAGCAUGGAGUAAUAGAACAUAAGAAAGAGUAGAAUGGAGACACGUAACCCAAACCCCAUAAACGGGAUUUAUCGGAGCUUUUCUACCUCCAUCUCCUACACCCAGUUCUACAUAAACUCGCCACUCUCUUCAUUUUCAUUCCCCUAAUCUUUGUUUCUCUGACUUUUUCCAUUUUCAUCCAUCCAUAACUCUCCACGUAUAUCCCACAACCAGCCCUUAAGAACUCGUAACGUUUUUUGUUUUUAUUCUUUAUUUUUGGCCCACCAUUUGGACCCUCGAUUCCCCUAUAAAUGAGGAAUUCUAAUGUAAACAUUUGCUUUUUCUCUCCACCUUCGAAACCCCCCUUGCCUUUCUGAUCGUUGUAGGGUUAGUUUUCCCAAUUUCCUCUUCGUUUUCUUUUUUUUUUUUUUUUAAAAAUCUUUUCCUUCAUGUUUUUGCUUUUAAUCUUGUUCUUACCAUGUGGGUUUUUUCUGUUUUUUUCUUUUUUUCUAUCUUGUUGAUUUUCAGUGGAAGGAGGGGAGCGAAGAAUCCUCAUCUCGCUGGGAAUUUUAUGGUGUUUUUUUCUAUAAUCAUCGAUUACGCAGCGGUCGAAUAGAGCUUUCCCUCCUACACCCACCAACGAACAGGUUAGAAAUUAAGAAUUGAAGAAGGGUUUCUUUCUUUUCUCGAAUUUGAUUUGUGGGGUUCUUACCUUUUUUUUUUUUUUUUUUUUUGGCUUUCUGUUUGUUUCUUUUCGUAUUGAUUCGUCGUGAUUGUUUCUGGGUUAAGCGAUUGUGUUUUUGAAAGUGUUGAUGGUGUUGUUUUGUUGGUACUAACAGUGGUGAUUUUUUUUUUUUUGCUCAAAUUUCUCCUGCUAAUUUAGGGGGAUUUUUAAUCAAACUUGUGGGUGGGUGCAAUUUUAUGAUGGUUUUUCGGCGGAUGCUUGCAUUUUCUGAAGUUUUUGGACAAUACUAGCAAAUUUUUGCAUGUCUGGUUUUGUCUUAUCGACGAAUUUCACUUGUUGGCUCCCAAUUGUUUGUCAUGUUUUUUUUUUUAUUCUGUUGUUGAUCGAUCUCUCUUCCUUCUCUUUGCAUUGCGAUGUGAUGAACACCUCCUUUGGAGUGGAUUUUCGUUUUAGAAUAUAAUUGAGGUAUUUCUGUAUUUGAAUUACCAUUCUUUGAAGAAUUGUUUGAGUGAGUGGGUUUUUUCCCCCCCGUUUUUUUUUCUUUUUUUGUUUGCCUUAGGUUUCCAUUUUUGUUGAAUGGUUCUGGACUCCUAUUGAUUUAAUGGAAAGGAAUGAAUAACUCUCAAAGGGAGUGGAAAAGAAAACACCACAAACAACAAAUACAACCAUAUAUUAGUAGUCGUGCUGAUAAAUAAACAUUUAAGAACAAAUAACUUUUUCUGAAAAACUUAAAGAGCUUGCAAUUGAAUGAUGAAACAAUCGAUAAGGCCUUCACUAAACACUGAAAACCUUUGGCCACUUCAAACCUUCCAAAGACAACCAUGAAUGGAUCACCUGUCAUCAAAAGAAGCCUUUCGAAGGCAACAUGUUGCAAUGUUGUCAGUAAGAUUCUGAAAACCAAAUAGAUUAAUAGAUCAAAUCCACCGAUGUUUCAAACUCCAAAUCUUCAGAGCCAUUUCUACACAGGACUUCUUGAAAAAACCUUUUAGUUUUACGUGAACCUCUAUCCCAUUAAAAGAGAAGCUUUGGAAGAACCAUCACCGUCAAAAAAAAAACAAAGGUUCUCCUUAUGCAAGACAAUCCAAUUACCUAUUUUGACUGGAAAAGAUUGCUUCCCAUGCACAGCCACUGAAGUUAAGUCAUUUGGUACACCAACCAAAGUUAUAAUUUGAUCUCUCUAUGUAAGACAAGUGAAGCAACUUACUCAUGCAAGAUCUCGAGAUCUUUAGGCCCUACUACACACAUCGUUAGGAUAAAAUGAAUAAGAAAGUAACUCAAAAUUUUUGGAGUCAUUUGAAUGUGAAUUUCAUAAAGCAUUUGAUUUUCUUCUCAUCAUUUGGAUUGGAGUAUGGGUCAUAAUUCAAGCAGUGUCAAAGAUGUUUGGCUUUCAUAUGGACAAGUGCAACGACUUUUCCUGAUUAGGUCAAUGAGAGAAGAAUGUUAGAAGAAUGGGAUUAAAGAUGUAAACUAGAACCUGUGUGAACUGAGAAGCCAGUAUCCCUUUGGCUUUUCAGUUAAAGAUUGUAGUUAGUCGUUCUCCUUUUUCUUGAUGUGGAAUAGUAUCAUUACAGAUAACCAAUGAAUUAACAUAAUUUGCUUGAACGUUGCUUAACUAUAGUAUCUUUAACAUAUUUACCGUGGCUGAUGGACUAUUAUUUUACAAGAAAGGUAAGUAAUGGAGCAUAAAGAGACAGGAUGCCAAGCUCCUCCAGAAGCUCCCAAACUUUGUGCAAACAACUGUGGAUUUUUCGGAAGUGCUGCAACUAUGAACAUGUGUUCAAAAUGCCACAAGGACUUCAUCAUGAAGCAAGAGCAGGCCAAGCUUGCAGCAUCCUCGUUCGGUAACAUCGUGAAUUGUGGACCAAAUGACCAUGGCAAGAAGGCUGUUGUCACUUCUCCAACUAAGCUGGAAAUCGAACCAGCUGAAUCAUCCAUCAUUCCAACUCAAGCAACUUGUACUUCAUCAAAUGCAAGAAGCAUUGUAGAGAAGGUGAAAGAAAGCCCAAAUAGGUGCAGCAGCUGCAGGAAGCGCGUUGGUCUAACAGGGUUCAACUGCCGAUGUGGAAGCCUCUUCUGUGCAGUCCAUCGCUACUCUGAUAAACACAACUGCUCUUUUGAUUACCAGGCUGUUGGUCGGGAGGCAAUUGCAAAAGCAAACCCCGUGGUGAAGGCUGAAAAGCUGGACAAGAUAUGAUAGACCAGACCUAGGUGACCGAAAGACAAAACGAGGUGCAGCACCAAACCUAUGUUUUCUUUCUGUGUUUGAAUGAAAUCUAUUACGUUUUCGUGGUUGAUGUUUUUUUUGGUGAAAAGGGGGUUGUGUGCAAAGGUUUGUGAGGCAUGUCUGUUACUUGGAGGAGCAUAAUGUUGUGAGACAAUCCCACUGGAGAAACGGCAUCGAGUGUGAGGAGUGUGUGAUUGUAGGUUUUGCUUGUAAACCAGUCAGUUGUAUGGAUGGAUUAUGCUAUGCUUAAAUUUCUGCUGGUUGAUUUUGUCUCUUUUGGUGUGUUGAGCUUAAAUUAUGGUAAAAUAGAGUGAUGAAUUAUAUUUUUUUUUUAAAAAUAGUAACUUUUUAUGAUUGUCGAGAUCGACCAUGAUAAUGCUUCAUAAUAUUUGUUGGUUUGGCUCAAAGUGGUAGAAGGAGAAACAGACUGCAUUUAGAAGUUGUGUUGUAGUCAAGUUGAUGUCAUCGAAGGGCUGUUAGGAGUGGCAAGGCAAUUGAAAGUGGGUUUCAAUUUCAAGAUUAUGAAUUUUAGAAAACAAUUGUCACGUAAACAAAUUGCCAUGUAUGGGAAUUCAAUUACUUGUUUUCUUACAUGUUCUAAUAUAUCUUUUUUAAUCUUAGUUAAGAUUACAUUUAAAUUAUCUUAAAAAUAAAAAAGUAGAUAAUAAUUUAAGAAAGGUCAUGGACAUAGUUCAAAUCUCUACUUACAGAACUUGAAAAAAAAAAAGGUUAAUUAUAAAAUAACAUCAACAAUAAACAAAAAUAUAUAAAGAGUAGAGAUUUUUGAGUCAAACUCAAAUUUCGAAUUGAAAAAUCCAAAUGAAUGUCCAUGAUUUAGGUUGAACUAAUCUAACCUUUCUCUAAUAAUUGAGGUUUUUCGAGAUAAUGGAUUAUUUAAACAUUAUGUUAUCAUGAAGUUAGGUGUAUAUUUAUUCCACUCUGUCAUUUUUCACAGAUUCUGAAAAGAAGAACCAUAGAUAAAACAAUAAAUCAAUAAAACUUAACAGAAGAAAAAUCCCCCAAAAUUGGGAUGAAUUUGUUAGCCAUAACCAUAAAUAAAGAAAAAAAUAAUUGAAGUGGGAAGGGAAAGGAAAGGAAAGGGGAGGAGCUGAGCUGUGUAAACAGUAGUUGAUAUUUAGUGCAGAAACGACAUGUCGUAAUGGUAUGUCGGAGGGUGGGUAACGACACGCGUGGGUCAGUACUCAGCGGGCAAUUGGGUCACUUUGUGAUAAAGCGAUAGGGACGGUCCGGGCAGCAGUCCCGGUCACAGUUGGCGGCUUAAUUAUAAAUUAAACAAAGAAAGAAAAAAAAGGUGCAAACUUUGCUGCCUUUUGCGUUUACGUUCUCUGCUCCGUUUCUUUUCUUCCAAACCUCACCGUUUCAAUAUGAAUUCCCCGUUUUGCCCCCACAUUCUCUCCCCUCACUAUUCAUAAUUCAAAAAUGUAUAUAAUGGCUUCAGUAGACUAAUUCCAUACCACUUUUAAACUGCUUUUCCAUUAAUUCAUUCAUUCACUACUAAUUUCUCUCUAUAUAUUAUAGAUGAAUAAAAGUGAUUCUGUCCUUUUUAUUUAUUUAACACAAUUGUCCCCCACAUCUACUUUUGGUAUUGCAUAUUUUUACUUUUCAAACUUCUUGACUUGGUUCAUUUGAAUUGUUUUCAUAAAUAGCACAUCAAAUGCCUACUUGGAUUGGGUCUUUUAUUUAUUUUUUUCUCAUUAUUUCUAGACAUGACCAAAUCCCUCAAUAAUUCAUUCAUCCCUUCUUCUCGCAAUAAUGUUCAAAUAGUGAUUUCCAAUUUUGUCAAUUUUCUUUUUCUUUUUUCUUUUUUAAUUAUGAGAGUUACUGUAAUUUUUAUGGCUCCUUUUGUACUUGAUUCUGUUAGCAAAACAUUAAUAAAAGUGGUCAAUAUUAUUAUUAUUAUUAUAUUUAUCUCAGUUGUAAAUGUAAAAAUCAUAAUCAAUAUAUCAAACACAAUUAGUUAUUUAAUGUGACACUUAAACACAAUUGGAAAUACAAGAAAAAUCCAGCCAUGUGAGUGGGUAGAUUUUGCUACAAACCCGAUUGAUUUUUGUUUAAUAUCUACAUUUUCAAUUAUCCCAUUUUUUUAUUUCUACUUUCACUCCAUUUUAAUUAGUCUUUCAUACGGGUUCAGUGAUAAACAUGGAUAGUUGCUAAUAGAUAACGAUGUAUAUUAGUAAAAAUGAUAAAAUUUUAUUACAAUUUAUCAAUAUAUAACUAAGGUUGAUCAUGGAUCAAUCAAAAUCAUAUUUUUUUUCUUUUUACAAAAAUUGACCCCGGACCGACUAUAAUCAAUUUAGUAAAUAUUCAAACUGACAUUGAAAUCGAUGAGUAAGGAUCGAUUAGUUUUAUGUUUAGAAAUAAUUUUUUGAAAUUCUUAAUUUGAAACUUUUCGAAUCCGACUCUUGUUUUCCUAAUUGAUGGAGUUCAAUUUAGUCGGUCGACUCGAUUUUUUGGUCUAUCAUGCUCUCCCUUAAUAUAUAUCACUCCUGUUUUGCUAUGUUUGUAAAUAUUUUUAUCUAUUUUUCUAUGUUUGAACAGUUUUUUUUAUUGUUUAUUAAUGUUUUUGGUUUAAAUUUUUCAACUAUAUUUAUAUAUUACAUUUCCAAAAAUAGAAAUUAUUAUUAUUACUAUCUACUAAAUUAAAAAAAAUGUUGGAGGACUAAACUUACAAUUUAUUAAAAAUGUGAAGCUAAAAUUGAAUAUUUGAAAAUAUUGAGUGUAAGAAGAACAACGAAUUUUAACCAUAAUUACAUCAAUUAAUUAGACAUUAAGCUAAAUUAUCAUAAUAUAGAAAAUAAUUAUAGCAUAGCUUUAAAAAUAUGAAAAAUGGAAAUGAAAAAGAUAAAAAUCAAGAAAUUAGAAAGAAAAAGAAAAAAAAGGUAAUAAUAAUAAUCCGAAAGAAGAAAUUGAGGAACGUAAUUAAGCAACUAACGAUAAUGAGGAAGAACACGUCACAACCGAUUAAGAAGGCAAAGAAAAGUGGGAAGGGGUAAAAACGUAAAUCAAACAAAAAAAUAAAGGAUAUUUUAGUAAAGUAGGUAAAAGGAAAGAAAAAAAAAAUGUUCAAUACGCGUCUCUAUGAGGCCCAUAUUCCAUCGCCAUUACCGACCUUUCAAUCCCUUCAUAUUCCUUCCUUUCCAUCUUUCUCUCUCAUCCUCUCAAGAAAAACCCAACCCCUAAACCAAAUCUUCUCGUUCUUAUCAUCUCCCUUUGAAUCUCUCCGGGGAUUUUUUCUUCUUUUGUUUGAGGAUCCGAUCGGAAGCUAUGGCUCAGAGAACCGAGAAGGAGGAGACGGAGUUCAAAGUUCCCGAGACGAUCACGCUCUGCGUCAACAACUGCGGCCUUACAGGGAAUCCAACCACGAACAAUAUGUGUCAGAAGUGUUUUAAUGCCACGACCGCCACCGCAUCUAUGGCCAUCAAGUUUUCCGGUGAGAAAAGUCCGAGAUCUACUACUUCUCGCUCGCCUGAGAAAUUUCGCUUCGUUUCAGAGUCUAGGAGGAUUAUAACGGCGGCUGAUCGUCCCAAGCCUGACGAAUCCGCAAAACGAGAGGUGAAUCGUUGUUCUGGAUGUAGAAAACGCGUUGGAUUGACUGGAUUUAGAUGCCGAUGUGGUGACUUGUUCUGUGCGGAGCAUCGGUAUUCAGAUCGUCAUGAUUGUAGCUUCGAUUAUAAAGCGGCAGGUCGUGAGGCAAUCGCGAGGGAGAAUCCGGUGGUGAAAGCGGCGAAGAUCGUUAGAGUUUAAAUUCGUAGAUCGAUUGAUUACUAAAAAAGAAAAAGAGAAAAAAGAAUCCGAUGAUGAUGAAAUCUGUGCAAAAAAACCUUUGAGCUGAUUGUUAAAAAUUUUUCUUCAGAGUAUUGAGGAUUAAUUCCUCGAAAUAUCCUCUCAAUCAAAAAAAUUGAGAGAAGGAGAAAAAAAAAAUGGUUGAUGAAGAUGAUGAUGGUUGUGUUUUCUCAGAUAAUUAUGUUCUUAAUUUUAAUUUUAAUUUUAAUUUAUUAUUAUUAUUAUUAUAAAUUUUUUUGGUUUAAUCGAAAACGAAAAGAGAAGAUUAUCGAUUACUUGUUUGUGUUUGAAAAUGCCGAUGGCAUGUGAUGUAAAUUGGAGAAACUCUCGGGGUUUAAUUGGCAGCUUGAAAACCUUUCUAGUUUCCACCACCCGAAGAAACAAAAGAAAAGGAUGUAUUUAUUUAUUAUUAUUAUUAUUAUUCGAAUUUCAUUUUAUUUUCUUUUAAUUAUUAUAUCACGAUGGGGACAUUUGCGUAACCCACUUUCCUUUCGAAUUCAUUCAUCUACAUUCCAUAUUAUCAUAUCUUUCUUUUUAUAUUGACCCAAUGGAUAUUAUGUGCUCUUUCCUCUUCCAUUGACACUCUUUAUUACUUUACCUUCUUUAAUAACCUCUCUCUUUACGUUAGUUACUGCAGCAUCUUCCUUCAAAAGUUACCUUUUCCUUUUUCUUAAAGAAUAAUUAUUAUGGGAUGAGUUCAUAUUUGAGAAAUAUUAAAGAAAAACUAUGUAGAGGUUUAAAAAGAAGGCUUUAUGAUGGUAGAAUUGAAUUGAACUGAAUUUCAUGAAUGAUAUUCUUUGUUGGCUACAAAUAUGUGGGUGCGCCAUGUUUUAUUUCUAUUAUUUUCUUUUGAAGGACAACACUUGGUUUUUGUUGAGUGGAAAAUGUAUAGGAAAAAUGUGCCAAUUUUUGAAAAGGUGACCACAAGUCAACUAUAUAAGAUACUUUUUUUUAAAAUGUAUUAUAAUAUGAUAUUUUUAUGAGACCAUGUUCAAGUACAAAUGAUGUUUGUUUUGACAUAAGUUUUCACUAAGAAUAUAUAUAGGGUUAUGAUUAGAUUAAUAAUGUUUUCUAAAAUAAUUAAUUAAAAUUUAUAAAUAUGUUUAGUUGGAUAAGUUUUAUAGUGUGGGUUAUUGUCCAACAGCAACUUAUAAUCUCUUACAAAAAUAACUAGUUUAUUUUGAAAUUAGUUUUCGGGUAAGUUCGUUGUGGAGGGGUUAAUUGGCUAGAGACACAAGAGGUUAAUUUGAUGUGGCCAUGGGUGGAUCACAAACUCUCAAGGGUCUCCUGUUGAGUGCGAGUUCUAAGGCGGUGUACAAUAUGAGAUUACACUAUAUUGUUUUGAAAAGCAUCUACAACAAGGAUAGUGUGGAAUCUAUUCGAGAUCUCAAAUGUUGUCAUGAAUGAUAUUUUUUCCCUUGCUGCUUAGAUGAAUAUCCUAAUGUUUUGUUUUUAUAAUAGGAGACUUACAAUAAGGUUUACUCAUGCCCUCCAAACGUCGAAAUAAGUCUAUCUCUCCCGACUCCCCCCAACUGAUAAACUUUUCUUUGGUUGGAUAGUUUCCAAAGAAAGUAUCUUCUCCCUUGUCUAAGAGCUUAGCUAUUUUUAGCUUCUAAUUUCUAUACAUUAUCUCAUGAUAAACAUAGAACCACGAAUUAAAGUUUGGAAAAAGAAAUUAAAUGGGAAGAUGUGAAAGUGACAACCAAAUAUGUAAUUUAGCUGAAAACGAUAUAUUAAAAACAAAUUAAGAAGAAGAUUACAUUAGGACGAAUGCUGAGGGCUUUUGGAUGAAAUGAAAAGCUUUGCCAGGUAGGACAGCUGGCUGGACCCCAUUUGAAGAAGUAGCCAAUAAAAACUUGCCAUAUCAUAUAUCUAUUUUUCAUGGAUGAAAAGAAAUCAAUAAGAAUAAGAAGAGAUUAACUUAAUUAUUGAAGUGGGACAGAAGAGAAGAUAAUGUAUUAACUUUGAGGGGCAACGUAUGGGCCGUCCAUAUAAUAAUGGAUUGCAGUUAUCUACUUACUCCACAAAAAUUAAUAUUACAUUACACACACAAAGAAAAAGAAAUAUAUAUUAAUUAAAUUUUUAUUUAUUGUAUAUUAAUUAUCGUAAUAAAUUUUUGUUAGGAAUGUAUUCAUGGUUUUAAUAUUAAUUUAAAAAUCUCAAUUUAUAUUUAUAUGUUUUAGUGAUUUUGAUAUUACUUGACCUUUUAUGUGUAGAAGUGAGAGAUUCAAAUUUUGAUAUUCUAUGGAUAAAAAGAAUAGGUUUUAAGUUAAAAGGGGUUGAGGUAAAAAUGUGGGAGGGGUAUAUUGGGGUUUUGAAGUGAAAUGACCUUUGGAAUUGUAAUUGAAUUGUGUGAAUUCAAAUUCAAAAUGAGUUUUGACUUAAUAAGAUGAUGGAGAUUGAGAUUGAGAUUGAGAUUGAGAUUGAGAUUGAGAGGCCCUUUGUCUUAUUUUUAUUCACUUUACUUUUGUAUUUGACUCCAUCUUUUUAUAUAUAUAAAUUAUUUGGAUUGAAAAUGUGUUGUCUAAAAAGAAUCUAAUAAGUUGGAAGGGAAUGAGAUGACGAUCCACCGUAAGUAGAAUAAAUCAACCGCGUGCAAUAAAACCCCAUCUUCCCCGCCAAGCUUUUUGAACGAAAUUCACAAUUUCCGCCAUGAAACUCAUUCAGAGAUCUAAAGCUUUCUCGUCGCCCGCCGUACCUAUUCUCCAAUAAAACUCCACUUUUCUCUCUUCAACACAGAAAUCUAAGGUAUCUCUUUAAUUUCUCCGCCCUCUCUUUUUCAACUGAAGCUUUUCGCGUUUUCUUGUUAUUUCCCGUGCCCUUUUAUCUGCCCUGAUUACUCCUCAAUAGAGCGAAUGCUGAAUGAAAUACUUCAACAAUCUCUUACCUUUCAAUCGUACCCCUGCACUUUAAUUUUUGAGCCGUUAUAUACGACUUCUUGUUUAUACACUUUUGUAACUCCGAACUCUAGUAUGGGAUGCUAAUUAUGUUCUUUUGAGUUGUCCAGCAGAGGAAUUGCUCAUUUGUACUUCACAUUUUCUGUUUGGUUUGUACGAUUUUCAUAUUGUUUGUCGCUAUUAGUAAUUACUGUUUUAUUUAUUUGAUUCUGUGAAAAUUAGCCGAAAUUUGAAGAGUGUUGAGCUUGCUUUGAUUUGUAUGCUUAAUAGUAUAUUAGUAUGUAGUUUGUGUUACAAUCCCUAUGUUACCAAUACCACUGUGGUAAAUGUGUUUAGACGAACUGCCGAAUUUGAGUUUACGCUGCUUAUAGGUGAUAUUAAAGCGGAAUUUGAUGCAAUUGUGAAACCUAGGUCACUCGCUCCAUUGGAAAAAAGAAAAUACUCGAAGAUAUAAUGUAAUGGGAUUUUUAGAGAUUUUCAUCAAUUUUAGGGGAAACCCUUAACUAAUUGAAGCAAUUUUCAAUAUCUUUGUCAGUCAUAAGUGGAUGUUUUUUCUUUUCCUUCUUUUAUGUGCUUUUCAGAUAUGGAGGGUGAUCAAAAUCAUUCUCUCAAACUUGGAGGAUCCUCUGUUGAAGGUGACGAUCAAAUUUACAUCUCUGGGCUUAGUACUCUUCUGGUUGCAACGAUCCAGGAAACUAAGGACAGGUUAUCCCAGAUUGAAUUUCUUUUCUGUAGCCAACUCUUUCCCAGUUUUCAAACAAAAUCAAAAAGUUUGCAAAAAAUAUAUUCUGAGGCUAGGAAAUCUGCAGAGGAUGCAUGGAAAGAGAACGAAAACGAUCUCCUAUUUCAAAUAGAAAAACUUAAGCGCGAAAAUCAGCGUAUUCUUGAAGAGAAUAAGUCUUUGAAACUUGAGAAAGAAAAUCCAUCAAGGGAGCUAGCAGAAAGGAUGGAUCUGCUGCGGUCUAAACUACUUGGCGAGCAACUCAAAGCUGAGGAGCUGGCACAGCAACUUAAGCAGAAAUCGAGAGAAAUCGACGAGGGGAUUGAAUUGCAGCAGAAAUUACUUGAAAUGGUUCGGUCAAAAACUUCUCUGAUAAUGAGUAAAGAACAAAAACUGAAAGAGUAUGAAGACCAAUCUAAUGUAUUGCGCACCAAAUUGACUAGCAUGGAGGUGAAGUUUGAUGAGCUCCAGAAGAAGCUUAAUGCGAAGACAGAUGAAGUAUCUACAGUCAAAAAGUUGGAAGAGAAUUUGUUCAAAAAACUUGAAUUACAAGCUUCAGAAAUUAUGAACAUUGAACAGAUGAAUAGUGAUCAACAAAAAGAGAAACAGAUGCUUGUGGUGAAGUUAGAAAAAUUGCAGGAGAAUGUAAAUCGUCUAGAGAAGGAGCUUUUGAGCAAGACUGAAGAAAUUGAGGAAGGAAGGAAACUGCAAACCAAGUUGCUACAGCAAAUUGAUUCAGCUGGCUCAGAAAUUUCAAAGAAUACAGAGCAGCUCGAGGAACUUCAGAAAGAGAACAAACAACUCUUAGCCAAGUUGAAUGGUUCUCAAGAGAAAGUUAAUGAGCUUAAGUCGAAUCCGAGGGUAAAGAAUAAGGAAAUGGAAGGAAAUGAAUUGUAUGAGAGUUUACGUGAACAGAUCGAACUAAAGUCCUUUGAGUUACAGGCUGAAAAGAAGGCAAGAAGAGGCGUUGUUGAUGCCUACAAAAGGCUGAAAUCACAAUAUAACUUCCUUUGCAAAAAAUUUGGCCUUACUAGCGAUAAUAUGCUGCUGAAAGACAGAAGAGAAAAUGAAACCGAUUCAAUGGCUUAUAAUCAAGAUCUUGCAUCCUCACCAGGUAAACAUCCUCUUCUUCAUAUUAUAAAUCCAAAUUUCCUCCAACAUUGAUAUCUGUAUUCCAUGCGUUACUAAUUAUCUAUUGACUGGAGCAGUAGAUCCCGACGCAGAAACUGAAGAACCUUCUAUAGCCAUUUCUGAUACAUCUCAAUUGAAGAAAGAGAUUAGCGUGCACCAUAACAUAGAGGAUAAAAAGGUAGUCAGGCUAAAUCAGGCCUUGAACUCCCGUUCCCCUCCAAAAACUCCUAGUUUCUCAAGCGGCUCGAAACGUAGUCCCAAUGUAAAAUCUGCACCAAUAGCAUCUAAAAGACCAGCAUCUAAUUGGAGAGGUACAAGGACUCAUUAUCAAGAGCGAGCGGGGCCUGACCCACACGAUGAUUUUCUUGAUACUCCACUCGAGAACAUCCGAGAGAAUUUAAACAAUCCUGUGAAGGACAGAGUUAAAGAUCUUCCUCUUCCUGAGGUGGUUGUAAAAAACAUCGAUAUGGAUGUUUCCGAUGACGAGACACAAGAUUUGAAUGUUGUUAAUCCACAACAACAUCAAAAGCAGAUGCCAAUUUCAGUGACUGGGAAUAGAGGAGGAGGCAUUAAGUUUGUGGAGCCAGUGAGAAAGAAAGCUGACAGGCAAAAUUUAAAAGGAGUGGAGUGCAAGCAAUGCAAGAAGUUCUACGAUGCUGUUCUUCCAAAUGAUGGCAAUGAAGAAACCAACGGUGAUAAACCGUGUUUACGAUGUGAACAUCAUGAUGGAGUUUCAAGGCAUCGGUAUAGGUAUGUUCCUCCCAUGACUCCUGAAGGAUUUUGGAACAUUGGAUUUGAAUCUGAAAUGUAAUGUUAAUGUAGGAUUAAACCCAUUGUUUGAUAAUUAACGACAAAGUAGGUGAUAUGUAUAGUAUAUUUUAGAUAGAAAACUAUGAAACAAUUUAUGCAUUGGAUAAAUAUAAAUGAAAGUUUUCAUUUUUACCUCAAAUUUAUCAUUCAAAGCAAUUUUUAUGAACUUUUAGCUAAGAUAACAUAUAGUGAUCAUUUUGCUGUUCCCAAUAACUUUUCAAGUUUAUUAUUUUAAUUCUUCAAACUUUUAAUCAGUAAUCGUUUUGGUCCUCACAUUGAUCUAAAUUUUACCAAAUUAAUAACAUAGUUUAGAAGAUAUGUUACCAUGCAAGUGUACUCAAACCAAGAAAUAUUUUCUGUAAAAGUAAUGUAACUAUAAUUUUUAUUUUUUAUCUUUUUAUCACUCGAGUUCGAAUACUAAAGUAGUUACGGAAAUUCAAUUUCGGAAUAGAACAAAUAAUAUAUGAGAAAAUUGUAGCAUUAAAGUAAUGUGAAAUCCAAGUAAACAUUACAAAGUAUAACAAAAUAGUAACAUAACAGCAUCAUGCAAUGAAUUGGCUUUAAUAUCAUAAGGUAAACAAUGUUUCUUUGAGAGUCUCCAAAUAAAAUUAAAAUGGUACAAAAUUUCACAUCUAAGGAUCAAGCAAAAACAUCCUCUGUAAUAAUAGAUUGUUCAUUGUUAGUACAACUCUCUGAUGAAACCUGAAGUUGCUCGUAAUUUAGUUGUCUUGAAGCUUCGUAUAUAGCAAUACCAACACUCACCGAGAGAUUGAGGCAUCUAACAUAAGUUUCAACCAUUGGAAUUCUUAAUGUCCCUCCUCCAAAUGGCUGGUUUUUGCAGUCCUCAAGCGCUUCAGGUGGUAAUCCAGUAGUUUCUGAGCCGAACAACAAGUAAUCGCCCCGCUUGUACGAAAAGUCCUGCAGAAAUGAAAUGAGAAAACAAAUUGUUACUCAAAAUUCCUCCUGGCCUAUGAGCAAUUGACGAUUCGUAUAGAAAUCAAAUCGUCAGAGAAAUAGGCACUCGCCGAGUGAUGUGUUGUUCCUCUUUUUGUAAAUGCUAGCAGCCGCUUUUCUCCUUCCUGUACAUAUCAUAUCAUUUGAGUUGGUAGACAUAGUUUCCAACAAUGUAGGAUGCAAAGAGGAAACUAAAAUGGAAUCUUGUCCAUGCUUACCUGCUUCUUAAAGUAUUCUUGAAAAUCCGCCCACGUGUUAUGAAUUUUAACGACAACGUAUCUAAAAUACAAUGUUAAAACCCGAAAACAUUGAACGAACAGUGACAGCACGAAAUAGAAAACUCAAACAGUUCAAGACAAAGUAAAGCACAAUUUCCUAACAUUGAAUCCCUGAUAUUUAACUGUAAAUGAGAGCAAAUGAAUCAUAUAUAAAAUGCAUCAUGGGAUACGGCCAAUAAUCCAAACCUGCCCGCUUUAGCUUUGUGUCAUCAACCUUAAAUCCCAAUGGCUGAGAAGGAGACAAUACAAGUGGAUAAGUUAUUAAAGUCAGAACGAUUAUGCUUAAAGUAAAGAUGAUACAAUACUAACCCCAACUAGAUGUAGUCCUACAGCCGAUGCAGCACAUGUUCUGGCAAUGCUACCAGUGUUCCCAGGAAUCUGCCAAGGACAACACAAAUCUCAGAGCCAUCCUUGAGGAAUUUUGAGGUUGUCUGCAACCCAAAAAGGCAAAUGGAGAAAUUACAAUUGGGCGUUCACCGUGUUUCACACAACUGCAUACAACGUGCCGUGAUAUACAAACUAAUAAGCGGUGCCGUAUGUGUACACACAAUGUCGAGUGUGUAUUUCAUUAGAAGUAGAAAUCAAUUUGGAAGAAAUUUGCUCCAAGCAUUUGAUACUAACCAAAAUAAAAGUUUACGAUUAACAUCACAUGACCUUUCGCUAUAUAUGACAUAAACAACCAUAAUACGCCUAGCAAGUUUUCAAGCAAUCUAUUAAAAUUUCUAUGAGAGGUUUUGCUCAACCCUCACAUUUCGACUUGAAGAAGACUGUUCCCAAGCAGCUCUACUAAUUUCAACUUGUUAGUCAUCCAAGAAUACCACCUAAGAUUGAUGCAAAGAUCUAACUAAAGGCUCCCUAGUCCUUGUUCAUUCGGUUUCAAACAAAAUACCAAGUAAAAUGUCAGCAAAUUUCCAUGUGCUAAUAUCCUCUGAGUUUCAUAUAUAUGUUUGUUUUAGUAACACGGUAUCGAGGGCCUUAGCCCCAUUAAUUCGAGGGCAACCAAGCUCGAGUCUAACCCAAUGCCUAGAUUCAAUGAACAUGUUUGGGAAGCUAGAAUUUGAUGGUUAGGGUUUUGAGCCUGGUUUGUAACUCCUUUUAUAUUCCUUUUCCAUUAUUUUCAACUCAACUCUCUUUCUCCCAUUUUUCCCGUUUCACAAUCCCAAUUUAACACCGAAUUAAACAUUUCAUCGUAAUUUACAUUUCAAUCUCCCAAACAGGGUUUUUUUUUUUCUUAUUAAGCUCAAUCCAAGGUUCGAAGUCAUACCACUCAAUUGACUGCAGUUCUUAAAUGUACAGUUUACAUUUGAUCAAAAUUUCCAAUAGUAUGAAAUAUCAUCCUUUACAAUCAAACAAAAUCUUAAAGCAAAGUGAAACUUAUUCAAAAUAUUAAAUCAAGCCAUACAACUCCACCAAAUACAGAUAAGAACACAAACAAUAACUAAAAAUAGCGAUUACUAGAAAAAAAAAUGCAGAAACGAAAAGCAAGAAAAAGAAUCAGCUAAGCAAUUACCAAGGGAGACACCAAUACAACUUGAAGAAGCUUUGGAUGCGAGACCCCAUUGACGGCCUCACCAACACCGGUCGGUAGGGAACCAGAACCCUCCACUCUGUCAGCUGCGCCAUGAACACAGCAAAAUCAAACUGAAAAAAAUAACCUCAACCCAAUUCACAGCAGAGAUUAUAGAGUCCAUAGGAUGUAAGAACGUUUAAUUACAGAUAUAUCAUAUAUACUUACAUGAGGAGCAGAAGGGGAGUAACCGGCGUAAGGAUGAAGAAGAUAGAUUGUGGUGUUUGUUGGUGAAAAGGGAGAAGGAGCGAGGGCGAAGAAGAUGAAGAGACCUGGAUGAGCGUAGUUGAAAAGGGGUAAAUGGGUUUAAAGCUCUGAGAGUGGCUGUUGUUGUGUCCAUUAACGGCAUCUCAGCAACACUAUCUUCUGCUUCUUCCUUCUUCUUGUUGCCGCUCGAGAGCCUCACUAAGUUCGUUUCAAAGGAAGAACACUCGCUAUUUUUUUAAUUAUUAUUUAAAGGUUAAAUUUAAAAAUAUUUGUAGUUUGGGUAAAAAUACUAUCAAACUUUCAAAAGUUACAAACAAAAAAAAUACAUACAUAUAUAUAUUCAACAUUCUUAGUUUCAUACAUACACAUCAGCUUUAAAAAAAAGUUAAAAAUAUUCUCACCAAUCAACUUUUACAUCAAUUUUUUCAUUAAACUAAACAAAAUUUAAUUAAAGAUAAAAAAUUUGAAUUCAUUUAACUAUUCGCAUAAAGUUAGAGGAUAAAUAUCCUAAAUCUUACUAGACUAUUAACCCAUGAUGAUAAUUCUUAUUUCAUUUGGUAAGAUUUUGUGAAAUUUUACGUUUUAGCUAAAAUUUAAAACAUGGAAGGUGAUGUAUAUAUGAAAAUCUUGAUUUUACAUAAAAUUCCAUUUCGAUUUAUAUCUUUAAAAAAUUUUAAAAUAAAAUUUAAUUAAUAAAUAAAUAAUUUAUUAUUUUCAUAUAAGUAAACAGGAUGAAUUCAUACAAAUGUGAAUUAUAAAGUUGAGUUUUAAUUUAACUUUUUGGUUUUUAUUUUAAUAUUAAAAAAAUUAACAUAAAAAUUAGAUUAAUAAAAAUAUUUUUUAUUUGGAGAGAUAUUUAUAAAACAAAACUUUAACAAAUUUCUUCCAAAAACAAACUAUAGUUUUUAUAAACUCUUUUAGAAAGUUGUAAAAGCUUUUUGAAAAAAUUUAUAGGUAUUUUUGAGGAAAGUGCAUUUGAUGUUAUUUAAUCGAAUUCUCGGACAUUUUAUUGGUGACUGAAAAAUUUCCCUUUUAAUAUUUAUAUAUUAACGAAACAUCAACCAAAAGGCCUUCUCUUCUCCUCUUCUCUUCUCUUCUCUUCUUCUACUUCACUUUUCUUCGCCAAACACGAAUUCCCCAACCUUCGCCUCACUUCAUCAUUUUUUCCAAUUCCAUUCUUCCUCCAAUUCAUCUUCCAAUCCUCAAUCGGGGUCACCGGAGCCUUAUCUCCGUCUAGUUUUACAAUCGAACCGGAAGAUUUCCAUUCUCAGAUUCAAUAUUGUUCCGCAGUGCUUUUGGGUCAGUUCUUGAUUCGUUUUGAUCCGUUGAAUAAUCUUCCUUACUCUCUCUUGCUCUUUUUGUAUUCUGUAUUUUUUUGUGUUUUCACUUUUGUUUGUUGAUUGUUCUUCGGGGCUUUUUGGUUCUGGAGCUAGGGUUUGUUUUCCUCCCUUUUAUAUGGUUCUACUUUUAUUACGCGGCUGUUUUUUCAUGUACGUAAUAUUUUUUUUAUAUGGGUUUUCGUGAUUUUUACCUUAUUAAUCGUCGUCUGCAGUUUUGGGUGGUGUUAAUUUUAUUUAAUAUUCGAUUACGACAAUGACCUAUGCCUAAGCAGAUCGUGUUUAGAGAUUUUGUGGAUGAUUUUAAUAUUAAUUCGUCCGUGUUAGCAUCUUGUUCUUAUCUUUCUAAUUAAUUGGUUCUUUCUUGUGUUUGUACUUUUUUUUUCUGUUUAAUUAGUGAAAAAGUCGAGGGAUGUUUGAAGGGAGAAGGUUUUUGUCGAUCCUUCGAGAUUUCCCUAUAUAUAUGAUUUGAAUGUUCUUUUUCAAGGAUUGUUGAACUCUUUGGUUGAUUGCUUUUCUAAUGAUGAUUCAUUCUAAGCAGUCUGAGACUGAGUACUCAUUGCCUCUCGAUGGACAAAGGAAUGCCCCCUACCCUUUUUGUCAACGACGGAUCAUUUAUGGAAAGGUUUAAACAACUCCAACAGAAAAAUGGUGAGAAGGAUAAGGAUAAAGAUAAAGGUGCUACCUCUGAGGAGCCAAAACCAAUCAAGAUUAUAGCAGGGACUUCAAUUCCACAUAAUACUAGUGGUAAAACUAGUAUGCAGUUUAAGGGUGGUGAGAUUCGUAAGACUGCCCCAACUGGAAAACUUGCUUUCAGCUUGAAGCAGAAGUCUAAGCUUGUGGCACCUUCUGUGAAGUUAGGAGCAGAUGAGGAUGAAGAUGAACCUGAUGCGGUAGAUGCAUCUGAUCAUCUACCAGAGAAGCGUCAAAAGUUAGGUCCACAAGAUGGUACUGAGCAGCCAGUACUUCAAUCUGGUGAUGGUAAUACUAAUUACUACUUUAUACUGACACUCCUCUCUUUUGGGAUUAAUGGCAAGUAUCUGCCAGAGUUUGUAAACCAAAAAACCUGGUCUGUUUAAGGCCAUUUCUGGUUGAUGCGGUGAAUUGGUACUUAAUUUCUGAUGUUCUGUUAUAUGCAUGUUCAUUCAUGAUUCAAAUUUUGUUACCCUGGAGCAUCUAUUUGUUGGCUUGCUUAUAUUUUUUAUUGACAAGUUGACUCAAGUUAUUGUCUUGAACCACUGUUAUCUGCAGCUAUUGAAAAUUAUUUGGGAUAGGGAGGUGAGCAAAUAACUUGUAUAUAAUUUUCAUUUUUAAGUCAUUAAGAAUGUCGGACCUCAAUUGUUUUAAGCUGAAAAGAACUAUGGUUCAGGGUGUUGCUCUCAUGUCUGCAUUCUUCCUUUCUGUUUUCCAACUUAAAUUGGUCUGUGGAAGAUUUCUUACUGAUUUCAUCUUCACCCUUUCAUCUAUUUAGCAUUAGUUUUUGCAUGAAGAGUCGCACCUUGUUCUUGAGACGAUGGAAAACCAUUUUUUGUUCUAUUGGGGGGUUGGGGCAUUAUAGAAUUACCAUCUAGGUCACUAUCCAUUUCCCCCUUCAAUUAACUCUAAUGGCUUUGUUGGGACCGUGAGUUUAGAUCUCUUCUAAAACUUGGACUGCUUCACUUGUAGAGUACAAAGCACUCUUGAAAAUUUCUUGUCUCAUGAAUGCAGUGUAUACCUUUAAUACCUUUCAACAUUGGUGGAAGAGAUGUUCAAUGAAAGAAUUGGAAUAUGUAGCAGCCUGCUGCAAGAGUAAUUUGCAUUCACUUGUUCAUGCUCUUGGUAUUAAUCAGUUUUAUAAGUGAUAUGCAGCACCACCUUCACCAAGUGAUCCUACAGUGAAGAAAGUUGCCGACAAGCUAGCAAGUUUUGUGGCUAAACAUGGAAGGCAAUUUGAGCAUGUUACUCGCCAAAAGAAUCCUGGAGAUACACCAUUUAAGUACGUUCUUGUUGUGCUUUAAAAGUUCCCAUGCAUUGUUCUUUCUUAACAUUGCCGUUGCUACUGCUUUCUUGAAUCUAUUGCUUCAUUUGUUUUUUUUUAUGCUUAGCUUCUCACUUCUCAAUAAAUGUUUUUUUAACAAAAUAUCCAUCAAUCUUUGCAGAUUUCUGUUUGAUGAGAGUUCUGCAGAUUACAAAUACUAUGAAUAUCAGCUAGCUCAAGAAGAAAAAGCUUUCUCAGAAACCGUCGAACCUAAAUCCUCUAAUGGUUUGGGCUUCUCACUUGAUUCUCAUAUUAUCUUUUUGAAAACAAGCAUUUGUGUCAUUGAUGACUUAGGGUUUUCUCAUGGGUUUUUCCUCGAGAUCCCAUUUUUUUAUGAAAUGUUUUUGGGAGAUUAAAUUGUUUUUCACAUUCAUUUUGCCCUUUCUAUCUGUAGAUGGUGGGAGCACGCAAACUUCUAAGCCAAGGACUGGUUCCCAGAAAUCUCUCCAGCAGUCUUCCUCAUCAAAUUAUCAAACCCCUGCCUCUGCUUUAUAUGAACCAUCAGAAGAUUCAAGGACUUCAGUGGGUUCAUCUAAUACUACUGCGUGGCCUGAAAGAGCAGGUAACUAUUUGACACCGUGACUGUUUAGUGCUCACUAUGUUUCAAUGAAUUGAUAUUGUACUUGACGUGUGGUUUUCACUUUUUAAGGUGAAACUAGACCACCACCAUCUAGUGGAGAUCCGAUUGCAAUGAUGGAAUUCUACAUGAAGAAAGCUGCUCGUGAAGAGCGGAUGAGGCAACCUAAACAGUCAAAAGAUGAAAUGCCUCCUCCUGCGUCUCUUCAAGGUAUCAACCUGCUGGGGUGUAGCUGGUUGACCAUUAUUUGUUUAGCCUGUGGCAUUAGUGGUUUUAUUGCUUGAACUUCCUUUUCUAUUUUGGGGGUGCUGUGCAGCUUCAGCUUUAGGGAAAAGAGGGCAUCACAUGGGUGACUUCAUUCCCCACGAGGAGCUUGAAAAGUUCUUAGCUACAUGCAAUGAUGCGUCUGCCCGGAAAUAUUCUAAAGAAGCUGCUGAUAAGGCUAAAAUUCAGGCUGAUAAUGUGGGGCACAGACUCCUAUCUAAAAUGGGAUGGAAAGAAGGUUCCCUCCCUCCCUCUUUCUUCAUAUUUUUUCUCACACACCACAUGUCACAUUGCACAUGGGUCAGUACAUAGACCAUUGGACUCGACAAUGCUAGGAUCUAGAAUUUUUAAUUAGAUAUAUCUCCAAGUUCAUUUUGCUAAAGGCUUUUAACAAGUCCUUAGACUUCUUUUCCUGGAGCUUACGUUGAACCCAAAGUUCAUAUUAUAAUUCCAGUUUAUUUGAGAAUUCAUUUGGUAAUGAAGGAGCCUUCUAAUACUGGCAAGAGAACUGCAGGUGAGGGUCUGGGAAGCUCCAAGAGUGGAAUUGCAGAUCCCAUAAUGGCGGGUGAUGUAAAAACAAAUAACUUGGGUGUUGGAGCCCAUCAACCUGGUGAGGUGACUCCUGAAGACGAUAUAUACGAGCAGUACAAAAAACGAAUGAUGCUUGGUUAUCGUUACAGACCGAACCCACUGGUAUUUAUUUAUCACACCCAUUGAAGUUGCGCUUACUUCAAUACCUAGUUAAUCAAGUAGUUUUGAUGUCAUACUUUUUUGUUUUCGUAGAAUAACCCUCGGAAAGCAUACUAUUGAUUGAUGACGGUUCUGCAAAGGCACUUUGAUCAUUCUGGCUCUGUUUGAAAAUUAUGAGAAAAGCCAAACUACGUGGUGGGAGUGGAAAUUAUCUCGAUCUAUUGUGGCAUAAUUGAUGUCAUAACUCAAUAAAUAAUCAAUAGAUGUAGUUCUUUUUAUCCUGUCAUCGUUUUGUUUUUUUUUCCCUUCAUUUUCCAUGUGGUGUGGGAUUCGGGGAUCGGGAUCAGGGUCAGGGCGGGGUUUUGUUUAAUCCUAUUGUGCUUGAUCAGUAUACUGGACUCGUCCUAUUUUUGUGUUAAAUAUGCAUAACUUGAAGCGUUAAUUACCAUUCCUUUUUUUCUUCUUUUCUUCUAAGCUCCAUUGGCUUGCUAGAGCAUCAUUCUGUAGUACUUCUCGGAUAAUUGUGGAGUUUGACCUAAACAAGUUUUGGCUUUUAGAUGAACUACCCAUUCCCUACCCCCCUCACCUCCAAUGUCAUCAAUGUUCUUUCUCUUGCUUUUCCCACCUUUUUGACUUAAAUUGUUUCAAUUGAGCAAAAACUUUACAGCGUUUUCCCCUUCUGUCGUGUUCUUUCUCCAUUUGUGAUUCUGCAUCAGGUUUCAUAGACAGCAAAACCAAUUCGAUUCUGACUCAAGAUGCGGUUUACCACGAUCAACCUCGCUUCCUCAUUUGUAGCUCUAAAAGCACCACUCUUUUUUGCAAAUGUGAUUAAAAUUUAAGUUAUUUUUCAAGAAUUGAGGCAAUUUGUCAAUAUUUAUCGAUGGGAAGAAUCAAGUUAUUUUUCAAGGAUUGGUGCAAUUUGUCAAUAUUUAUUAAGGAUAGGAAGAAUCUUGGGCGAGUGUUUAUCAUUGCCAGGAAUUACUACAUUUUGGAUCUGCUUCAGACAAAUUUUUGGGUCAUUUUCCUGCAAAGUCGUUAAUAUUAUUUUUUGACUUGGAUUAAAAGUUAUAUCUUUUAUUGACAUAUUUAAAUCUUCUGACAUUUUGAGCUUCCUUAGGAUGAACUAUUAAAACAAUUGACCAAAAGGGUUGUGAAGUAAUUGACCAAUAAGGGUUGUGAAAUAAUUGACCAAUAAGUUUUGUGUGAAAUGUAGAAAACUUGUGACAAUUAUCCCAUUUUUGGUUAUUGACAAUUCAGGUUGGGAAAGGGACUGCCGAGGGGAAUGAAAAUUCUUUUUAGUGGGUAAUUUCUAAAAACACAAACUUCUGCCUUGAAAGCCCAACAAGUUUAUGGUAUUUUUGUCCAAAGAUGAACAAGAGAUCUUUAGGUUAGUUUGAUCAAGUUAAUUUUUUUGUGGGAAUCGUUUUUGCAAAAUUUGAACAAAAUAGACUUUGAGAUGAUUUCAAGUGGACAUGAUAAUAUUCAUAAUAGGUUGUCUCCUCAUUUUUAUGGUAGGAUAGGGCGAACAAAUUAGUAGCCUAAUCAAUCUAAUUGACGUAGGAAAAGUAAUAUAUAAAUUCCAAGAUUGCAACAAUAGAAUCGAAAUCCCAAUCUAGUUUCCAUCUUUUGAUUCAUGGAGGUAUAUAAUUUCACUUAUCUAAGGUGGGUUUAUCUUGCAAGUAUUGAUGCAUGAAAAUAGAGGGUGACAGAUUCAAGGAAAAAAAAGUUCCAAAAUGGAACUUUAUGCAUUUAGAUUGGGACUAACACUCUUACUCUCCCUCGCUUGCAAGAAAUCCGACACUUACCAUUCUCAAUCUUCACAAUCCAUCUCGAUCUCCUUUCUUUAUGUAAUAUUCAUCAAUACAACAUCUCCAAUUUUUUCUUGCUUACUAGUGGGUAGAAUUUAGUUAAGAUCUAAGUAGCUCAAACCUCCCUCAUUGCAAUAGGAAGCAUAAUAUCAAAAUUGCUAGUUAGUUGAAUGGAAAUCUAUCUUCUAGUCUUCUGAUCUAGAUAAUCCAAGUUCCACUCUUUACAAUUUUAUUCUCCCGUCAAUAAAAGUGUCUCAUUGCAACGUUCCAAUAGCCAUCGACAUCUAUGGAAGGAAGUUAGGAGAGCAAAAGAAACAAAAAAAAGAAGGGAUAAUUGUGUAGUUUUGGUUGGUAACGUAAGGUAGAAGAAAAUCUUAAAAGUUAGAAAAAUUGGAGAAAAACAAUGUUUGGGAUAAUGAUUCCAUAUCAAAAUUCUCAUUAUUUUUUGGGAUAGAAAAAGAAAACUCCAAACAUUCUUAGAAUUAAUUGGUUAAUGGAAUUAUUGGAGAACUCAUUCGGAAUCGUAAAUGGGAACAUUGUGGGGGAGGCAGUUAUCCCGGUGAAGGCGUAACUUAUUGGGGCAUCCAAACACUACUCAGAUCCGAAUCCAGACGACAAUUGAAGCGUUGUCGGCGGUGAAGGUCUCAAUGCUCCACCUAACUUAACUUACCAAUAUAUAAUCAAAAUGAAAAACGACAAGUCGUUGACGAAACUUAUGGCUGCGUUCCGAUUGGAUGAAGGCAAGUUGAAGGGGAUCGGAUCCUCCCUUUUCCGGCGGCUGCGGUGAGGGCAUUAUUUUAGAUUUUAAAAUUGGCAUCUCAAUUAUUAUUUGAAUUUCUCUGUUUUUAUAAGCAUAUGUUCUACAUUCCUUUUUAAAAAAAAAAAAGAAAACACAGAAUAUUCUUUAAUAAUACAUAUUUUCCAUUUUCAACUUGUCUUUCACCUUAACAUACACAUCAUUUUUAUGUUAUAUAAAUGUAUGAUCUGAUCAUGAGUCAUGGCCCUCUAAUUUUCCUUUUUAGGUGAUGGAUUGCGAUGUGUUAGUUUCUUUUCAAAUGCAUGAUCUUUAUGCAUUAUUUUACAUUAUCAAACUUUAUGAUCAGAUUAUGGAUAUAUAUGUAUGUAUAUAUAUAUAUAUAUUAGGGAGAUUGUUUAAUUAUAUCACACUACUUUUCUUAAAAAGCCACUCCUUUUUUCCCCCUCUCCUCAAGUCUAUUUUUAAAAUGAUUGUAAAGUUAAAAAAAAGUUGUUUGAUAUGUGUUCUUAGGAGGGAGGUGAGUGAGAAGGUAACUGGGUUAUAUAAUUAAGGGAAUAAACAUGAUAAUGUUAGAACAAUAUAGUGUUAAAGUCGUUAUAAAUUUGUAGUACAUAUUCGUUUGGGUGAAUCCAAAAGCAAAGAUAUGAGUAUAAAUUUAUAUUAAGGUCGAUUAUAAAUGUUGGUGGGAAAUAAUGUAAUAUGGGUGAACUAAUUAAGUUUACCAAACUUAACUUAUUGUUUAGUAAAAGGAUAUAUUAAACUUGUGAAAGUAAGUAUAAGGUUCUUACAAGUCACAUUUGUUGUUGUGAUUAAUUAGUGGUCACUCCACUUACCUUACAAAUGUCAUCUCAUUCCAUUUGAAAGCAAUAAUGUUUAGUUCAAGAAACGUUAAAUAAAAUAAAAUUAGUUGUGUUUAGAUGAUCAAAUAUUGUUUUUCAAAAUCCAAAAUUAUAGGAAAAACCCAACCAUUUUUAUUUAUUUAUUUAUAUUUUAAAGAGCUUUGAUUGAAAAAGGAAAAUACCAACUCCCAAAUAUAAAAAGGUAAUAUGAAUAAGACUUAAAAUAAUAUAAUUUAGUUUCAUAAUUGGAAAAACGUAGAGAACACCCCUUUGAAGAAAUUACAACCCAACAAGAAACCAUUUCUCAAAAGAAACAUUAUAAUAAUAGAAAACAGUUUGGACUUUCAUCCUUUUUUAUUCUUUUAUUUUCUUUUUUUGUCAUAUUUAAUUUUCGUUCAUUUUAAUUAUUUUUUCCUAAAAAAGGCUACAAAAACACUCUCACUCAACUUUAUUCUAUACUUGUAUAACAUAUUUUCAUACACUUUGUUUUUUCUUCCACAUAAAUUAUUAAUAUUUAGAUGAUAAAACUACAAGUAAUGAUGUUGAAAUAAGCAGAAAAAUAACCAAAAAUUAAAAAUUAUUAUUACGAUUUAAUGAAAUUUGUUUUGUUGUAUAUGUAAUUUGAUAAACUAAUCAAGAAUCAAAUCUUUUAUAAAAACUAUAAAGAUUAAGUCGUUAUAUAAUAGGUAUGGAAUUUUUUAACUAUACAGAUCAAAAUUAUUACAAAUAUUUGACAGUUUAAUUUAGGGAAAAAAGAGAAGAGAGGGUUAAAAUAAUUUGUAGGCAAGAAUAGUUUUAAAAAAAAUGAUAUGAAUGGGGACGAAAAGUAUGAUGAUAAGGCCACGUUUGGAAGUGCUUACCGACUUUAUGAUAUAUAUUAUAUAUUAUAAUGAGAAACACUUUUGGCUUUGGUUGCAUUUCCCCAAUCUUAGUUGUAAUUAAUUUUUGUCUUUUUGUGACAUAGGAAAUGUAUUUGGUUCUUAAUUAUUUGAACGAACGAAAGAAAGAGAGGAAGAAAACAAACCAUUUUCUUUCCCAAAUCUAUGGUCCAAUUUCCAUUUUUCAUGAAUCCACUUUCCUUUUUCAUUCUCUGGUUUCAUCUCUUUAAAAGCCAUCUUUUGGAUUUAUUUUCCCUCUUGACCUCUUUUUCAACUUCAAAUUUGGUGUCUAAUCAAUUCUCAUUACUACCUUUUAACCUUUCUUUUAAAUUAUCUAAAAACUUUAAUAACAACUUAAAUUUAAUAUUUAUAAAAUCUAGUUAUUAUGUACUAGGAAAGAUAUAAAAUUAAAAAUUAGGGUUUAUUAAAUUUUCAAUGGUUCAAACAAAUCAUUUUUAUUAGAGUUGUAAAGUGUAGUGAAUGUGAAAUAACUAAUAAAUUGAAACAAAUAAAAUCACAACCAUAUAUUGUAUCAUAUAGGGAGACAUGAUCAUAUGAUAGAGUUAGUUGGAUGGAUUAGAAUAAGGUUAAAUAGUUUUAAUUUGAGCAAAAGUUAAACAUGAUUGAGUUAGUAGCUAGAUAAUUAUUAUAUUUACUAUUAUUUGUUUCUUUCAUUUUCUUAAUACAUUUAUUUAAGAUGCGGAUUGUAUAUCGCCACGACAUUCUCUUUUUUAAAAUAUUACAUUACAUAUAACUACGAGAUUGUUCAGAUCCAUCUUUUAUAAUAUAUGUAUUGUUAGGUCCACACACACAAAGUUCUAUACGUAACCUAUCGAUAUGAGGUGGAGAGAAAUAAUAUUAUAAUCAAAUAUCUCUAAUAAAAAAGAGCUCAAGUUGUUAUGUAAUUAGGGUAAAUUUUUAUCGUUGGAAUAUAACAUGAAAUCAAAUAUGAAAUAUGAACAAUAAAAAUUAUAUAAUGAUUUUGUUUAGAAUCUUUGCAUAAAAAAUGAAUUUUUAAAAAAAGAUUAAAGGAGGUGUAAUAACCAUUUUAAUUUUAUUAAGCUAAACAAAUAAUAGUUUGAUAAACACAACACACAAGAGAUUAUAAUAGUAAAAAGUAGUUCGGUCAAAAUAUAAUAGUGGUAAAGUUCGAAAACCAAAUUUAUCUUAUCGGAUUCAUUUCUUCGGAUGGAGUUAAAUUAUGCUAAAAUAUUAUUUAAGUUAUAAUAACACGACAUAAAAAUAUUGAAAAUAAAAUGAUAUGAAAGUUUAAAGUCUUAUAUUAAUAAUAUAAAAAAAAAAACGUUAAAAGUUUACUUUAUUUAAUUUGAUAACUAUUGAAUAAAUUAAACUUUUUAGAUUUGAUUUACUAUUUCCUUUCUAUAUUUUAAAUAAGGUUUUACUUUAGAUCUGAACUCAAAGAUAUUAAUAUAAGAUUUAGCAUUUCAAAAUAUAACGUGACAUAUAAGUCAGAGAUUAUUUAGAUCUCCAAUUUACACGACCUAUACUUGGGUCCAAAGCACGAGUAGUGUAGGUAAGAUAUUGAUAUUAAAUAAAAAGAAAUAAUAUUAUAAUCACAUACUUUUUAUAAAAAAGAACUCAAGUUGUGAUGUUAAGUUAAAAUUGUGGUUUAGAUAUAAAGCAUGAAGGUCAUUUAAAUACACUACUACUAUAUAGUACUAUGAGAUGGACAGAAAAAUAAUAUUUAAUUGCAUCAUAUUUAAAUCAAUACUUUAACCCUAAAAUUUAAAGUAAAUUCAAUAUUACUUUUCAACUAUUAUUACCUCAAAAAAUAAAUAGUCAAAUGCCUUGUUCACAAAAUAUUUUCAUAAGAACAUGGACAAUUUUAUAAAAUAAAUUCCAAGGUACCCUUGAAUUCACUAUUGUUUUUUCUUAUAAAAAAAGGUAACAUAUUAAAUUUGAAAUGUGGGUUGAUGAGUGUAUCUAAUUAUAUAGUUGAAAUUUGAAAAGGAUUCACUAAUUUAAUUACUUGUUAUUGUUAAUAUUAAAUUAAUUGGUUCAGAUUGUAGUUAGUGACAAAAGAAGAAUGGGGUGACGUAAGCUUCUCAAUCUCUAAUUUUGCUCUUAAGGCUUUGUAUCCCAUUGUACGGACAUUGAUACAGAUGAUGUCAUCCAACUAUUUUAAAUACCACUUCAUCAAUAUCUCUUAUUUUUUAAAUAUAUGAUCAUUUAAAUUAUUUUUAAAUUAAGUAUUACUGUUUUUCUUUUUUCUUUUUUUUUGUGUUAUUGAUAAAUUAUAUUUGACUUUUGAUUAAUUAAAUAAAUUGCUUUAGCUACACUACCAAGUUAGUAUAAAAUUAUUCACUAAUUACACAAUGAGCUUCCUUUUAAUAUUACACUAAAACCAAAAUUUUAAUUUAUUUCCUAUUUUUUUUAUUAAUGUAAGAAUCAUGAGUAAAUUAAAAUAGGGGUCUAUUUUUAAAAAAAAACUUAAUAUAAUUAAUUUCAAUAAACUCAAAACAAAGCCUUCAAAAUUUUUUUAAAAAAAACUGUUGAAUAGAGAAAUUUUAGAUUAAUAACAAAUUGCCACGUCAUUUAGCUGAUUAAAGGUACAAAUAAUUAAAUUUGUAACUAACUAAAAUAAUUGAUAUGUGUCCCGAAUUAAACCAUAAAUUGGUCAAUUUUGAUAAUGCCACAUGUAUUAUAACUACCAAAUUAAUUAUUUUGAUUGAAUUAAAUAUUAUUUACUUUGGUUUAAGUUGAAUCCAAAAAUAAGCUUAAUUGAGCUCAACAGUUAAAUAUGACUCAAAUCCAUGUGGUUAAGUUCAUAACGUUCCCUACAGAACUUUAUAAAUAGAAUAGUUCUCCUCGUUUGUAAGGGUUGGAAAUUUUUUACUCCAUAAAGUUUAGAGAGAAUUCACCAAAUAACUAGAAGAAUCUAUGAUUCCUGAAGUUGAUUGCCCUCGAAGAUUGAAGCUCAUUUAAAGAUAUAAGUUUUCUUCUAAUACUUCAACUUUAAGAACAUCAUGUGCUCCGUUUUCUCCAAAUCAAGCGUAAACAUCACAUUAAAUCAACAAAAAUACAACAUCAACUCAAGUUCAACGAAAACCUUAUGCAAACAAUAACCAUAAAAAAAUUAGGCACAUAAAUAAUAAUUUAGAUAUUUAAAAAAAUUGAGUCAUUUUAAAAGUAUUAUAAAUAUGACUUUGAGAAUAUUUCUGAUAGAGUUUUAGAAGAAUGAACAAUAGGUCAACGAAGAAACGGUAAAUAUAUACAUAUAUACGUUACAAGUUAGGUGAAUUUUUUUGACAAUAUAUUAUUAAUUAGACUAAUUUUUAAUUUAAAUAAACUCUUUCAAUGGUAUUAAUAAAUAUCUGUCAAGUACUAGAGGUGGGGAGUAGAGUUAUUGAUACAUACAUACACACACACACAUAUAUAUAUAACUUAAAAAUAUCACUUAAUACUAAACAAAAUAAACAUCAGUUAAUAUCGACAGUAUCAUAUUAAAUAAAAAAUAUUAGACAUCACUUAAAAAAAUUGAAUUUUCAGUACCUUAUAAACAAAUCGCAAAGUAACAUUUAAAUAUUAGGAAAGACUAAAAAUAAUCAUAAUUUUUUUUUAUAAAGAAUUGGAUUAUUUAAUUACACAAGGCGUAAAAAACGUGAUAAUUUUGUAAACAUAAAUAAUAUGAAUUUGACCAUAAACAAAUUAUAUAUAGUUAAUUAGAUGGUAAUUAAAAUUAUAAGAAGAAAAAUUGAAAAGAUAGUAAAUGGUCGCAUUAAGUUGGCUAAACUGCCCUCUCUGACUUUAUAUUUAAUUUUAUUAUAAUGUUUUUUGUUUCACCUUUGAUUUAUUUUUAAUUUUAUGCCUUGAUGUCUCUUUCUUUUAAAAAGUUGAAUAAAACAAGGAAUUAAAAUACAUAUAUUUCUUCCAUAGGUUGAAUUCCAAACCUUGAAACCGCUUUUAAAGAUUAGCGGUUUUGUUGACUUUAGUUGUCAAAGUCCUUCAAGGAUCACACACCACAUUUUAUAACCUUUUUUAUUUUCACUAUUAAAUUCCACUUCAAACCUACAAGUAAGUAAUAUAUAUUAAACGCCCAAAUUGGCUUUUGCCCUUUUUUUGGGUAACAACGUUUGUUUUAAAGCUUCAUUUAUUUUUAAAUAUAACACCCCAUAAAUUGUAUACUUUUAAUCAUUCUAUUCUUUUUUUAUUAUAAUAAACAUCAUAAAUUUUGACACGAGCUUAACUAGAUUCACAUAAAUAUAUAGUUCGAAUCUAAUAAUAUUUAGAGUGGUUUUAUAAUUUUCUACGAUUUUAUUUUUAUGCACUAUUAAUCAGUAGAGAUAAUUUAAUAACAUUUAACUAAAUAAUAUAUUGAAUUGAUAAAUUAAAACUCUGAAAGGAUGAAUGUUGGCAUGACAAAAAAAACAAAAUAAAAUAAGACUUGAGUUAGCUUUAUUAAUCACAAAAUAAGACUUGAGUUAGCUUUAUUAGCUCAUUUUGUUAAUUGACUAUAUUAAUUAGAUUAAGUUCCUACGUGUCUAUUUGGGGAAAAUUUUAUAAAUAUUUUUACUAAUCAUAUUUUUAAGAACAAAGCCUUAGUAAUUUCACCAUAAAUAAAUAAUUAUAUUUUCCACUAAGAGAAAUUACAGUUUUGCCCUCGUCGAUUUGAUUCGAUCUCUGUGGAUAUAAAUUUUCGCUCUAAUAUAAAAUUCUAUGGAGAGAAAAUAAAUAACAAUAUUGUACUUUUUUUCAUUUUUAAUAAUUUUAACCUUUCCUAAAAAAUAAUUUAUUAGUUUAAAUUUAAGUGAGAUAUGACGAUACUUAUCGACAUUUGUGAAAAAUAUUAAAAUAAGCUCAAUAGAAAAACAUUAAUAUUAAAGUGAUUUUUCCGAUAAAUUUUUACUCUAUUUUAAAUUUUAUUGAAUUAAAAGUAAGUUUUAUGUUUCUUGAAAUACUCGUUUCUAAAAUUUUCCAUUUAAAACGUAAUAUGAGUUUAUUAAUAUUAAUUUAUGUAUAGAGUCCCUUUCUUCGAUUUAAAGUCCAAAAGGUAGACACAUAAGAGUCAUUAGUAUAACAUAGUUAAAGAGAAAAAAAAAAGUAUAAUAUAUGUAUAAAGAUAUUAAAAUAAAAUUGAAUGAAUAAAAAUUUCAUGUAGGUACUAUAUAAGAUUUAAAAAAGACUUUGUGUUAUAACAUUAUUAUUAAUUAUAUGAACUAGUUGCCCCUUUCAAUGAAUGCCCAAUUUGUUCAUAAUAACUUUAGUUGACUUCUAAUUUUAAAGUCAACACCUAGUUAUUAUAGUGAGUAUAUAUAUAUAUAUAUAUAUAUAUAUAUAUAUACUAACAAACAUUAUGCCCUUUCCUUUAAUUAAUCCCACUUUAAUUAAUAAUACUUAAAAGAAGACUCUACUUUUGUUUUCACUUCUAUAUUCAUUAAAUCUCAAUUGAUGAUAUUACUUCUAUUAUUGCAACAUUUUGAAUUUGAAUCAAUAACAUUCAACACACGUUAACAUAAUAAUUAAACAUUGCUUUUAGAAAUGUACAUGUUAAAGUUUGUUUCAUUUCAGUGACCCUAAUUGAAAUUAUGUUGAGUUAAUACAUUUUCAUGCAAGCUAUGAGCACUUUUAUGACUAAACCAAUACUCCUUUUCUUUUCUUUGGGAAUUAGUACUUCUAUGUUAAAUGCUUUUCUCAAGCUUUAUUUUAAUAUUUCAAUGUUAUUUUCAACCCCCUUUUUUUUUAUCUACUUCACCCAUAUUUUCAUGGAUUGGUUUGACCAUUUUUGAGUUAAUCACAAUGAAUAAUUUUGUUUAAUUGGUUUCACUAGUUGAAUUUUUAGAUCAUUCCAAAAUAUAAACAUAAAUACAAUACAAACUUUAAUGGUAGACAUUAAUAUAAAUAUAAUUUGACUAAUCUACUCCUUAAAGCUUAGAAUUGAAUUCAAUGAUUUGAAUGUUUUAAGGGAAGGUGUUAAAUUUGACAAACUACAAGAGGAAAAAACCAAAAAAGAAAGAGAGGGAUAGGAAAUAAUGAGUGAUAUUAUUGUAGCAUUGAUUCUGGUUUAGGUAAUCUUCUUGAGCAUAAUGAAUGGAAGGGGUUGAGAAGUAUUGACUUUAGAAAUGGGAACUCGGAGGGUGACUCGCCGAGUUAGAUAAUAUUUGGAUGUAUACAAAGCAUCAAUGUCCUUAUCCAUUUUGAGAAGGCAUAUUUCAUUUUCAAACUUUAUGAGAAAGUAAAGAUUUUUUUUUUUCUCUUUAUACAAGAAAAUUUCUAAGCAUAGUGUUGUACAAGCCAAGUCGGCUAGGGCAAAUUUAUUAGGAGUAUCAUUUAAUUCAAAAUAUCUCUUCUUUUUUCAUUCAGUCUUAUCCUCCUAUUUUCAUCGUUUUUGUCUUUUACUUCAAAGUCUUGUUCAUACGAGAUAAUUUCGAGUAUUAUUAUGGUAUAUGAUUCUCAUUCAUAACUUACUAUAAAUUAAAGUAGCGCGUUUAAGAAUCAUGUGGAGUUCAUAAAUAUUGAAUUAAUAAAUCAUUUGAUGAAUUAUCAAAUGAUGAAUGGAAGUAGUACGUACUACGAUAGUAUUAUAUAUUUUUUUAAUUUACUAUUAUCCAUGAGAUGUAACCACAAAAAAAUUAACGUGAUAAGUUAGUGCAAUCAUGAUAGUAUUGAAUUGUUUUAUUUAUGGUUGUUCUCAAAGUGGAUGAGUUUAACCUUGUCCUAAUAAGUGAAUUGAUAUUAGUUGUAAUUUAUCAUCGUUCGGUCUAAUCCGUUUUUUUAACCAAAUCGUCAUUGAAUCGAUUAUGAUUGGUAUAGUGAAUGAUGAAACGGACAUCAACGGUUGAUGAAGACAUAUUUCUAAAACGUAAAUAAUAAGCAAAAAGAAAAUUACAAGGGUAAAUAUAUUAUAGACAUUUAAACAUAUUUUAAAAGGUUAAAAUAUUUAUUUAUUUUAUGAAUAAAAUUCACCAAAUUCCAAAUUGAUCAAAUAAUAUCUUAAAAUUUCUACAAUUCAACUUUAUGGACUAUUAAAAUCACUAUAUGAUUAAAAUUGAAUGCUUAGUAGCUUAUUCUUCAAAAUAGUAAUAAUAAUAAUAAAUGUGUUUGGCUUAUUACCGAAGUAAAAAUAAUUUCAUGUAUUUAAAAAUAAUAGGAGUAUUUACUCAGCUUAAAUACUGCAAUUAAGACUUCAAGAAAUUCUUUUAGUUUUAUUUUAUCCAAACUACGGAUAUUACACAAAUUUAUCUUCCUCUUCUUCUUUUUUCUCUUUUUUUUUCAUUUGUAAUGAACUUAAUACAUAAUAAUUAUAUGAAUAAAUAAAUGUAUUAACAUCAAACUUCAUAGUUCCAAAUAUUGUUUAUUAGUUGAAGUGUUUAAUUUAAUACAUUAGCCACUCAAAUUCACGAGAAUGUCUUACUACAAAAAUUCAAUCAUAAAUUUUAAUUCUUUUUAAGUAUUCAUAAAUCUAAUAAUGACGUUUUUCUUAUAAAAAUGAAAAUAAAUAAAUAAAUAAAUCGAACGCGCUAUAUUUUUAUUUAGAAUAAAACUAUGUCAAAAACACGAGGGGGCGGAGAAUGACCAUUUUGGUCAACGAAAAUAUGAUGUCACCGAGUAGAUUCCCUCUCAAUGUAUUGGCAUUUUUGGUAAUAAACUUUAAAUUUCAAGGGUAUUCAUCAAACCUUAACCCGUUAAAUAUAUGCACAGGUGGCUCUAAAGGAUAUCGCCACUUUCUUCUUUCUUUUUUUCUUCAAACCUUCAACUGAUAGUGGAGCUUCUUCAGUAUAUGAAUUUAUCAAUCAAUUUGCUUCUGUUUUUCUCUCACUCAAUUCAUUUCUUUACCUUUGGAACUGUCUUUUGUUUGAAUCUUUCAAGUUUAUGAGGUGAGAAGAUCAUUUGGAAAUGGAUUGAAAAUGGUUUUUUGUUCUUGGAUUAUGCUCACUCUUGUGUUUUUUUCUAUGCUGUCUUUGCAGAAUUGGAGUUUGGUUUUGUUGAAUUCAUCUUACUUCUCAUCUGGGUUUCAUUUGAGAACAGUUUUUUUGUGGAUUGGAAUUUUGUCCAACGGUUUAGAGACAUUAUGAGUUUGCUUUACAGUACGAAUUUCAAAUUCUCCAACGACGAAAUGAAGAAAUACCCUGAUUUUAUGGAUUGUGAUUCGACCAACAACCAUCAUUCUCAACAAGAACACAACAAUUCUGGUGGUCUUAUGCGUUAUUGCUCUGCUCCGACCUCUCUGUUUGCGAGUCUCGUCGAUGGAACUGAAGGUUUUAAUUCCAGCAACAAUGGCGGUGGGACCCGUGAGGAUUAUCGGUUUAUUCGAUCUUCUAGCCCUGAGGUCGAAGUUAUUUUGUCGAGGUUUAUGGCGUCGUGUAAUGGAAAAUUUGAUUCGGGAUCUGGUGAGAGGACGGUGAAGGAAGAAACAGGGGAACCGGUUCAACAACAAAACGGGUUCUGUAAUCAACCAUCUUCAAUGGUUAAUACGAGGUCGGUUGAUGCUGGUGGUAGAGCUCCGGUUGGGAACUCGUAUGGUGUUAUGAAUUCUUCGGAUUUUGAUAACUCGAUGCAAUCGCAAUUGGGUGCGAGAAAUUGUUCUAAUCUUUUUAGGCAAAGCAGCUCUCCUGCUGGAUUUUUCUCUCAUUUGAUUGCUGAAAAUGGUAAUAUUUCUGUACAUGAAAUCCCCUUUUUGUUUUUGGUUUUUUUGUUCUCUCAAAUUAUAAGGGUGUAGGCUACAUGGUUUAGUCAACCUGAUUGGUUAAAAAAAUUUCAGCUCCAAUAUUUGUAAAGUCCUUUGCUCCCAUUAAUUUAACUUUAGUCGUUUUUCUUUGGGCUUCUGUUACAAAGAAAUUUAGAUAUUAUUUUGUUUGAUUGGAGAUGCCUCUGUUUUUGUAGGCUUUCCUUUGUUCUUGUAUUCGUUUGUUUACUCGUAUAAAAGAAAAUUCAGAAUAUGGUUUUUAUUUUCCCUUUUUGUGAAAAGAAAAAAGGAUUGCUUCUUCAUCUUCAUAGCAAACAUAGUUCAACUUACAUAUAUAUGUUAACGACGGAGGGCUUUGUGGUUAAAGCUGAAACUGAUAAUUUAGAUCGGAUUCUUUCAUGGAUUAGAUAGUGUAGAUUGAGUAGCUUUUUCGUUGAGUCACUUGUUAACAGGACUACCUCUUGUUAAAUUGCAGGCAAUACAACAAGGGAGGUCGACAAGUUUGGGACUUGCAAUAGGAAAGAUGUAGAUGCUGCUUAUCCAUCUACUCGGAUUGGUAGUCAGAUGAACUUAUCCGGCCAUUCAUUUGGCUCAAACCAUAUGCCACCAAUCGCGGAAGAGGAGAAUAAAAGCAUAGGCAUUGUCGGUAGCUCCCGCCAUCGUCAGAAAGCUAACAGCGGUGAUCGACUUCAGACCGACGAUUUCCUCAAUAGUUCUUGGGAUAACUCUGCAAUGAGGGACACAAAGAGAGGGAGAGAUAACAAUGGGCGUGCAUUUGCAACUUCGAUUGUGCUUGAAACUCAGGUACAACUUGAUGAGAGUACCUGCCAAGUGUUUUCUGAUUAAUAAUGUGCUUUGCGAUAGGGUUUGGCUUAACAAGUCUUUCUUCAGCAGAAUGCUGAUUCUGGGAAUAACAUUCGUGGAUUGGCUCAUCAUUUGAGUUUACCUAUAAGUUUCAAUAAGGAUCCGGUAGAGAAAUUUUUACGAUUUCAAGAGCCUGUCCCUCAUCAAAUUCGAGCAAAAAGAGGAUGUGCCACACACCCGCGAAGCAUUGCAGAGCGGGUAGAUCCUCUCUUCUUUCAAUCAACCUCUCAUUGUUCUUAACUGAUUAACUCUAAUGUAAACUCAUCAAAUUCUUAAUCUCCUAAUGCUCAAAUUAUCAGAUGAGAAGAACACGGAUUAGUGAGAGAAUAAAAAAACUGCAAGAGCUUUUUCCUGACAUGGACAAGGUAAUUAUCCUGAGCCUAGAUGAUAAAUCUUGUUUAUGUCGUAAAGUUUACAAUGUUUAAAGACUAAAAUAGUUCGAUCGCUCAAUCUUUCUUUGCAGCAGACAAGCACAGCUGAUAUGUUAGAGUUGGCCGUUGAAUACAUUAAAGGGCUGCAGAGACAGGUCAAGGUAACCUCCAAAAGCAACCUAAAGUUCAUAAAAUCACAUGAAGAUCCAGCCAAUACCUUUUACUCACAAGAAUCACUUUUCUUUUCGUGCAGACUCUCACAGAUACGAAAGCGAAAUGCACUUGCUCAUGUUCGAGUCAAUAACAAGAAGCCAUAAAGAAAGCAACACCUAUCUUUUAGUUUGAUUUUGAUCUGUACAGAAAGCAGGCAACACCUAUCUUUUAAGCUCUAAGGAAGAAAGAUACAAGAAAGAACAAUACAACGUUGUCUACUUUGUUUAAAAGUCAUAGGAUUUUAGGAAAUUGUCUGUGUAAUAGAAACUCUUGUAAGUUAAAAUAGUUCAAUGUAAGAUCCAAAUCAUGGGUCAUUCACUCAACAAAAUCCAAUUGAAUAGUUCGCUUUCUGGCAUGUAAAUGUGCUGCUUCCAUCAUCAUAUGCAUAACUAUAAGCCAAUGGACAAGCUAACUUGAAUGCUUUCGAAUAAACUGUCGGCUUACACGUCUUCGGGGUACUGUAUACCCCCGUGCAGCAAUACUCUGGCUUGUUGAAAGCCAGGCAUGCACUCUUACAACCAAUGACCGUAUCAUUCUUCUUCAUCUCCAAACCAUCAGGGCAAUGCUGAUUCAAAUCUGUCAGGCAUUUCACCGUUUGGCAAGUACUCGAUCCACCAGAUGGAGCUAUCGAAAUUGGAAUGUUAUAGCCAUCAACAAGGCUAACAUCAUAAAAAUCUAAAGGACUGUCUAAGGUGAACUCUGCAAGUGUGGCAGGUGGGACACCACCCGCCCCUGCACAUUCGAGUACGCCACCACAGUCACCAGUUUGGCACGUUCCUUUGCCAGAGACAUCAAAGGAACAUCCACGUCGACCCCAGAAUCGUCCGGACCAUCCUGUAGGCGCAUUGAUCGUCACGGUCUCGCCAGGCUUAAGCUGAAAUCCACCAUUCAUCAGUUGAGGCCUCCCAGCUCCUGGUUGGAUUCCUGGCCAUAUUAUGUCAUUACAUUUAUUCUCCAAAGUGAAAACUGCAGCAUCAAUGCCUGAAAAGGAAAACCAUGCAUCAGAAUACAAAGAGAAAGAAAGGAAAAGAGAGAGAGAUUUGUGUUUGGUACCCAAGAAAAAGCACAAAGGCAGAAUGACAAACAAGAACUCCAUGAGAGCAGGAAAAAAUGGGAACGUUGGAUUAUGAAUAUUGGGUUUUAAAGAAGGCCAAACAAACAGAACUUUCUGACCCAGAAGAAAUCCAACAACUUGUCACAUGAGGAUGAUUUUUACGACUUGAUAUGUUACCAAAAUUGGAUGGAAAAAACGAUACGUUUGGUAAGUGAGUGAUUGAAAGAAAAAAAACUGGUCUUAAAUUCACUUGUAUUUGACCACAAGGCCAGAGAGUAAAAACAAAUAUGGUAAUUUCAGCAUUUAUGGGUAUAGUUAAGCUAUCAAAAAUGGCGAAAAGAGAAAUAUUUCAAUGGUCUAAAGCUUACUAUCUACAAGAAUCAUGUGAUAAUUAAUGGUGGGAAAAUUUCCAAUCAUGUUUUUACUUCAUUGGGUGCCCAAUUUUAAUUUUAAUCACUUGGAUUGUAUUGAUUUUUAGUAAAUAAUGAGAGUAUUAAGUACAUAUUAGCAAUUGGUUAAGAGUUUGUUGAGAGGAGUUUGGAAUCAUAACGUUAAAGCUAAUAUCAAUUAGCUCACUUGUUUUGAUAUUUAAAGAAAUACAAAUGUGGUAGAUACUAAAAAACUCAUCGAAUUUUGGAGUAUAUGAAAGAAGUUAUGAACUAUGAAGGUAUUAUUAUUUUCCUAAAAGAAAACAUUGGGUUUAAUUAGGCCUUGAAAUGAGGAAUGUCAAUUGGGGAAGUCAUCCCAAGUAUAUAAACACAAGGCCUUUGGGCCAUAGCCCUACUUCUACUUCUUAAUUGUUGGGCCACUUCAGCACUUUGUUACCCAAUUAUUAUCAUCUAAUUGUAAUGACUAAUUGACUAAUUAGAUUAGUAUCUUAAAUAAACAAACAUGGUACAAUAAUGAUAAAACAUUUGUAAAAUAGCAAAUAUUUUACCAAUUAAAUAGUAAAAUUUUUGAAAAUGUCAAGUUUGAUCUUCCUUAUGAAAAUUAUUAAUAGAAGCUAUCACUAGUAACCGAUAUCAAUGACAGCACUGAUAGUACAUUUUUCAAAUUAAAAUCUAUUAUUAAUAGCAUCUAUCGGUGAUAGUAACUACUAUCUAUAAUAGUUUUCAAUUUGAGAAAAUAAAAAAAAAAAAAAAAACUUGCACUUAGAAUAAUUAUUAGUGAUAACAACUAAUAACGGCUAUUAGUGUGAUAAUAUUUAUGAGUGAUAGCUUUAAUUUGAGAAAUUUGGAAAGGAACGCUCAAAGUGGUGGCUACACGUUGAUUUUUUUAGUCUUUUACUAAUUUUGUGCUAUAUGCAAUUAUUUCAUCACUUUGUUACAUAUUUUACAAUUUGUUGUUUAAAUGUCACUUACGAAAGUGGCUCAUUUUUAAACUUAAUACUCAAGUGUAUAACAACGUUGUUAAAGAAAUGUAAAUAUAACCAAAUCUAUAGACGUGAAGAGUAGUAUAAGUUCAAUUUUCAAAAUCCAAAAUUUAAAACACCAUUCUCAUCUUCUUGUUUUUUUAAUAAACAAAUGAAUUUCUUGGUUCUGGUUAUCCAUUCAUAACGUUUACAAAAUAAAAAUUAUCGUAAAUGAAAAAACUGUUGAAAAUAUUUAUAAAAAUAUAUAGUAAAUUUUCAAAAUUUAUUAAUAAUAUAGACGAAUAUACUCUUUUUUCUAUAUCAGCGUCUAUUAGUGGUAAAUUUGAAUUGUAAAUAUUUUGUUUCUAUUUGUUACACUUAAAAAUACCCUAAAUCUAAACCUAAUUUCGAAAAAUAAACCGUUUGCUAAUCAUUCGGUUUUGUAAAGUUAAGCAUAUAAACGUUAUUUCUAUCCGUUAUCCAUUUAGGUUUUGAAAGUAUAGUUUUUUUUCUUUGGAGAAAAACCAUAGUCAUAAUAAUUAAUACCUUUAGUUUUUUAUAAAAAAAAAUAUUUUGAAGCAUUAUGUAGUUGAAGUCAAAGCAAUAUGGUAAUUAAGAACUUGUUAAAAAUUAAACAACGUUAUUAUAUUAAUUAGAUAAAUUAGUUUUUGACUCUUGAAUUAAACAAACUUAAUCAUUAUUAUAUCAAAUUCAUUGCCCAAAUUGAUUAUAAACUAUAAAUUAAGAAUUGUAAAUUAUUAGAAAUAUGUGAAGGGUUUUGCUUAGUUGGUCUCAACAAUUUGUUUGGUUAAAGACAAAUCAGUAGAUAAAUUAAACUAAAACAAAGGAUUAAACAAAUCCAAUUGAAAAAGAGACUUCUUCUAUAAACCAUUUUCAUUAUUGUGAGGCAUUCAAAAUCAUCAUUAUUAUUUUUUUGUUUGAAAUUACUCAUUUUGUUUACCAUUUUAUUCCAUCAUAUUAAUAUUGGUCUCGAUAGGAACUAAAUCAUUACAAAUUAUAAAGUGCAUAAACUAAUUCGUUAUGCUUUUGCUUCCUCUCAUGAUGAUUUGCUGACUUGAAAACUAAACUUCUAACCAGAUAUAUUAUUCUUUUUGAAUAUUUGUUUUGGUUCAGAGUGUUGUUGUGUGGCUGCUAACAAAAGAAAAAAUGUAUUAUUAACUUAUACUGUAUAUGACGUGGUUCAUAGAAUAGAACUUGUUACAUUGACCGAAUAAAACUUUAUAGAUCUUCUAAAAUAAUAAAUAUACUCAAGUUGAAUCUAUCAUUUAUUUGAUUUAUGAUUGGUAUAGUUAGGUAUAAUUCCAUUUUUUUAUUGUCUUGUUCAAGUUUGGUACAAGCAAAAAUUUUGACAAUAUUAAUUGGAAACUAAUUGAUACAUAGUCAAAUUUUAAUUUAUUUUGAUGGUAGAAUCCGAAGAUGAUUUUCAAAAGCAAAAGUCGUUAAUUAUAUGUCUAACACACCUUUUUACUAAACUCAUAAAUUCAAAAACAUAUAAAACAUAAUUUUUACUUACCAAUCAGACGUUCAAACUAGUUAAUAAACCCGAUCAAAAAUCUUUUAUUUUUUAAAAAAAAUAUUGAACCCGAGACGUCUUAUCCUCGAUACAUAUACAAGUGUAUGUUGAGUAUCCAAUAUUUUUCUAAACCAAAAUUUGUUGUUUUUACUUGAAAACACAUAGACUUACAUGUUAGGAGGUUAGGAAGUAUAUGAACCUAAAUUAAUAUUACAAAUACAAAAAAUAAAAAGCAUUUAAAAAAAGGAAUAGAUUGAUUUUUGUGUAGUAAAAUAUAAGGUAACAAACACAUAAAUAUAUAAUUUAUGAAGAUUUAUAGGAUUUGUUUGUUGUAAUAAACAAUGUUUGGAAUCAUUCAAAUAUGAACUAGCACCAAUUACAACCAAUAAGAAACACCUAAAUAAUAUUUUUUGGUCAAUGCCCACACCACCACGACUUAUUAUUACUAUUAGUUUUCUUUUUUCUUUUCAAGCAAUAUCAUAUAUCAUAUAUCAUAUAUAUAUAUAUAUAUAAAUUAUUUCAAUAGCAUGAUAUAAUAUUUAUGAAAAGUUGGUAAGGUCAAGGUCAAACUUCCCACAUGAGUGAGAGAUUUAACUUUUUGUCAUUAAUUAAUAAGUAUGUGUGAUGUAUGAUCCUUUUGAUAUUCUAAAUUUAUGGUAUGAUAAUGUUAAAAAGAAAAAAAAAAAAUUGAUUUAUAAUUUUAGGUAGUAAUGUGUGUGUCAUAAGUUUAGUGGUUAUUCUUUGCUUAAGUAACUUUGUUUGAGAUAAAAAAUUGAAGUUCAAUUUUACAAUACGAAGAAAAUAUUGUAUAAUAAAACAAAAGGAAUAACCUAACCCUAAUUAAUCAAACUGUGUAAUUAGAUGGUGUUAGUCAUUAAUUACAUCUGGAAUAGGGUUUUGAAAUAUUAUCAAAUUUAAUUCCAACAAAACAUGGAUUAAUCUCAAACUUAAAAUUCUAGGUUUUGUUUUUAUUCUUAAUUAACAUAAUUUGUUCAAGGAUCUUUUAGGUAUGUUCGUGUGUGGAUAUGAAACUACAUGGUUUGUGCAUAAUGUAUGGAUACAUCAUUCAAACGAUUUGAUAGCAAUAUUAAUUUACUAACAAUAAAACAACUAGAUUGUUGCGAACAAAAUAUAGUGAUAAACAAACAUAAAAUAAUAUUGUAUUUAAAACAUUGGAAAAAUAGUUUUGUAUGUAAAAUUAAAAAGUUCAAAAUUCAAUUGUAUUUGUUCUAUCUCUUAAAAUUUCCAAAAUAAUAAUUAAUCAUCUUUCAUAUAGUUUCCAACAAUUUUUUAUUUAGAAAAAAACACUAUUUUUUUUUCUUGAACCUCACAAGUGGUAAUUAAAAUAGAGAAGUAAACAAUAAAAUACACAUUUUUUCCUUUUUUUUCUUUUUUUCCUCUCUUAAAAUAAUAUAUCCAAUAUUAAUUUUAUAUUUUAAUCAGAAGCAAAUGGGUUGAAUUUCACAACCGGAACGCAAUUGAGCGGGUGGGCCAUGGGCAACCCGAGACCCGAUCCGAUUUCCAUAUUCGCCUUUUUCUCCUCUUUGCCGUCCACUUUCCAGUCAAAGCAUUGAACCAUGGCGGCGAUUACGACGGUGCUGGUGGUGAAAGCCAAGGUAGACCCGGGACAGCCGCGCCGUCCGCCGCCAAAUGGAACGAAAUUGAAAUUUUGGCCCUUAAUUUCGUACUGGAUCUGCUUCAUGCUGUCGCCUUCCUUGGCCUGUGAUAUGAAUCUCUCCGGCCGGAACUCGUUGGGAUCUUCCCAGGAAUUGGGAUCUCUCAUAAUGGCGAAGAGAUUAACGCCUACCAUGGUGUUUUCCGGUAUGUCGUAACCGUUGAUUUUGCAGCUUUGUGGACAACUCCUCAUCGCCACCGGCACCGCCGGGUACAUUCUUAGGCCUUCCUUCACCACCGCCUACACAAUUUUCAGUUCACACUAUUUAACUAAAAAUAAGAGACAUUUUUCACAAAAAUUCAAAUUAUUUACAAAAUAACUAUCUAAACUGUUAGACGAUGUGAAAAUAGUUUCAAUCUUUUUUUAAUAACUAAUUUGUAAAAUAUCAAAUCUUUUCAAACGAAAAAGUAAAUUGUUUUUUUUACUUAGUUUCCUCCAUGAUAGAGGCAGGAUUUAAACCUUACUUGCAAGUAGGGCAUAUGGGGAACGUCGUUUUCCUGAACAAGUCUCGAGUCUCCGACAACGGAGAGUAUCUCUUCUCUUAGCUUUUUGAGCUCUUUUGGGUGGUUGAUUAGCUCUGCAAUUAUCCAUUGCAUCACCUCCGUCGACGUUCCGGUCCCGCCGACGAAAAGAUCCUACGAAUUAAACACCUCAAUUUAACAGACUAAUACAAUAAUAAUGACAGAUACACAAAACGACAUUUGUUACAAUUUAAACGCCAUUUUCUUUCUCUUCCUUGCCGCCACCGGCCGGCAGAUAAUACACGUCCGACAAUAAUCAAAUUAUUGAAUCAAUCAUCAUUUGAAAAUAACUAAUAUAUUUCUAAUGGUUUAAAUAUAGCAUUUGAAGACUAUUUAUUCUUUUUAUUUAUAAAAAGCAAAAUAAUAGCAAUAACUAUUUAAAUUUAUAGAUUAAAACGAUCUAAAAUGUGAAGUGUAUAAAUUUGACAACCCACUUUUUACAAAUGAAGGCAACAACCUUUGAAAUUAUAGUAAUGUUAAAUAUGUGAGUAUAAAAUACUAAGAUUCCUUCCAUAAAUCUAAUAUGAUCAACCAUUAAUGCUUCAAACUGAAAUAAACAUACUUUAAUUUUUGUCAAAGUUCAAACUUUAAAGAAAACUAAUUAAACCCCAGAUCCAUAUUUUUCUCUUGUUCAAAGUAUGAUAUUCCAAACCCCCUUUUUCUCUCUCUUUUCUUUUGAUUAACAAAAUGACAAGAAAAAUUAAGGAAAAUUUAUUUACAUAGAAAGGAAAAGCAUUUCAUGUGUCAAUAAAAACAGAAAAAUAGAUGAUGCAAAUAAGUUAUUAAUAAUGAGAAGAAAAAAACAAACUUACCAACAAGAAAGCCUUCACAUUUGUUCUAGUAAUCUUAAACUCCGCUUGACUAUCUUGAUGAACCUUCAAGAUUAUAUCCAUUAAAUCUCUGUCUUCUCUGUCAAAACCUUCUACCUUCCCUCUCUCUUCAUGUUGCUUUAAUGCUUUUUCUAAUAUCGCAUCGUACCUGUAAGAGUUGUCUCGUCAUAUUUAGUCAAAUACGUAUAUAUGAUCAUAUACGAUCAAAAUGAUCCAAGUUAUGUCCUUUGUACCUCAUCGUCACGUCAAUGGCUUGUUUUCCAUACACCCAAAAUGCCACCCUUUUCAGCGGCCAUCCCACCACGUCGCCGAAGGCUACUUUUGCUCCAACCUCCAUUGUAUCUUUUACUAGUUGUCGAAUCUUUUCGGAUUCGUCACUGUCAUCUGCGCACCUUAUGCUCAUCAUCAUCCUGUUGAAAUUUAAAAACAAAAAAGUUAAAAUUUACUACAACUCAUAUCAACUUAAUUCUUUUAGUUCAAAAGUUGUUAUUUGUUCAAGUCAUUCUCUUCGAUCUAUCGUGAUAGACUAUAGUGCGGAUAGUUAAUAUCAACCUGCAAAUGCUAUUGUUGGUUAGUUUCAUGAGCUCUGCACCAACAUCAACGAGCUGGUUGUUGUUGGCAGCAGCCACCAUUUUUCGCAAGAAUCUCAAAACCUCUUCAUACCGAACAGCGCGUGAUCGUUCAACUUGUUUCGGUGCAAGAAGCUCGGUCAUGGUGAGCUUCUUCAUGAAACGCCAAUAGUCACCGUAAGGAGCGGCGAAGAAUCCAGAGCUGCCAUAGGGGGUUUCAUCGCUGAAGGCAAACUUUGGACGAGAAGAAAAGGCGAGAUCUUGAGUCUUAAAGACUUCGGUAGCGAGGGAAGCGGAGGAGACGACUAUGCAACGGACAGCACCAAGUUGGAGGCAGAGAAGUGGGCCAAAUUUGGAGGAGAGGGCAGUGAAGGACUUGUGGAGGGAGGGAGAGAGGAGGUGGAGGUGACCAAGAAUAGGGAUGGACGGGGGGCUCGGCGGGAGGCGGCGAAGAUUGGAGGAGGAUUUGGUGGUUUUUGAUCUAUGGAAAAGAUAUUGGAGGAGGAGAGUUGAGAUGAAACAGAAGAUGAAACAGAGGAUGUAGGUGUUUGUUUCUGUCAUAUUUCUCUCUUUUCUUGUUGUUGUUUUGAGUUGAGAAGUUGAGAGAGAGAUGAGAAUGAAGUUAAUGAAAGAUGGAAUGAAUCAAUUUUGUUGUGUCAUCUCGUUUGAGACCCUUCCUUUCUUCUCUUUUAUUUAUAGAAUUCAUAGACUUUGGAUCUCUCUCACCCUAUAUGUGAUUUUGAGAUUUCAAAUGAGUCCCUUCCAUUUAUACUCCAAUUAUUUCAUUUAGUGACCAAAUUUAUAAUGAAAAUAUCGACUACCAUUUUAAGACAAUAUUAAAUCUAAGUAUGUUAGCAUGACAAAUAAUAUUUAUAACUUGUUAGGAGACAUGAAUAAUAUUUUAAUCUACAUAAAAAAAAUAGUUAUCAAAACCAUAUACUUUUUUAACUUGUAUCAUAUAAUUAGUGAGUAGUUUUGAGGAUCUCCUUUUAAAAAAAUUAAGAGAUUUCACCGUUUUUAUAAAGAUAAAUGAUUUCGAAAUGGUAUCACAUGUUAUCUAUUAGUAAUAGUUAUAAUUAGACUCUAAAACUCAUCAAAGUUACAAUAGUUAUAGAGAUUGAACCGCCAAAAUGAUAAAAAUCAAAUUUAUCCAAUCAUUACCGUUCUUACAAUUAUGUACGUUUAAAGGUCUAAUUUCAUUUUGAAUGAUAGAGUAUAAUUGCAAUUAUCAUCAUACUUUAGUGGUGGUCUUUUCAAUUUAUCAUAAAUUUGUGUCUUUGAUCUAGAUUUUAAUAAUAUCAAGAGUUGUUAAGUAUAUUUAUGUCCAUGCCUUAUUAUUUCUCCCCUAUACUAAUAUUUAUGUCCCAUGGGGCUGUCUCUAGAAAUGAAUAUUAAUUGAUGCCUUAAAAUGUAUAUAAUAGUAAUGAAACAUAAAUGAUUUAGGAACUAUAUUGUUUAGUUGAAUUAAAUGAUUUGGUAAAGUGUCACAUAUUAUUAUUACUUAUUUUGUAAUUUUUCAAAUGGCCUUUUUUUUUUAUUUAGUACAAAAGUAUAAUAAUAAGGAUCCAUUUUUUAUUAUUUAUAUUAUAAUUGGUUAUUUAAAAAGGGUGGAACUUAUAUAUAUUUCAUAAUAUAUAAAAAGCUCCAAUAAAACUCCCAUCAUUUAUUAACAUUUUUGUAAAUUCAUUGAUAUUUGUGUAAUUUUGAAAAGGAGUUAAAUAAUAAUUGGUAAUUCCAAAAAGAAAAUUUGUUUUCCUUCUUUAUAAAGUCAAAAUUCAACUCUAAGAGAAAUUACAAUAAUUCUUUCCACUCAAAACCCUAUUUGACUCACAAGUCCAUUUCUUUUAUCUUUUAAUCUCUUUCUCAAUAGAGAUAAAAAUAACUUUUAGGAUUAAACUUUUAAAAUAUUAUAAUAAUUUAGUUUAAUUACAUAUUAAUACUAUUUAACAAUAUCUGAAAGGGAGAAAAUUGAACAAUAUUUAACUUUUGUGUUAAUCUAUUUACCAUUAUUAAUCCAAUCAAUUAUAAUUCACAUAUUUAAAUCAUAAUUUUUUUAUAAAAAAAAUCUAAUAAACUAUUCACACUAUGGAGAGAAUUAAGGUAACUUAAAAAUAUUAAACUAAGGUAACUUAAACUUUCAUUAGAACAUAGUUUUAGACUAAAGACUAACGAAGUCAAAUUUUAAUACUUUAUUCUAUAAAACAAACUCACCUUUGGUAUUUUAAAUAAUGUAUUUCCUUCAAAUAAAUAUAUAAUUAAUUGUGAGAGCAAAUGGUUGAAAUUGAAAAAUAUAUCUAAUUAAGACAAUUGUCCCUUUUUUUCUUUAAUUAUGCAACAUGAAUAUAUAUUUUUUAUUUCAUUCAUACUAAUUAAAUUAAUAUAGUGUGUGUCUUACUCUAUAAACUAAUUAAAUAUAUUAUUAACUUUUGUCCUCAUUCAAUUUUUCCUUUCAUUAUUUCUCUAAAAACUUAAUUGUAUAAUUCUUACCCAUAUAUGAAGGUACCUCAUGGGGAAUAAUAUAUAGAAAAUAGCAUCGCCAAUAAGUUAUACAAUUUAUAUUAUGAAUAUGAUUGUUAAUAAAAUUAAAACUGUAUAUACUUUGUUUAAAUAAUUAGAUCAUAGUUUAAACUAAAUUUGUUUAGUUUAUUCGAAAUUUGUAUUCAUAAACAUUUAAUCUCAUCUUUUUUAUUCUUUUACUAAGGGACAAUGAUUUUCACUAAGAGGCAAUGAUUUGACCAGGUAACUAAUAGUUAUAUUUUAAUUCAUUUAUGCAGUUUUAAAUUUUUGUCUCUUUCUUUAAUGUACUUCGUCAUCGAAAAUAUAGAUCAACUUAUUAUUAAAAACCUUCAAUUUCAAAUGUAAUAUCAAUAAAAAAAAAAUGAAAUGGAUCCAUGAAUGACAUGUAACUAUUAGACUAAUGUUAAUAUUUUAGUUAAAUCUAAAGUUUAGGUGUUAUUAUUUUUUUCUCUCCUUGACUUUGCCAACUAAAGCCCUUAGUCUAAACUUUGAUGUAUGUAUGUAUCAUAGAAUAAUUUCCCAUCAUUGUCACAAAAACUCAUAUAAGGUUUUUUUUCUCUUUGCAUAAAAUAUUUUCUACUUACCAUUCAAUUUUCGUAUGAAAUAAAUUAUGCAAAUGUUGUAGUGGAUUUGUGCCUAAGUGCUACAAAAUAAUCAAAUUAAUGUUCUUAAUUAAAACUAUUGUGGAUAUAUAGGAAACGUUAAUGUUACAUCAUAAUCGUAAUUAAUAUCAAUUGAAAAUAAAUGAAACAUUAAUGUUACAUCAUAACAUAAUGUCGUAUCCAAAUGCAAAACACAAAAAACAAUCACUUAUCUCAUUUAAUUUUUCUUUUUCUAAUUCAAUUCUCUUUUUAUUUUUCUUUUCUUCUUCUUUCUCUCAUGAUAUCUACUUCUAUAUAUUUUCCAUAAAUUUCCUUCAAUCCUACUUAGUGUUUGUAGUCAAUACUAUUCAAAUGCUUUGGAAAUGUGGACUCUUUCCUCUUCAUUAUGUCUACCAUUAUAUAAAUCUUCCAAUUUAAAUUUACUUCUUGGAGAAAAUUAAAUAUCUUUAAUGAAGUAUUUUCCUAUAAACAUUUUUACAACAAAUGUCCAAUAUUUUAUAACAGAAAAUUCAUUUUAUCCUCCUAUAGCUUUAAAAUAAUUGAAUAAUAUUUACAAAUAUAUAUAUAUCUAUCCAAUACAAAUAGACAUGAAUAUUUUUUCAUGCUAUAUUACCUAUAAAUCUAAGUUUCAAUCCUUCUUUUCCUUCAAUUUUUCCCAUUUUAAGCUGCAUUUUUUAAAAUGUGUGUGUAUUGAUCAAUAACUUGUAUGUUAAGUAAAAUAAAUUACUUUUGUUUUAGGGAAAAAAAAAAAGAAAUAAAUGGUCAGAUCAUGUUGCAUUAUUUAAUUAUAACAGCAAUUAAUUGACCAUUACUAAAAAAGUAUUCACAACUGGACCAGAUCUCUUGCAUUAUUAUUUUAUAUCUACAUAUUAGAAUUAUGUAUAUGUGUAUAUGUGUGUAUUCAUAACUUAGCAUGACAUACUUGCACGAAAUAUGAAAUGGAAAUUUUUUAUUAUAUUAAACAACAAUAAGUUUAAAUAAUUGAAGCAUAAGGAAAGUAAGGUAUAUUAAAUUAAUCAUAAAAAUAAAAUUAUGAAGAGAAAAAAGAUAUUCUGAUUGUUCAAACUUAAUGAAACAAAACAUAUAGAAAAGGAGGGCAAUUGUUGUUUGUUUCAGAUCUAUUUAAUCAUAAACAUAAGUGCAAAUAAUCAUCCUAUGAACUGCUAAUCAUUUUUUGAUCAUUAGCAAAUUUGGUCGAAUUUAGUCUUCAUAAUUUAUAAUUAGAAUGUAAUGUUAUACUUUAACAAAUAAUUCUUGAGGUGUUGAUUAUUUAUGUUAUAAAAUUUUUAUCCAAUAAACUAUUUAUGAGGUUUUAUCCAACUAUAAGAACUAAAUUCUAUCUUUUAAAACUUUGAAAGUCUCCCGACUUAUAACCCAUUUUAAAUUGAUGUUCUUAUCAUCGUUAAUGAUACUUUUUAUUCGCUUUUUUGGUACACUUCAUCAUAGAUAUUGUUUUAGAUAAAUUUGGAUGACAUGCUACCCAUCUCGCAUAUCUUCAUUAGUGUAAAAUCCAAUAAAGAGAAGAAGUUAUGUAUUAUCUAAUAAAAUGGUCAAAGACUAGAAAUCUCAACUUCACAUUUCACAUCACUCACCAAACUCAUCUUUCAACCAAUGAGUCCAUAUGAAGCACCUCUAAGAAUUUCUAAAGUCGUUCUCAUUCCAAAGUUGAAACAAACAUAGUUAUUCUUAACUUAAACAUAUAUCCAACCAUGACAUCUAUCUAAACAUCAUAAGCAGCGUUAUUCAUCAUCUUCACACACCCCACCAUCGUCCCAACUUCUAGAAACCUGCAUUAGAAACCAAGUUUCUCAAGAAUCUUCAACACAAAAACUAGAAAAAUGUAGAGAGAUCAAGAAGCAAGGAGAAAUAGUUACAUGGCUCGAAAUUUGCAGCGCAUUUCUGAGGCAGAGACAUGGCCAAGUUAUAAUCAACACCAGAAACAGGGGGAGCAUCCAACAACGCACAAAUACAAGACUGGCCUAAAGUUUUGAUAGCAUCGCAACAGACAAGACUUGGUGGUAUAGGGUGGAAUGGAGACAGUGAAGGCCUACAAGGAAUUAGCUGAACAAGAGAGUAAAUUAGACUGUUAGAACAGAACUUGGCUUUAGCUUGCCCUAGAAAGGAUGUAAUUGCCAACAUGAACACCAGAAACUCCAGAGGCUUGAAGAUCGCCUGUUUCAUCUUUGAAUACAGAUAAAAUUCUCAAGUUAAAAUGAAGAUGAAUAUUCUAUCUAGUGAUGCUGCUUAUAUUGAGAGUAACUCAUGCUUUCUUACACUAUCUUCCUAACACAGUACCCACUUGCAAAUGCAAUGUGCAACUUUUUGUUUCUCUUACUAGCUAUGUAUUUUCUGAGGUUUAUCUUUACUCUUUUUAUUUUAUGGGUGUCAGAAAUUGCAAAACUCGUGUUUAUGUGUAGGUGAAACAGAAGGAAAGCACCUGGUUGGUGAAACAGUCCUGAGGAAGUCAAGAAAAUCAAUAGGUAUAAACAAUGCAUCCCAAAAUUUUACAUUCUAAAUAAAAACUUUCAUUAGAGAUAAAUGAAACCUUCUAACAAGUGACUGUUCAUCCCAAGAACAGUCCAACCAAAUAGACUUCAAUCAAUGACAGUCCCAAUCUUCAUACACCAACAGACCAAUGUAGUAAAACAUCAGAAAUUGUUGUUAGCUAACAUUUUAUUCACAUUAUCAAAAUUAGGAACUCACAAAAGGGUAAAAGAGAAUUGAACUUACGAGUUCACUAGAACAACAAAAUAAUAUUAACUCAUACCAUUUGAAGUCAACAAAUUUAGAUAGAGAUAAUAAAUGAAAAGAGAUAAUUCAUUUAGUAAACAGAUUGUUGAGUCCCAUAUACAUGUGACCUACCAUAUACUCAUGGGACAGCAUAUCAAAACACAAAACACAGUAGAUUUACACCAUAGACUAAAUCUAGAGACAGAAAAAGCACUUAAAAAAGUAAAAAACCAAAAACACAAUAAUCAAACCAAACCCUCUAAGCCCUUUCCCCUCUAAUCCUCCUUGCCAAUUGAAUAUCCUUAGGCAUAAUGGUUACCCUCUUAGCAUGAAUAGCACAAAGAUUCGUAUCCUCAAACAGACCAACCAAAUAGGCUUCGGCCGCCUCCUGAAGCGCCGCGACGGCACUGCUCUGGAACCUCAGAUCGGUCUUGAAAUCCUGAGCAAUUUCACGAACCAAACGUUGAAACGGAAGCUUUCGGAUCAGAAGCUCGGUGCUCUUCUGGUACUUCCUGAUUUCACGAAGUGCGACGGUACCAGGACGGAAACGAUGGGGCUUCUUCACUCCACCGGUAGCCGGAGCUGACUUCCUGGCAGCUUUGGUGGCCAAUUGCUUUCUGGGGGCCUUGCCUCCGGUAGACUUCCUGGCGGUUUGCUUGGUGCGAGCCAUUCGGGCAAAUCAGUAGAGCAGAAAUUGGAAGAUUUGAGUUCUGGAGGUUGAAGAUUCGAUUGAGCGAUGAGGAAACUUCGAUGGUUUGGUGAUGGAGAUAUAGGGUUUGCAAGAAGAAGAAAAGCGGGAGAUUUUAAAUUUUGGGGGAAAUUUGGUGGGUUCGUUUCUUAGUUAGCGUGAAGAGUCACCGUUGGAUGAUACCCAUUUGGACGGUCAGAUUACACGAAUUGUUUCCUAUCUAGGAUUGCGAUCCGUGGGGAAAUUUAUCAUCCAAUACAAUUCUGCCACGUAGAAAAUCCCCCCGCCUUCUCUUAGUUACCCACCGGAGGGAAACCAUUUAACCGCGCAAUUUUCUAAUUUAAUUUUUCGGCCAAAUUUUUAAUAGCACAUUUUAAAAUAUUAAAAAAAAACUAUUAACAAAAUCUAUCACAUUAUUCAUAAGUUUUUUUUUUUGUAUUUGUUAAAUAGUUUAAACUUUUGAUAUCAUAAAAGUGCAUCUUUUAAUUAACAUUUUCUUACCAAUUUUUCUUAAUUUGCAUUUACAGUGAUAAUUUGAUGUAAUUUUUUUAAUGUUUUUGUGUUAGCUUUUUCGUAUAUGACAAAAUGUACAAAUAAAAAUUGAAACCAAAUACAUCACUUUAGUAGCUAAAGUUAAGUGUCCUACUUGGACAUUGCCUCAAUAGCACAAUGAUCAUCACAAAAAUCAUCAUCAAUUGGCAUAGGAUUCUUGUUACCCCAUUAUUUGUACUAGAAGUAAUGACUUCUAUGCUGACCAAAAAAGUAAGUUUGGGCAACACAUACAACACAAAUACCCCAAAAGAAAGCGCUGACAACACAAAACCAAUAGCAUCAACCACAUUUGUGAAGAAAUAAAAUGUUCUUUCAAGCAUCAAAGCCUAAUAAUAAAUGCCACAAUGAGCAACCUCCAAUACACAAUCAAAUUUGAGCACCAUCAAACUUUGUUUUAUUCUCAACAUAUAAAUAUGAGUACAAAUUUUCAUCUCAUUCAACUUCAAAUUAGUCCAUGUAAUUAUUAACAAGCUAGCUAGUAGUUGCAAAUCGUGUAUAUGAUCAAGAAACUAAAUUGGGUAACUAUUGUUAUCUAGCAAUUGGUUUCUCUUAAAUCGGAGAACAUGAAAACAAACAUUCAAAUACUCAUCAAAAUUUGUUGGAAUAAAUAGUAUCCUUACUUCCAUUUAUGAGAAUAACCAAAUUAAAUUAGACAAAGCAAAGUGAACAAUUACUCCUCAACCUCCAACAAAAGAGUGAACAAAAUUAUCUCAAGUGAAUAACAUGAAUUCAAUGAACUAAAAUCUAUUAUAGAUGUGUUUAAUAUGUUUUCCUGCUUUGAUAUGUUUCUUGUUUAGAUAACAAAAUUAAACUUAAUCCAAGAAUCUAAAUAAUCUGCACUUCUUCCAAUCAAUCUUCAUUUUAUAGAAUGUAAAUAAGGCAUUCAACAAGGAUAUACGAACAAAAAAAGAUCCAAUUCCAAAACGGUGAUUCAUUCCGUAAGCAGAUUCAAGAUUCACAUAUACAUCCAACCUGAAGCAAUCUAAAGCCCUAGACACCAAAUGAACUCAAAAAAUAUUUUUAAAAAAUUAAUCCACAACUUUAAGCCCUUUCCCCUCUAAUCCUUCUAGCCAAUUGAAUAUCCUUAGGCAUAAUCGUAACUCUCUUGGCAUGAAUCGCACAAAGAUUCGUGUCUUCGAACAAACCAACCAAGUAGGCCUCCGCGGCCUCCUGAAGUGCCGCCACGGCACUGCUCUGAAACCUCAGAUCGGUCUUGAAAUCCUGAGCAAUUUCGCGAACCAAACGUUGAAACGGAAGUUUCCGGAUCAAAAGCUCAGUGCUCUUCUGGUACUUCCUGAUUUCACGAAGUGCGACGGUUCCAGGACGGAAGCGAUGUGGCUUCUUCACUCCACCGGUAGCCGGAGCUGACUUCCUGGCUGCUUUGGUGGCGAGUUGCUUCCUCGGAGCCUUGCCUCCGGUAGAUUUUCUGGCUGUCUGCUUGGUGCGAGCCAUUCGGGGAAAUUGAUUUGACGAAAGUUGAAGAAUUUGGAAGGUUGAACUGAGAUUUUGGUUGUGAUGAUUAAGAAAUUGGGGGGUGAAGAAAUAUAUAAAGGGUUGUGUUAAAAGGAAAAGCGGGAAGCUUUGAAAUUUUCGGAUUUUGGUACGCGAUGGAUGGCCGUCGGAUGGACGGUUGAGAUUUUAUUUACUGGUUUAUUUAGGAUUCGAUCCGUGGCAAUGCUCAACACCCAAUAGUAUUUUCCCACGUGUAAAUAAUGUUUUUCGAUUUUUUGUUUUUUAUCUCAAUCUUAUUUUUUGGGUUACUAAAUUAAUAAUGAGUUCUUAAAUUAGUUUAUGCUGUCCGAUCAAAACUUCUAAGUAUUGAUUUGAUGGAUUAGAGUUUUUUUUUUUCUUUUAGCAAUUUGGGUUCGAAUCUUUUGGGUUAAAGUUCAAAAACAAAUUUCUUAUUUUAAACUAGCAGCUAAACUAUACAAAUAAUAAUGAUUGUCAUUUGUAUGUUGAUUUCGUUUCUUUAUCUAUUAGGAUCCGUGUUGAAUUGUGCAAGCAAUGCACUAGAUUGAUGUUAGAAAAAUGGUUUGACCAUAAAUUUGUAUUAUGGGAGAAAAAAGUUUAGAUACAUGACAGAAAAUUUGAGCAUCGGUAUGGAUUGUGUGGUGUUAUGAAUAACUUGACGGUAAGAAAUGGUAGUGUAUAUUAGGUCAAGGUGUAUAUUCAACAAAUUGAUUUGGUUGUUAAUAUAGUAGUAAAACACAAUAGACACUUGGGCACAUAAUUGUCUCUCUUCUUUUUUUUUUGAAACCCUAGAGCUAGUACUAUUGGGUUGGCACACCUUUCUUGCAAUUCAUGUUUAAAUGUAUCGUUCAUUCGAUUUCUCAGUAUUUUCCUCAUAGCUCGUUCGUUGAAAAUGUAUAUGGUUUUUAAUCAUAUUACUUUGAAGUCUUAUAGGUCUUUUUAGAUCUACUUGGCUCUUAAUAAAUCCUUCUGUCACCCUAAAUUUAUGUGUUUUGAUUUGUUUUCAGUAGGCUCUUCUCAUAUUUUUACAUGGACUCUUCUCUCUUCUAUUGCUCCCACUAAGACUUGUAAGCUUAGGCUCCAAUGAGCUAUUCGCUGAUUGCUACCUUUUAGACUCUCUCAAGCAUAGCUUUCCUAUGUUCCUCUCUUAGAGCCAUCUCUUUUACUCCCUCGGGCUUGCUCCUUUCCUAGAGCUCCUUAUAAGUUUUCUCCUACGUAUCCUCCUAUAGUCUCCUAGCCUCUCAUGCGUUCCUUUGAGCUCCACACCCUUCUCGUGAGUGAUUGAAGCUUUCGUUGGCUAACUUAAGUUUCAACAGGCUCUUCUCACCAGUCAUUUGAACUUUUAGACUCUCCACAUAGAUUAUGAUUCUCCGAGCUCUCAUGGACUUGUCUCUCAAAGACCUCUCUAGACUUUCUCCUUAGGUUUUAUAACUCCUAGGAUAAAGUUCUAUUUCUCCCGAGGUCCACAAAGCUCUCUUAGGCUAUUUCCACAUGUCCUUUUGAGCUCACUUUAAGCUCCACUAGAAUAUUCUCCAUCUCUUUAAAAAAUUUCACUAGACUCGACACUUUAAACUUCUAUAAAUUCUCAUAUGUUUCACUCGUUAGACAACUCAAAUUUUGUUUUAUGUUUUCAAACUUGAACAAAUAUUAUAUUUGAAAAACAUUUGAUGUGUUUCAAAAAACUGAAUUAUGAACUAUAUAAUCCAAAUAGUGUGAAGAUUUAAUAUUUGUAGGUCCGCUCGGUAGGAAACUUAGAACAACACAAAAACAAUUGAUUCAAUGAACAUGUUUUCAUACAUAUGGUUGAAAUCAUAUUAUAAUUUAGAAGUAUUUUUAAAAAUAGUAAAAUAAAUUAAAAUAUUUACUAGUUAUAGUAAACUUUUGAAUUAUAUCUGAUAGUUUUCUAUCACUAUAACAUAUUAAUGACUAUCAGCGAUAGAAUUUACUAUAGAUUGUAAAUAUUUUGUAAAAUUUACAACUUUUAAAAAAUUUCCUAUAAUUUACUGAUUCUUAUGGGUGCUUUGAUUCUAUAUCUAUGUACAACUAUAAAGCCAAUCAUAUACCCACCAGUACAAGGUCAACUUAAGGUUAACUAUAAACAAUUAUAAAUCAAUCCAUGAACAUGUAUUAUAAUAAAAUCUGAGAUAUUUGUAUUGAAAAUUUGUGCUUUUCUCAAUCUUAAAAUUGUAACAAUUUGCAACGUAUCAUCACCAAACACAUAUUUGUUCAAUUCAAUGAAUCUAAAAACAUAAAACGAGACUCAAAUUGUCAACCAAACAAGCUCACGUUUCAACUUUUGAAUCAUGUUAUAAGUUCAAUUGUUCUUGUUAAAUUAAAACAAAACAUGUAUUAUAUAACAUCAUCAUUAAUUACUACCUUGUGGAUCAUGGAGUAGUUUUACAACCAUCUUAUAGAUUAGAUAAGAAAUAAGUACUGAAGCACCGAUUUAUCUUAAGGCAUGUCCCUUUAUGGGUAUGAGCCGUAAGUAUGACUCACAUCCCCACACACAGAAAUCAACCAAACAAAAGAAAAUAUCAUAAAUAUCAUGUGGUGGACAAUGAAUUAAUGCCCAUUAUGAAAUAACACAAGUCUAUACAAAUGAAACUAAAGUAUCUCCACUAUAUGGCGUUCGUCUCUCGCCCAAAUACUCCUACAAAACUUUCAUAUUGGUAAACCCAUUACUAUUUUCCUUCCCUUUCUAAAACUGGAGAAUUUGCUACAACAAAAUCGGGGUUUUGAGUGUUUAAAGAAUUAGUUUAGAAUGCUGCAUCUUCUUACCCAGAUGCUCCGGCAGCCCUGCUUUUAUCAUCUUCUCCUUGCUCUUCCUUGGAGAAUUCCUCGAUUAGUUCACGCUGCCUUGGAGUAAGGGUCCUAAGGACGAAAACAUAGUGCUAUUUAUGUAAAAAUAUCAUCUACCAACAGAUGUGCAUGCUCUUUAAAUGCAUACAUCGCAUUGCCUUCUAUCAAAAAAUGAUAACAGACAAAACAAUCCUGCUUGUAUGCCAAACUAAGACUAUUUGCCAAAGAUGCAGAGAUGGGUAAAACUCACGUUGGUAUGCUGACAUUGAAGUGCACAUAUUGGUCGCCGAAUGAGUAAGAGUUCCUUGUUUUUAUCCCUGCAAGACAACGCCAAGAGAACGGGUUAGUAGUUAGUAAAAUACUUUCUGUGGAUCAUGAUAGUCAUCAUCGGCAUCAGCCAAACAUCUGAGGGAGGAUCUGAGUAUAAUUAAAACUAUAGGAAUGAGGCUACAUAGUCAAUAGUUAGAAAUCAAUAGGUUGAGUGGUUGUAGUUAGAAACUAACACAAAGGAAUUUGGCAAACGAAUUAGGAUUUAAUUUUGAUUUUUUAAUAUAAUUCUUGUCACUCUUCCAAGUACAAUUCUAGAACAUUUGAUAUCUUAACACGGCUCCCACUUGUUAAAACCAAAUAUGCUCCCUUUGACCACUUGGAUAACUCAAAAAGCUGUUAGAUAUUGGAAAUAAUCGUGGCCACGCAUCAGACUGAAAACACUCCUCUUCACAAUUUAAUCCUUGUCAAAGUAGUCGAUAUGACAUUUCAACAUUUCUCAUCGUUUAAUUUGAAAAAACAAAAAACAAAAACAAGACAGAAUGGCAUAAAUGGCUCUUUCCAAUGCCAUCGAGAAGCCUAAAGAAAUGAUAUUGCCGAAUAGAAAUUGGUGAUAUUACCUUUCUUCUUCAGAACAACCUUUUGCCCAGGUUGAGUACCAGGACGAACCUAAUAAUUAAAAGUUAAUAUAGUCAAUCUGCCAAUGAAUCCACAAGAAUGGUAAUCCAUGGUUAUCAAUAUUAACAUAUUGCCAAACCUUUAGGACAACAUCUCCCGUUAGAGUAGGAACCUGGACAGUGCCUCCCAAUAUAGCCUGCACGGAGACAGUAUAUCAAGUACAAGUGAAUUUAAAAUUUGAUACAAGCAAGACAGCAGAAGACUUGAACCAUAUAUAAUAAACAACCAUGUCAAAAUAUCAUGAAAUGUGAACAAUUUAAAUCUUCAAACGUAUCCCUGAUAGGUUACUUAGAAAUAACAUCCUUCAAGUUUUGGUAUAUCUUUUGAAGGUUUACAUUUUUAAAUUGAAAAAAAAAAACGAGCUUUCAUCUAGAGAAAUUAAAUAAAGUUCCUAAUUUUGUUGGCCAUUUCUCUUUUAAAAGAUGAUUGCCAUCCUAAAACACUAAAUGUUUUUGCCAUGCAAAAUUUUAAACCGGUCUGGCAGAAAAUUUCAAAGGCAACAGUUACUUGAAUCAACAAUCUUAUUUUAGACAAUUACAAUGUGGUUUAGGGUCAUAGAUGGAAUAAAAUUCAAGCCAAUCUAUCUGCAGCUACCAAAUAGCAAGAUUGUUGAUAAAAAGGAAGGAUAUAGCCACAGAAAAAUAACUCCAUAAAUUUGGUCACUUCUUGAUAUUCAGAAACAAAUUAAACAGAGAUUACCUGAGUGAUGCUUAAAACAGUAUCCACAUGAAUGUCCGAACCUUCUCUUUUGAAAACUGGGUCUUCACGAACCUUUUUUUCCCAAUAAACAGAAGAGACAUCACAUCAGCAAGAAAGGAAACCAUCAAUAUAAACUUGAGAGAAGGAACAUCUAAGUCACCUUAACAGUAACAUAUAGAUCACCAGGUUGGUUUCCCUCAGGAUCUGCACCUCCACUCCUAAAGACCUUCAUAGUUUCAUUAUCAUCUAUCCCUGUAUGAGCCAUUACGAACACCAAUCCAACAUUAUCCACAAGUGUGAAGGAAAAACAGUUUUCCUUUUCUAGGGAACAUCUAAAGAUUAAAUGUUGUAUGGAAACCAGAAAGACUUGCCUGGUAUUAUAUCCAACUUAACAGAUUUCAUUUUUCUCACAACUCGUUCCCCAUUACAAGACUUGCAGAAGUUCUGAAAUUUUUAGAGAAACAUAAAUAUCCAAGAUGGAUAGAUCAACUUUCUUUAUAUAUGUGAGCAUGUGUGUGUGAAAAAAGAAGGAUAAACAAAAGGUUGGGACAUACCGACACAAUUUUCCCACUUCCACCACAUUGCGUACAUGUAGUUUGCAUUCUAAAUGGACCAGUUUGCAUGUAUGUCUAGUGUUGAGCAUGAAAAACAAAAUGACUUAGAUCUCACAAGACCACAUUCAUAGAAAAAUGACUUGUGGAAGUAGUAUAACAGAUAAAACUAACCAUGCCUGAGCCCUUACACCGUCUACAUGUCUCAGGUCUUGUUCCGGGUGGAACACCACUUCCACCUGCAAAUCGCCAUACAUUUAUCAAAGACUUAAGAGACAGGAAACUAGAAGACAACAAUUCAUUAAUUGAAUAGAUUUGGCCUACCACAAGUGUCGCAUGCCACAGCUGCAUUAAAUGAUACAGUUUUUGAGCAUCCCUGGACAGCUUCCAUAAAGGAGAUCUCCAAAACAACCUACCAAAACAAAAACCUACAAUAAUAUGUGUGCUGCUUAAGAAUGAAGCCCAAUGCACAUAAACAGGUAGGAUUACCACCUUGAUAUCUUCUCCACCAAAGUUCUGCCGAAAGAUAUUAGAGAACUGGUCACCACAUGCAAAAAACACGUGAAAAAAAGGACCAUUGUAAGUUAUCAAAAGGAAAAAGGCAUGGAAAAAUAAGCUCCAUAGAAGAUUGGCUUACAUCAAAUUCCCUAAAAAUUCCACUAAACGGGUCAAAACCGCCUCCACCACCAGGGAAGCCACCAUGAUGGUCUUGUUGUGUAAAUGCUUCAUGCCCCACCUAUGACAUUGCAAUGGACAUAAAAUAUGUGCAGAGACGAGUUGAUGACUUCAUACUGAAUAUGCUGAACUUCGUGAGAAUUAAAACUAUAUAUCAACGCCAAAUAAAUAUCAACUCCAAUAUUGUUCCAAAAUCUUAAUAAACAGGUAGAAAUUUCAGAUAUGUGAAGGAAGACCUAGUGGUAUGCUUUCUGUAUCAGAAAGCAAAUAGGAAAAAUUAUUUGUGAGUAAGAACAAAUGAAGACUUCCAUCUCAACGAGGCUUAAUGAGGAGAAGCAUGUUUCACUGCACACUAAACUAAUAACUUUUAGAGCCCACCAACUAAACAUCCAUGUGCAUUUUUUCUCCUUCUUUUGAUUGAAACAAGAACAACUUUCAUCUAUGUGGUAUUUUAAAUGAUACCUCAUCAUAUUGUCGGCGCUUAUCCUCAUCUUUUAAAACCUGAGAUCAAGGUCAUAGAGAUUUUAAAAACCUGAAUUGUAUUUAUAUGUACAUUUAUGCAAAAACCAGAGAGGUAAAAAUGUAUAGAGAUUACCUCAUAAGCCUUACUGACUUCUUGAAACUUCUUUUCUGCAUCAGGGUCAUCCUUGUUUGUAUCUGGAUGAAGCUUUUUUGCCAGCUGCCAAAAAAGAAUGUUCUCCACUAUAAAUAAACUGCUCGGUCUUAACAGCAAAGUCACUUGAAAUAAUCUAUUCCUCUAAUUUGUAAUUAAAAUUCCGCUUACAGAGUGUCCUAUGAUCAAGACAAAUACUAUGCUUCAAAUUUCCUCUAGAAAGACACCAAUUGCAGAAACUUACCCCGUAGUAUGCUUUCUUUAUUUCUGAUGCAGUUGCAUUCUUGUUCACUCCAAGGGUAUCGUAAUAAUUGUUAGCAGACAUGUGUGCUGGUUCAAAAAAUACAAAAACGAUACAAACUUAAAAUUAUUCAUGACACCUGUGUAGAGUAAAAUAAUAAUAAUAAUAAUAAUAUCUGCAUACACAACUCAGAACUUGAUCAUGAACACCCCUCUGCUAUAGAUGCAACGGAGAAAAUCAAUUGAAGGGAAUAGGAUAGAAAGUAAAUAAAUAUAUCCUGAAUGGUGCACAGUCUCAUACCAGUUCCAUGAAUGAAUUUUGCUUCUCCAUAGUUGGCACCAAGAACUCCUAACCGAAACCAGUUCUUUUUAUUAACUGCACCAAAAAACAGAGAUAAAAUAAACACAACCGACGAAGAUUUAAUUCCAAUUCCAUAGAGAACGUACACAUACACCUAUCUUACUAACAAAUAUUCAACUAAAACCCACAUAUUGCAAUAUCUUUCACCAUUAACACGAGGCAACAGGAACGAAUAAAGAUCAGAAAUUAUCAAUGGGUAAAAGAAAGAACAAAUACAGACCAUUCUUCGAAGCGCAAUUUCCAAAACAAGCAAAUUUAUUACAAACCCCAGAAUGGAAUUGCCUACAACUCCCUCGAAAAACAGCAUCGGUUACCUACAAAGAACCAAUCCCCAAAUAAAAAACAGAAAUUUAUUACAACAAGGGCAUGGGUACAAGAGGAAAUAACAUAAAAUCGACAUACAGAGGUGGAUGAUUCGCGAGGGAGAUGGGGUGUGAAAGAACGACGAGCCAGCAAACGAAUGAGCUUGAGGCCAUCGGAGCGAACCAUUUGGGGCUAAGAAACACAGAAACUCAGUGAAGUGAAAUGGGGAGUUGGAAGAUGGGGGAAUUGAUGAAAUGAUAAACCCUGUAAAAACCCUAAUUGGGUGAAGAAAAAAAAGCGGAAGGUUCUAGCAGGUGAGGAUGGAAAGGAAGAGGAAAAUCGAUUUUUUUUUUUUUUUUUUUUCCCCUUUCUUUUCUUUACCUUAGAAAAUAUAAAAGCUUCAAUGGUAGAGAGGAAUCCCCCAUGUUCCUCGGAAGCACUUUUAAAAGACACGUUACCAUUCUUUUUCUUUUUUUUCUUUUUUUAACUAUUUUAGGUUUUUCUAUUUCUUACUAUUAAUUAUUUUAAAUGAUAAAUUUGGUUGUAUAUUUAUACAAAUAUCAUUGUUCUAUUUCAAAACAUUUUUUUAUAUAUUUAAAGAAAACAUAUUUCACAUUUAUAUAUUAUUUUAUUAUUUUGAAUAGCAAGUUCACGGCCUUGGAUUCACUACUUAUGUGUAUAACAAUCCUUACAUUCCUAGAUCCCAUUUGAUCAAGUUUAUUUGGUCUCCGGCUAAGACCAUGGUUUUAAAGUCUUUCCUAGUUGGUCACUUUAUUAUUGAAUGACAUUGAUUGAAUAUGGAUCUGCUUUAACUAAUUCUCACGAAUGAGGUACUUCAUCUUACAGUUGGAUUACUUAGCGAAAAUUUGUUGACAAAUGGUGCUUGAAUGCAACAUUUUGAUUUUAAGGGUACUAUUACGUCAAAAGUGGUUAUCGAUUGCAUGUGGAACAACAAUAUUUUGUUGGAUCCUAUGAUAUUUUGCAAACGAGGAUUUGCCUUGUAGAACGACGAAUGAUUGUUUCAAACAACCAUAAACAAUUAUUCAUGUCCUCUUUUGGUGUUGUAGAUUGCAAAACGUUUGCUAUCUUUUGCUUCUUGUAGAGUAACCUUCCACGUCGGAUUUGGCACUUAGUGUAUUGGUUGUUGAGACCUUUAGAAUGAUCAUAAUGAUUUUUGUUAAUGUGGGACUGUGGCUGAAGCGAGGGUAAAUGCAAAUGAUUGUUUAGUUAUUUGGAGGAAUAUACGUUGUUGGAUGAGGGGGUCCUAAAGUUGACGUUUCUAAUGUGUGAUAGUUGUGUGGGAUUCCACCUCGCUCUUUGUUGGAUUUAUGUUAAUGUUUCAUACUUGUCUUAUAAGAGUCACUGAAAUUGGUACGAUGGUCAUUGACGACCAUGGUGUUGUUAUGAUGAGCUUGUAUAAUUUCAUUUCCAUCCCUUUGUACCACUAAUUGUCAAAUCGAUGGCAAUUAAAUAUUGAUAGUCGUGUUCUCAUAUUACCUCUUUGAUGUUUCCUUAACUAGUGAGAGCAAGAUUUCUAUCGCAUAAGUUGGUGUUUUGGUAUAUGAUACCAUUGACGUUUAUAUUCCUUGUAGCCCACAUAACAUUAGUGAUCUUUGAAUGUAAUUGUUGUUUAUACAUAUAUAUAUCUAUAUAUAAUUUAGAUCUACGUUCAAUACUAAAUUAUAUUUUUUUUUCCAAUUGAAAAUUAAGUAUGAUGAUAUUAUCAAAUAUAUUUUCUCUCCUUUUAACAAAUGUAAAUUUAUCUAUCCAUUCAUAAAAAACUUUGAAAAUAGAAAAAAUACGUACAAGGAUAUUUAUUUCUUUAUCAACGUGAAAAUGAUAAAAUUGCCCACAAUCAUCCAUAAAAAUCAUUGAAAGAUUUAAAAUUUAAUGAUAUUUUUCAAACAUCGAGCCCAAGGAGAAAUUUUCCUAUAAAAUUCUAUACAUCAUUGAAUUGAUUACUAAACAUAAAAAUGAUGAACUAUUAAAAUAAAAUAAAGUGCAACAUCCCAUUAAAAUAGAUAGCAUCGAAAUGUUAACCAAUAUGAGUAUAGCUAUAGUCAAAUCCCACACGUAAACUAUUUUUACAAUAUUCUAAAUUCACUAUCAUAUUUAGAAUAGUUUUCAAAAUAAUGUCUUCCUAUCUAGUCAAAUAUCAUAAUAAAUUCGAAGACCUGAAUCUGUAAUGAAAUUUUGGAACCCGAAAACAGAAAUUAUGAGCCAUGGAAUCUCUAUUUAAAAUCAAAAUUUGGGGCUAGGCAAUUACUACAAGUCAUACCAAGUUCAGAUGAACAUAAAAACAAAGUGAUAACUUUUGUAAAAAAGAAACGAUAAUAAGAAGAAGAAAAAAAACAAAUCCCUUAUCUAAAAGACAAGCUCAUGAGGUUUCAUUCCAGCCUUAAGAGAAAAUCUUGCUCCCAAGUAUGCCUUCAACUCCGGAACCGCCUCAAUAGACUUUAUCAAUGGUGUAUCCACAGCUUUCUGGUCAUCCUUCUUCUCAGCUGGGAGAGCACUUUUCUCCUAUAGUAAUAAGUUGAAGUCCAAAAAUUAGAACAGCAAAAAGAUAAACAACUAAAACAAUGAAAGACAGAGUUGUAAAUCCAGUUCUUCCUACCUCUUUCUCUGCCUCGAAAAAUUCCCCUUCACCCUUUUUCUUCUUCUUCUGGGCUUCCUUGGAAAAGUACUUGUCGUCAAACUUUUCGGAGUUCACUCCAGAGAUGUCAACUUUGGUGGAGGUUGCAAUCACGUACGAUUGAUUCACCCGUCUCAGAGGAACACCAUUAAUCUUAAAAGGCCCUAUAGUCAUAAAUACUUAACCUUUAGUAUAAAAAGAUUCAACUUUGCAAUAAAUAGUUGAGGAACAGCAUUCAUGUAUUUCUGAUUGCAAGUGGGCAAUGGAAUAAAUUGUUCAGCCGAUGCAUACUACAUAUCUGACGUAUUAAGGAGUGAUUUUGAAAUAGUUAGUCACAUUUGUGGUGUUCAAAAUCACUCAAUUCAAUGUUCAAUAGUACACUUGUAGACACAUUUUAUCAUACUAUUAAAAUUGAUUAUGAAUUAUUACAAUCAUAAUUUUAGUGAUACUGAAAAUGAAAGUAGUGAUUUUAACUAAGCAUGCAACAAAGUGAGGAAAAGUUUAGCAAUUCUAAUAUACAGCAAACCGAACUAGACCACACUGAAACUUUCAAAAUGCAAACAUUUUAAUAGAAGAACUGAUUCGAGUUGGUAGGAAAACCAGGUACAAAUACAUACGAGUGAAAAGAGACAAACGAGACCCAACAGAUAACAGCAAAUUAUAACAUAACCUGGAUCAAAACCAGAUAAAUACAAUAUAACAGCAAGAAACAUCCACCAUUAUUUCACAAGGAACCAACUCACCAGUAACCAGAAGCAACCCAGAUGGCAGCUGUUUCAAAAACACAACUCUCUUCCCCUUGAACCUCCCAGCAAGAAUAAUCAACACAGUACCAGGAGUAAUGCUAGCUCUAAAAUCCGAAAAAAGGUUUGAGUUAAAAAAAACGUCGCAGAAGCAGAUUCAACAAAUUUUGAAAAUAAUAUAAACCUCAACGCACAAAAAAAAAAAAAAAAAAACGAAAACGGAGCAAUCAUACCUAAGCUUCGUGAGCUUGGCCUUGCGCUUGUUAACAAGGGGCUUCUUCACAUCAUCGGCAGGGUAAAACUUUGGCGGUUUCUCGGCUGGGGCAGCAGCUUUCGGCUGUGCGUCGUGACGAGGGAACACGCCGCCAUUUUUAGCCUUGAUGGCCCAAAGACCACGCUUGUGAUACAUCUUAGACCUCGAGUACUUGCCGACUCCUCGGAUGAGAUCCGGGUUUCUGGUAACUCGCGGGGUUUUGGGCGCCAUUGACGUUGCUCUGGUGCUGCUGUACACUUCUUCUUCGCAACGAGAGAAAGAGGAGGGUUGCCAGAAACCCUAAUUCACAAAGAAUGUUAUUUAUAUAUUAGAAUUUUUUUUGGAAUAAAAUGAAGCCUAACUCAAAGGUCCGAUAGUUUGGGCUUUGGGUCCGACCCAACUAAAACCAUUAUAUAGUAUUUGUAUAUUUAUUACAUUCUUUUAAUUAUUAGUCAUUAUAACAAGUUAUUACUAAUUAUAAAAUAAAAUAUAUAUAAAAUUAACGUACAAAUUUUUUUUUUCUUAAUUCUAAUAUGUCGGUUUAUUUAGAAAAUUAAAAUUGAGAAAUCACAAAUAAAAUAAACUAAAAUUAGGGGUAAAAACUUUUAGAAUUGCUUAUUGAAAUGUUGAGUUUCAAUAAAUAAAAUUAUGAAAUGUUUAUAUAUGAAUAAUUUUUCUUAAAAAUUAAAAAACGUGAAACAUCUUUCUCGCCCUUUUUCUUUUACCUUUCUCUUGCUUUUUUUUUCAAACUUUUGGAAUUUCUUAGAAUUUUGUAUCCAUGGUUGAACAAACCUCUUUUCUUGUUGUUUUUAUUAUUAUUAUUAUUAUUGUUAUACCUGUUAGUUUUUUAUGUCUACAAUUUUUAGUUAAGAUUAGAUUAAAGAGAUUGUGUACAGAUGAAGAAAAAAAAUUAUAUAUUGUUCAUCACUACCACCAAGGAAAAGAGAAAAUAAAAAAAUAAUUGAAUAAUAAUUAGGGUAAUGUAAAAUAUGUUUUACAUUUAUCACGUAACAAUUUAUAGUCGUUUGGAUGAUAUACAACAAAUAAAUAAGUGGAUGACAAAAAUGGAAGAACUAAUAUAUGUUAUAGGAGAAAAAGAUCACUUAAAAACAGACACGUUCAAUAUGGUGGUUGAAAGUAAUUAAAAGAAGAAGAACAGUAACAUUUGAUCAAAGUAAAGAGUCAAUUCUAGCAGGCAUUCUCCUAAGAAAGUUUUGAGGGAAAGAAGGUAAAGUGAUCCUAAAUAUUGGGUGUCUCAUUGCAUAAAGACCCAUUAAAAGGAUAAGAACAUUGAAAGGAAUUACAUACAUUCCCACAGCUGCAACAAGGCAAAACAUCAUAAAAAGUGCAGUUGCUCUUGGAUCCCUCCAACUUAGAACCCCUUCAAUCCUCUCCCCUUGUGUUGCUAAAUCCCCCAUCAACACUUGCAUUCUCCCCCCGAUAUAUCGAAGCUUGUCGUAUCGUCUUCUCAAUGCUCCUCCAUUCGCUCUACUCGGGAAUGUGUCAAAUUCCUCUUCUAAGUCAUCAGGUGUCACCGCAUAAGCGUACGAAAGCUCAGUAUCCAUGUGUGGUGGAUGCCUCGGCCUAUAACGGUACCGCCACACACCCAUCAAGAAACCGUAAAAAAAGAUAGUGGGAAAGAUUAGUUUAGGAAAGAACACAACGAGUAUAAACAUUAUGUGAACUGCAACGGUUAAGGUAGGAUUUGUCCAACUUUGUACGCAACCAAACCAUUUGCAAAACAAAACCAACCACUUGAAAAGCGCUGCAAUUCGGUUGAAGUUGGCUUUGGAUUUUCUUAUGCUCCAUAAGUGUGAGUCUGCAUCCAAUAUGUAGUAGAUGACCUCCCUCCUUAGCUUUGGCUCAGCACGUGUUAGUCGGUCUGAAAGAAUGUUGAAGCAUUGAUCUCUCAAGUGCUCUAUUUGGUAAAUGGACAAAGGGAGAGUGUAAUGCAUUUCAGGUAGCAUAGGUUGAGCAUAAGUUUGCAACAUGUUGAUAAAAGAUAAGCAAGAAAACCUCACUGCCAAUUGAAUCUCACCCAUCUUCUUCACACCACAAGCUUGCAAUGCCACAAGAGGGUAAGAAUGUGUGUAAACUCGAUUGGUCUCGAGUGUGGACAAUCGAAUCCGAACCUUCCCAAUGCGACUAUCCUUUCCUAUAUCCCCUCCUUGGAGAUAACCAUUAUCAAACACUCCAAUAGUUAAAACAGUACACGGAUCAUAAACCUCAAAAAUGUAUUGCUCAUUCCAUUUGGGAGCAGAAGUAUUAGUAAUUGUUCUAGUCCUCACCCAUUUCGGCCCGUAUUUUGCUACGCAAAAUGCGUCAGUUUGAUUCUCUCUUUGUUUCAUUGGCGACAACCCCGAAGCACUCAGGAUACCUAACUCCAAAACACCAAUGCACUUCGGCCAUAACAACUUCGACGUUGCUCGAAGAUCACUCGCAUAUUGAAUCUGCUCAUGAAGAACAUGAUACCCUCCAUCUAAAGAGACUCUCAAAUGCAACUUGCUUGCAAACUUCACUUCCUUUGCUUCGUCCCCUGCCUUGAAUCCAUUGGGCCUCUCUAGAUUGUACCAUCUGUUCUCAACAGAUGAACUAUCAUUUCUCACUUCAAUUUUCUCUAGAGGAAUAUAACAAACACCUAGAACAUCAAUUUGAUUAGGGCCAAUCUUAUCAACCACACGAAGCUCUAAAUUCUUCUCAAAUGGCUCUGCUGCAACAAGCAACAUGUCUUGAUUCCAUACUGGAUUCAAAUUCUUACUCUCUGAUAUUCUGCUUAUCAUUUGUAUAAUCCCAAGUCUUGCUUCAAUCAAAACCUCUGGCUUUCUGUUCUUGUCAUUGAUUACUAAAUCUUGAGCUUCAAUUAUGUUCACUCUCAAGUACCACAACCUUGGUGAUUGGUAAACUUUCGAUUGUGUGUUGAUGACACCGUCGCCACUGACCGAUGCUGCAUCAGAAUGCCACGCUAUUGAGUAAUGGUUGUCGGCUUGAGUCCCCAUCCAAACAGAGAGCAUCAACUCACCCCUGACUCGACUGCCAUUGCUGUUUCGAUUUUCGAGUUUAUACCAUUGCGAAGCCAACUGACUGUCGGGUGGUAUCCUCAAUGGAACGUCGGCAAUGCUCAUAACAAUGCUGCCGAUCUCUGCAUUGGCCCCUGACUUAUUAAACAAAGAGAUUUCAACGUCAGUUGUCUGAAUUCGAUCUUUCACAAAGGCAAAAACAGUACCCCAUUCUGGAUUUGGUGUUUUCUCAAAAGCUUUCGUGGUCCCUCUGUAGUUUCCAAGCUUGAUUUCAACAUAAGGGUCACAAGUUUCCGUUAAAUCUCUUGCUCUUUCGACUUUGACGUAAAGAAACAACAUUUGUUCGACAAGAUCAAAAGCAGUACUAAUGCCAACAGAUGAUUUUCCCCCAUUAAUGUUGGGGGAGGUCUCUUUGAGAGCGAAAUCUUCAUGUUUCUUAUGUGGGUUUGGUUUAUUCUUGUUCUCCAUAAAUCACAACGACCUGCAAACACAAGGAUACAUUCAAAUUCCCAUGUUAUCAGAGAGAAAACAGAGGAUUUUGUUUCACUUUAGUUGAACUACACGGAGGAAUCACCAUUAAAAGUUUGGUGGGUUCGAAGGAUCUGACUCAGAUCAUCUGAAACAUUGAAGGAGAUAGAUGAAAAUGAAAAUCUUUUGGAGAUGGUAACUCAUGGAGAAGGUGAAGCAAAGAGAGAAAGAGGGAAUGACAGGGAGGACAAUUCGGAAAAUAAAUCACGAUAUUAAAAAUAAUAUAGUGUUAAUUUUGUUUUUUAAAAAAUUAACAUCUCUAUUUGAAAAUGCUAAAUUUAAUUAACGAUAUUUUUAAAAAAUAAUAAUAUCAAUAUUAGAAUAUUCGAAAUGGACAUGUUUUUAAGUAAUAAUAAUAUACUCUUCAAAAAAUAACUUUUGAAAUAUUUAAGUACUUCAAAAAAAAAAAAAAAAAAAACUUAGCAUUGAAAAUUAUUGAUUAAUUAGUGAAAGAAACAACGGUUACAAAUUACCAUAUUUAUCAAACCUUUGGAUUGCAGGAUUUAUUUCAAUUAAUUUUUUUAUAUGGUAAUUUAAAAAUAUCAAAAUGUAAUUAAUUUCAAUUGUAAUUUUCAAAUAAAACUGUGCAUUAAAAAAUUGUAUAAACUCAAAUUUUGUGUAUGUGUAUCAUAUCAGUUUAUACAAUGAAUUUGUGCUAUGAGACGUGUAAUUUCAUUAAUUAAAAUACAGAACUAAGCAAAUCAAUUUUAGGUUAGUUGUAGUAUUUUAUUAAAAUAUUUAUUAGGAUAUUUUAAAUUUUCUCUUGUAUGGAAAUUUCCAAAAAAACUCACUCCCAAAUUCAACCAAAUUUAAUGUUAGUGAUUCAUUUUCUCAAAAACAAAAAUAGUAAUAAUGAUAAUAAUUGGAAGUAUAUUUGGUUUUUAAAAAAAAAAAAUCAAAAAACAACACUCCAAAUGGUCAAUUUUCAAAAACAAUAAAUUGUCAUUUUUUUGUUCGUUUUCAAAUUCACAAUCAAACCUAAAAUUUGAUUCAAAUUUGAAUGUUGAAUCUAAAUUUCAAAUUGUAAAUUGGAGUCAAAGCUAUUUUCAAAUAUAUUAAAAAAUAAAGAAUUUGUUUUUCUUUUUUACUAAAUUAUUUGGUUUUCAAAAUAAUUUUUGGAUCCUAACGAUUAUUUCAAUCUUCAUUCUAUAACGUCCUAUUUUAUUUUUUUAAAUCAAGAAUAUACCCAAAUAAACAGUUAUACAUAUAAACUCGUGUUCUAAUAAUAGUGAAUAGUACCCUUCUAAAAAAAUAAAAGUGAAUAGUAUGCUUGGAAAAAAUUCGAAAAAAACAUAGUGAAUAAUAUGCAAACACAUAUUCUAAAUAAUAUAUCUAAGUUUUUCUUUUUUCUAUUCGAUCAGACACAUACUCCAUAAUAAACAAGAUCGAUACUUCGAAAACAUUAUGCUAAAAAAAGAUUCAAAAAAGUUUUAUGCACAAACGUAUGAACUCAACGUACCUGAAGAACUUUGUGGAGAGAUUAGAAUCAAAGUGAUGAAGAAGAAUAGAUAAUUGUUGUAAAUCGUAAAUGAUGGAAAAAAUUAAGCAAAUAUUUGUGAUUAUUCUCUUACCAAUUUAUUUGCUUUGAUUUUCAAAUUUUAUAGUUUCCUUUUUUAAUUUCCAAACAUCUCUCCAUAUAUAUAUAUAUUUCCAAAUUUAUCAAGAUUUGAGGAUUUAUUUCAAUUAUCCUUUUUUUUUCUUCUAAUUAUUAACCAAAUUUAAGAACAACGGUUAUAAAUGGUAAUUCUUAAAAUAUCAAAACGUAAGAUUUUAAAUUGCAAAUGAAGUAUUAAUUAAAACCUUAAUAAGGAUUUAUUUCAUUUAGUUAAAGGUCAAAUUUAAGUAAGGUCAUGACUAUGUAUUAGUAAUUAAAUUUUGGGUAAUCAUAAUUAAAUUUAAUUGUUAGAUUAAUCGUAAUUGACCACAAUCUUAAAUAUAAUUAAGUUGCAAAUGUAACUAAAUUGUGUUGUGAAUUUUUUUGAAUUUAACGGUGUCAAAAUGAAGUAUUUUCUUAAAGGAUAAUCAUAAUCCAAAUGAUAAUCGAUGAUUCAUCAUCCUUCGUUCUUCGAUUGGAUUGCGGCUUUUGUUUACUAAUUUGGACGUAGAUUCAUGUAUCACAUAUAUAUGUAAAAUAUAAGUAAACAACAACAUUGUUUGACUAUAUUUUUUUAAUAAAUUUAAUUUAUGAAAUUUGAACAUUGUAUUUGUAUUAGUUAAUUUAAAUACUGUGAGUACAGUUUAUAAUAUUUGGUAAUUUAACUAUUUCUCUCGAAAAAUAAACUUUCCAAGCAUAUUGAUCUUAUUGGAUGAUUGAUCUCUGGGCUUGUUGUUUUUCUCAGAGGAUCGGUCAUUUGCUCGCUGAACUUGUGAACAAUUUGAACCACCAUUUGGCUUGGACUAGCUUUACCACUUCAAGAGAGUUAAAUUUUUUGUCACGUGAACUUUAUAACUUAAGAGCUCUAGAGCUACGGUCUCUAAAAUUUGAGUGAUUUAAAGCUUCAAUAUUCAAAAUUUAAAUGUUUCAGUUUUCAAAUUUAAAGAAUAUUUAAUUUUUUAAGUCUUCAAAUUUUUAGAUAAAUGAUAAUAUUAAGAUUGAUCAUAACUUUAAAAUCUUAAGAGCUUGAGAGGUUGAAUAUUUAAAUCUACAUAGUCUUAGUAGUUGUCAUUAUUUUUUAAAAAGAUAUUUAGAGAAAAUACCUAAAUUUUUUUAAAAACCUAUAUUUUUAGGACAAUUAUAACCUUAUCUAUAUUAUUAGAAAGUAAAUUCAAAUUAAUUCCUUAAUUACAUUAUAUUCAAUUUAUUAUAUAAAUGAUAACUUCCUUAUUUAUCAUAUCAAUUUAUGUAUAACUUGAUGGGGGUAGUUAAUUGAAAAUGGUUUAAUGGUUUAUAUAAAACGAUAUAAAAGAAAAAGAAAAAAAAAAGAAGAGAUGGCACGUGCGGACAGCACAAGAUUAGCUCAAUCUCUUCUUCUUCUUCUUGUCGACUGGAUAAACCUCUGGCCACGCCUCAGGGUUCUGUGCUUUCUUCUCUCUGUUCUCUCAAGCUCUCCACAACAAAAAUGGCUUCCAUCUCAUCCAUAUUAACCCCUACCAAUCUCAUUCACAGCUCCAAAAAACCCACAGAUAUCCCACAAACUUUAUCCUCUCAAUUUCUCCGACCAAUCUCCUUUCACCCUCCUCAUAUCCUUCUCCGCAUCUCUCCCGUCGCCGCCAAACCCCCCACCAGACUUUUCGCCGUUGCAGAAGUGGCGACGCAGGGUGCCAGUUCGGUGGCGGAAAGGAAAUUGUACAUUGGGAAUAUACCUAGAAAUGUGAAUAACGAGGAGCUUACUCGGAUUGUCCAAGAACAUGGGGCUGUGGAGAAGGCUGAAGUGAGUAAUUUCUGCUUGGAUUUGUUAUUUUUUCUUUUAUUUUUUCAUUUUCCUCUUUUGGGUAUCCUGAAAUUUGUUUUAUACCAUGCGUCGUAUUGUUGAUUUUGAGGCUUGCUGGAUUCUCCAGGGUUUAUACGUGCUUAGUUUGUUUUGAACCUUUGCAUUGAUUGAGUUUACUUGUUUAUAAAUUCAUCAAAACUGCUGAAUGUAGUUUGAUUUUGGGCUGAAUUUGUCUACCCUUUACUUCCUGAAUGUUGUUUGGACAAGCUAUUGAGGGUUCUUUUACAUUUGAAGUUGGAUUGGUUCUUGUCAUCUGUAAUUUGAGCUCUAGAAUACGAUAAGAUAUACUUCGAUUCUUGCUAAAGUAACUCUAGUUUAAAUCUACGAGUGCAUGUCAAUUACUGUUAAAACUGUGCUUUCUUUGGGCGAGAUAACACUUGGUAAUUUAUGUUUAUUGCUUAUUUGUAAUUUCCUUUCCAAAAUGUGCUCUCCAACUUGAAUAUCUUAUGCCAUAUGGUCAUUUUGAAAAACUAGCUAAUUUUUUCUCUUGAACUCCGAGGCAAAGCACUUGAACCGAACGGUCCUUUAAAUCAAGUAGCUAGCAGCAACAUUUUUAUUUUUUUUAAUGAAUUAGCUCUUGCAAUCUAUUGAUUUCAAGAAUUCUAGCAUCCCUUUGUUCUUAAUCUUCACUUGGUAACUGUUGGUGUUGGCCUUAAGAAUCUUAUUUUGUUCCAUUUCCAGGUCAUGUAUGACAAGUACUCUGGGAGAAGCCGCAGAUUCGCCUUUGUUACUAUGAAAACAGUUGAAGACGCAAAUGCAGCAAUUGAGAAACUGAAUGAGACAGUGAGUUCAUUUUAAUAUCUAGUUAUCUACAAAGUGCAACAACAAUUGAAAAGAAAAGAGAACGAAGGAAUUGUUUCUUACCGUUGACUAGAUGGAUUGAUUAUACUGACAAUGUUUGUUUAAUGGCAGGAAGUCGGAGGACGUAAAAUUAAAGUCAACAUAACAGAAAAACCUGUUGUUAAUACAGUUGACAUGUCAUUUCUUCAGGCAGAGGAAUCUCAAUUCAUUGACAGUCCUUACAAAGUAUAUGUAGGAAACAUUUCGAGUACAGUUUCUACAGAAACACUCAAAAACUUCUUUUCUGAGAAGGGUAAAGUUCUCAGUGCGAAGGUUUCACGGGUUCCAGGUACCUCGAAAUCAAGUGGCUACGGUUUUGUUACCUUCUCUUCAGAGGAGGAAGUCGACGCUGCCAUUUCAUCUUUUAACAAUGCUGUAAGUAACUUGCUUCGGUUCUCAUAUGAUUCAUAUCUAAAUGCUGUGGCUCCGAUAUCGGUCUAUGCACACUCCACCUCACUUUUUAGUCCCUAUCACAUAAUGUCCCAUGGUUUAAGUUUCAUGCAUUGGCAACACUCUUGCUCCUGUUUAGUUGGCACUGUCUAGUAGAGAAUUCCUUGUUUCACUUUAUGUUCUUCAGUAACAGUUUGGUUAAAAUACGCAGCCCUCAAAAGAUUUGGAAGAAAAUUAUAAUUUAGUCUCUAUAGUUAAAUAGUUUACAAGUUAUUUAACUACUACAAUGACUAUAUAAUUUUAUUAAAUGAUGACUUUAUAAUUUUAUUAAAUAAUUGGUCAAGGGUUCAAUCUGUAGUGGCCACUUAUCUAGAAAUUAAUUUUCUACAAGUUUUUUUUUUACAUCCAAAUGUUAUAAAGUUGAUCCGGUAAAACCAUAAGGACGGAACAAUCAUGGAUAUAAAAAUAAUAUAAAAUAACAAUUUACCAAAUGAUUGAGACUAUUUAUGUGAAUUUAUCAAACUAUAAGGAUAGAAACUUUUAAAACCAUAAGUACUAAAUUCUAACUUUCUUCAACCUACUUAAUAUGGCCAUAUUUAUAGGUAACUAAACAUUUCUAAUCACAAACUUGCUUGAAACUUUUCUUAAACUAGUUGACUGAUAGGCAUUACCAACUUGAAUGUCUAAUUGAUAUUACCUUAUGAAUGGAUGAGCUACGCUCUGAAAGAUGAUGGCAUUUUAACCUGAAACAUCUAAUACAUCUUUUGUUUUCGAAUUCUUACGGGAAGCUUGUGUUUCUGAUAUGUUUUUCUUUGCUGCAGUUGUUGGAAGGCCAACCAAUCCGUGUAAACAAGGCCUAAAUUUUGUAGGGUUCUAUGUAACAAAAAUGUUUGGAAGUUUCACUUUUGCCUCUUGGAAUGAAAUUGAUGAACAGCAGAGGGCAGUUUUUUCACACAAUUUCUGUAUUCAUAUCACUAAUGUAUAAUCUUGUUUAUUUUUCUGUUUAAGCAUCAAAUCUUAACUUAGCUAGACUUUAAAAUGCAAAUCUUUGAUUACAUAUCAAAAUAUUCUGAAAAUCAUUUUCAAAUUAAGUAAUCAUUCAUUUAUAACAUAUAUAACUGAGUACUCAAGACUAAUCAAAUUAAAACGCUACAAAAGCUAUCACAAUCAACAUUAACUUUCUACAACCAAUAGCAACAAAACAUAUAUAGUAUGCAAAUUUAUAUUAUUUGGUAAAGAUGUCAAGUUUAAAUCACUAUAAAAAGAUGUCAAUUGAAAAUUCAAACUAACACAAACUCAAAUAUAUUAGAAUUCAAAAUUCAAAACUAAAGAAAAAAAAGAAAAAGAAAACCCACCAUGAAUAAAUUGCGGUAUAAUUUUGAAAUGCAUUACUAUAGUAAUUUGGGAGACUGACUAGUAAUUACUUAUCGAGGAAGCAAUUUCCAGCCAAACAAUUUUCACAGCAUUUUGAAUAAAAGUACUUCAGGAACAAUAAAUUAUUAAAAAUGUAAUAAAAUAACAAUAAUACAGCUUUCAAUUUCAUUAAAGUCGUCCCAAAUUCCCAAAUUUGAUCGUAAGAUAUGAGAGGUUCUUCCCAGAAAUCUUCCCGUUUUUUCAACCCUCGGAUCUCCUCUGUGGCCGUCGACGUCAAGGACCGGCACCACCGCCACCAAGAGCUCCAAUUGUUGUGGCUUAUUUUCCGGUUGAUUCGAUUCGUUGCGAGACCGACGACGGUGAUCUCUGAUCAACUGCCGUUGUUUUUGUUUUAUUUUAUUUUUACAGUCCCUAAAGUAAAUGAUCAAUAAAGAUACAGUUGAGUUCAUUUAUAUAAUCUUUGAAUUUGUAAGCUUAAAUUUACAAUUAUAAAUGUUUAAAUUGUAUAUUUGGGUGAAAUUUCUGAUGAUUUCUUAUUUUAUCAAUAAGUUAUUUAAUAAAAGUUAUUCUUUUAUUAUAUUGUAUAAUAAUAUUUCUAAUAAAUUAAGAUUGGUAUGAAUUAUAAUUGAUAAUGUUAUAUGACUAAAUACAUAAUUAAAUUGAAGAAUUAAAAACUUAUUAGGAUCCUAAUAAGAUUAGGAAUCCUAAACUUAUUAGUAGGAUCGAAAACCUAAACUUAUUAGUAGGAUCCUAAUAAGAUUAGGAAACCUAAGCUUAUUAGGAAACCUCACAAACCCUAUAAAUAAGACUUUGAGGUCUUAUUUUAAAUACAACAAAGACAUAAAUUCAUUAUACACAAAGGGAGUAUAGAGAAUUUUGGUGAUACAAAUUGGAGAAUUGUUCUUAAAUUCAACAUAAAGGUAUGUUUAUUUUAAUUGUUUAUGCACGAUUUGUUAUAUCGUAAAGUGAGAUAAAAGAAAGAAAGUUUUAUGUUAAAUUUAAGUUUAGUAUAAGUAAUAUGAAAAAGAAAAUUAAGAAGUAGGGGUAGAGACAAUUUAAGCAUUAGACUAAGUAGUGGAAUUGAGGUAUAUAUUAAAUGGAGUGAUUCUACCACCUAGGGCACCUAUGAUAACCAAUUCCAACUGUUGGAAACCUGAUUUAAUUUAUGAAAUUUUACUAAAAGAAUGUGAUGCAAAGAUAAAGGGGAGAGAGAAAAAGUUAAAAUAAGAAGAUAAUAAAGAAUGACUAUGAGUGAUAACUAUAUCACUAUGACAUAAUGAAAAUGAAAGAGGAGAAUAAAUUUGGACCAUAUGAAAGGUGACAGAUAUGGGCCAAUGGCUGCUUAGAACUUGAGAUCCACGGCUCCUUCCUUGUAGGAUAAGCAAUUAAUUCACCUCAAAUCCCACACUGCUUCUUCUUUCAUCUUCUUCCUACCUCUAACUGUCUAUAAAUAAUUCCAACAUUUAAAUCAUUAAUUUCCACAACCAAAAUCAACUUCUACAGGAUCUUCAAUAUGGGAUUCUCGCAAAUGUUCAGCUCCUGUUUUUCCCCCUCCAGAGUCUCCGACGAUCGCAAAGAUGAUCUUCCCGGGUCAAAGAAACCCAAACGACCCGUGAAGAAGGAGCGUAAGGAAGCUCCGAUUGUAGUUUCUUAUUUUCCUGUUGGUUCAUAUGCUUCUCGCUUGUAGCUGGUGAUCAAGACGCUUGCUGUGAAUUGGUUUCAAAAUAGGAAAGAAAGUACUCCAUGAGGGGGAAAAAAAAAAGAAAGCCAAUUCUAGAUUAUAUUAUUUUCGUCAUUAGAAUAUAUAUGAACAUAUGAUAUUCAAAGAAAUUUAUAUAUAUAUAUAUUGUGAUUUGCAAAUAUUGUUAGAUUAUAAAAUACUCUUUGGCAAGACAUUACCGAUCUGUCCUAUUAAUUACAAGGUGCAAAAUCUCUAAAACGUCCGAUCAAACGCACACCACAUGAACAUAAUGUUUUCUUGUUUUCUUUUUCGAAUAUUUACUCAAUAAUGAUAAUGACCACUUUUUUUUUAAAAGGAAAAAGAAUUAAGAAAGUAAUGAUAAUAUGAAUUGUUACCCAACUGAUAAAUUAAUAAAGAAUUCAGUUUAUAAAACGAGAAUAGUAAUUCCUACAAAAGAAUGUUACAAUAUAAAUGACGCUGAUAGAGUUAAAGAAUAUAUAUAGACAAUGCACUCAUCUAAUUAAACUUUUGAAUUAUAGUACGGUAAAUGAUUAUGUAAAUAUACUUAAAUAGGUUAGGGAGGCAUUAUCCUCAAACCCCACAAGUGUGUCGUAUUUGGUUAUUUGAACUCAUCCAAGACAUUCCACCAUUAAUAGCGAUCAACAUGGUAUAAAAUCAAGUAAAUUAAGGUAGAAAAUGUAAGACAAAUAUUAGUCCUUAAUCUAACCUAGAUCGUUGUGUAUAAAAGCUUCUAAUACUAUAAAGUAUCAUGUUCUUUUUAAUCAUGUUCCAAAUAUUAAUGGAUUGGUAGUAAUCAAAUUACUAAACAAAAGUUGGAAGAAUAUAGUUCAAAAUAGUAUUUAAAACUUAAUAAUUUAUAUUCACCACAUUUCAAAGGUAGUAUUACUAUUUCAAACAUUACCCUUUAUUUGUAUUUUUCUUUGUGGAAAAAGCAGUAAGUAAACAAGUAUAAUUUUCUUCUCUCUAAUUAAUAAUGAUCAUGAUAGGUCAGGAACCAAAGUAAUUCUCCAAACCCACGCCACGUGGUUUUAGAUAUUAAUAACAAAUGAAAGCAAAUAACUAAAAUGAAGAACUUAUUAACUUUGCUUUUGUCCAAUCUUUGACCCUCUCAGUUUAAACUUAAUUAAUGGCAUAAAAUCGUCACCAAUUAAUAAUUAAUAAAAAGAUGUUCAAAUUCAUGUAUGUUUUGCUUCCUCUUCAAGUUUCUUUCACUUCACCCAGAAAAACAAAUGGAAUGUGAAGAAUAUGAUCUACUUCAGUCAAAGUACUCAUAGGGAAGCAUUGAGUUCUCAUAUUGUUUAUUGAGAUUAAGUGGAAAACAAGAGAUGUAAACAAACUAUUGGAAUAAACUAAAAUAAAUUUAAGUUAAAUAAUUCACCAUACAAUUGUCAAGAAACUUAGGAAUACUCCCGGCUACAAGUCUUUUUUGUUUAAUUAGGAUGUAACACCUUUCAUAUCGAAAAAGAUGACCAGUGACAACUUCUUUUUAAAAGAAAUUAAAUACAAGAAGUUAAAGUUAAAAUUGAUAUAUAUCGUUUUCUCCCAUCAAAGUUGACUUGUUGUGUUUGGGAGCCAAAAUAUCAAUGAAGAAACAAAAUCUCCAAACAUUUUUAAACUUAUUUUUUAAAGUUUUAGUAACUAAAAAUAAUAUAUUUAAAAACCUACUGCUCAAAAUUUAUAUAGGUUUUUUUCUUUUUCUUUUUAAUUUAGUCUAACUAAUUUGUUAUAUAUUUUAAAUAUUUUGUCAAAUUUAUUAUUUUUGACCAUUUUUUAUAUUUAAAUAUACUUUCAACACUUCCAUAAAUAUAUCAAACUUAUUAGUUCGAGAGGAGAUGUUGAAAGUAUAAAGGCGAGGAGGGUGUAGCUUUGGUGGGUUAGGGAAACAAUUAGAAAAGGAAAGGGAAAGGAAGAAGAAGUUUGGAAAAUCUUUGCUUGUUCCCCAAAUUCCACAUUUGACCAUUUUUUUACUUCUACGAGUACAACCCCUCAUGUUCACUAUAAAUACACCUACUUUUCUUCAUUUUCAAAAUCAAAACCAAAACAAAACCCAUUUCUCAAACUUUGCCUCUGCUUUGAUUUCUGUUAGAUUAAAACCCAAAACACAGAGUAAUUCAAAAUGCUUUCUUCUGUCUUAGUUUCAACAUUGUUGGGUUGCUUCAUUCCUUCUAAAUCUCCAAAGGUCUCUCAUGAAGAACAACAACAUUCAAACUCCAAACUCAAACAACAGAAAUCAAUAUCUGAUUCCUCAUUAAAACAGUCCCCUAAAGCUCCAAUAAUUGUCUCUUAUUUCCCUGUUUCUUCAAAUCUCUCUCGCUUGUAAUUUUCCCCAUUGUCAACUCUGUUCUGAACUGCAAGUGACUUCAACUGAAUCAAAGGCUGGAGAAGAUGAAGUUUUUUUUCUUUCUUUUGUUGUCUUGAUGGAGUUUAGUAAAUACUUGUUUGUUCUACCUCUGUUUUGAUUAUUGUUAUUGUGAGGUGGGUGAGGUCAAUACUUUCUUUAUUUAUUGGAGAUUUAAUAAUAUUCAACUUUUGUUUUAUUGGUUUUUUCUUCACAUUUUUCAAUCUUAUCUUCAAUUAAAAUGUAUAAUUAUUUAAAAAAAAACAUAAAAAGUUAGGAUUGAAUUACUUAAUGGCGAAAAACUCAUUAUCAAAUAAAUGACCCAAACCAAAAUACAUCCCUAUCUCUUAAAACUAAUGUUAAACGUUUGCUUGCAAAGAAGCAUGCUUUAAUGCACUAGCUUUGAGUUUUGACUUAAAAGCUCUUAAAAAUUCAAAAUCAAAAGACAAAGUGCACCACUUUUGCUCGCAUAAACCAAAUUAUUCGUCUUUUAUAAACCGAGUGUUGUGAUAGACUUGUUUAUUACAAAUCCACAAAUCUAACAUCCCAAACUCACAUCUCUUGUUGCUCUGAGUGAAAAAACCACAAAUCCUAAAACAAAUAAUUAUAAUGAAAUAAUUUAACUUAAAAACUUUUGUUCCAAAGCUAAAUCCUAAAACAUGAAUUUAGUUAGAAUUUUAUUUAGUGAUGUUAAAAGAGGAAAGAGAGGUGAAAAAGCAGGGAUUUUGGUCAAAAGAAGUAUGGUUUUUAAUUAUUUGAGAAAGCAUGAUGUUGUUUCUUUGAACUUCCAACUCUUCUUCCCCCAAGACUGUCUUUAUAUUCACUUAGUUGUUUGAAAAAAAAAACAAGUGAGUGACUCAUUUAGACCAUGCUAUUUGGUGUUGUUUUUUCAGUUUUUCAACUUAUAAUUCUACUCCCUACUUUUACUGUGGAUUUCUUGUUAGAAAAAAUACGUAUAUGUUAAUUAUGAUUGAAUUAAAUUAUGUUUGGGUUGAAAGUAAUUAUUGGUCACAUGAUAUAAUAUGAUAAAAAGUAUAGAAAGGGUGUGAGUGAUUGACAUUGUACCUUCGCAUACAAGUUCAUCAAAAAAAGAAAAAUACAACUUUGCAAAGCCAAUACUUGUUCCCCAAGUUCAACAUUUUGAUUGACCAUUCUCCACUUUUUGUAGUCCUCAUGUCCACUAUAAAUCCAACACUAUUUAUCUUCAUUCUCAAAAUCAAAACAAAACCCAUUUCUCAAAAUUUGUCUCUGCUUUGGAUUUUGUUACAUUAGUAAUUAAAAAAUGCCUUCUUCUGCCUCAGUUUCAACUUUGUUUGGUUGUUUCCUUCCUUCUAAAUCUUCAAAGGUCUCCCAUGAAGAACAACAACAUUCAAACUCAAAACUCAAACAACAGAAACCGAAAUCUGAUUCAUCAACAUCAACACAGUCUCCUAAAGCUCCAAUAGUCCUUUCUUAUUUCCCUGUUUCUUCAAAUCUCUCUCGCUUGUGAUUUUCUUUUCCCGUUAUCAACUAUGUUCUCUAGUGGACGACUCCUACUGAAUCCAAGGUUGAAGAAGAUGAAGCCUUUUCUUUCAUUCUUCUAUUUGGGAUUUUCAUAUUGUUGCCUUUUCUGCUGUAACUUUGUUUAUUGAUUUGUUCUUCGUUGGAGACCUUAUAUGUAUAUAUAGAUUUUUAUAUUCAAAUAAUUUUGGCAUUUCAAAUGUUAAAAUAGUGCCAAGAUUCUUCAUUGUUCGAUGUGUACAAUCUAACAAAAUAUAAUAUCUUUGGAUAUGAAAGAUAUGUUUGAAAAUUAAUUUUUUUUAAUAAAAAGUGGGAUAAUAAAAUCGGACAUAAUUGAUAUGAAGUUAAAUUAUACUCAAUUUAGCAUUUGAAAAUUGAAUUUUUUUGUUGAUGAUUUAUUGGUUUAUCAAGAGAACUGGAAAGAGCAAGAGAAUAACAGAGGUUUUAUAUUAGGGUUUUUACCAUGACUACGAUGAAACUGAAAUAAGCGUGAAUUAAGAAGAAGAAAAAAUCCAUUUUUCUUGGAUUGUGUUAGUUAAAAGCAUUUCUCACAAGAGAAAAAUCAAUUCUUUGUUAAUUAUUUUGAUUUAAACCACUGAUAAUGGAAAAUUGAAUUUCCAAUUCAUAAAAUAGUGGCAGUCAAGAGCAGUAGAAGCCGUGAUUCUUCAUGUGAUUAUAAAACUGCCUCCGAGUCUCUUUGUUUGGAAUGAAGAUGGCUCAACUGCCAGGACAGAGUUAAUAUGACAGCAAGAAACGUCUUCAUCAUAAAAGUUAUAGAUAUAACGUAUAUGAGUAAACCAAUCUAUUAAUAUCAUCAAUAUGUCAAUGAAGAUAAUGACGACAUUCAAAUAAAUUUAGAGCUUGUUAAGAACGACUUUCUUAACGAACAGUUGAGUUUCAUUAUCAUUAUCAGUCAAAUUUCUGUUGAUAAAACAAGAUUGUGCGUGUUGAUAAAACAAGAUUGUGCGUGUUGAACAAUGCUAUGACUCGCAUGGAUAGGAGGUAGGAGCAGUCAUUGAUGCAAUUAACCAAAUUAAAUUGGGAACAAACGUUUCACCAAACGAAGCGUGUGAGAAAAAUUUGUCGCCAGCAACAGUAAACAUUUGUGAAAAAACAAAAAUGGUAUUAUUGAUACUAUUCUCAUACUAUGAGUCGAAAUAGCUCGGCAUUUUCACUUUGUAGAAGACAUCGAUACGUGUGACAUCCUUUUCAACAGUACCUUCAGGCAGCCUAUUUGGUGUAAUGUAAAUUGAUAAAUUCUUAGGUACAAGUACAACCAUUACUAAGAAUCUUGUAUACUCUAGCCUUCUUGGACUACAAAAAAUGAAUGGUGGAAUCUACUUGUGAAUGUCUUGAAGCACUGUCAUUGAAAACUAUAUCUGUGCAAUUAGAAGUUCAUUCCAUGUGUCUGGUAUGCCAGGUAAGCACCAAUGCAAGCAAUCACUUGUGUUUAGGAUUGCUCUACGAGUGUAGCGCGAGACGUGGCCUUCGUCGCGCAACUGAGAGAUGGCAGUUACAUCCAAGAUUUUUACCUUGGUACCCUUUAAAGCACUUUCAACAACAAUGUCACUGGAUCCAUCUUGGACAACCUCGCUCCCGCCCGACAUUGGAAUCAUAUUAUCACAGGAUCCCCCAGUGUUCCAAUCCCCGUUGAAGAAAUGUCUAGGCGAGAUUGUCCUAAAGAAAACUUUUAGAUUAUGAGGAUGCAGGGGAAGUUGUGAAUCGAUCCAUCGGGCAAUGCUGUAGACAGUCAAGUUCUUGGCAUUCGCCAUAUCCAAAGGCUUCUUUUCUUCUGCUGGUUUUCCAUCAACAUACAUCACCCACCUAUUUGCUUGAAGUUUUCCCCUGUUCCAAUGGUGACCUGUAUUUAAAACCAAUACAUGAAAUUGAUGGAAGAACUUUCUCAUGAAAGCUGGGGGUUGGUCCAAAUGCAUCGCAAUAUCUGUUAAUGGAUCUGUUCUAUUAAGAGGUUCUAGAUCAGACAGGCUCGCUGACCAGUAAUAUAGAAUCGUGGUGUUUGUGUUUGGAAACCGAUAAACCCACCCGUCUGGUCGAAGAGCUCCAGGGGCUUUCGCGAGACCGUAUUCUCUUCCCACGUCUUCGACUUCAGGACUUUCUUCACCACCAGUGAGCAUACACAUCAAAGAUUGGAACUGCUGCCUACCCAAGGAAUCUCCUAUAAAUGCAAGUGUUUUGUUCUGCAUUCUAGAAAUCAAAAUGGUAUUCAAAUCUCUAGAAAUAACAAGUUUUAAGUAUACGAUACACAGAUGAUAAAACCAUUUUCAUACAACUACAAAACCAAGCCUAUAUACAGGUCAAAUGCAGAACCGCCCUACUUCAGAAACUGAAAGUAACAUUAUAUUAUUUGCAACACAUGAGGUGAAAAUCUCAAAUACCUUCUCAAGAAUGAAGAACGCUCAAACUCUGGCAUAUAGCAAUUUUCCGGUUGCCACCUGUAUCCUUCAUACGAAAAAUCCUUUCUUUUUGUAAGUCUACAGGCCCACAUUAUUGAUAGCCAUUGUUUACAUCCAAAUCCAGAAUACCAUGGACGCCUGUUGUCUUCAACCCAUCUACCUUUGGCGUAGUUGCAAACUGAAAGAGCAGCAAUAUCUUAGAUAUGAAACGGAUAACAUUUUUUUAAGGAGAAUAUAAUUUAUGCAUGAAUCAAGCAAAUCUGGCUUGUGGCAUAUUCUAAACAAAAGAUGAAUUCAGUUUCAAGGGUAACAUUAAGAACGAACAACUAUGUGGUGACAAUUUGAGAAUCUAGACUCUACCUUUAGAGGAAGGAGACAAGAUAACACCAUCUUCAUUGUCUUUUAAUUCGGGAGUGGGCUUGGAGGAAGAAUCAGCAUCAGAGUUGUGUGAGAUUUCUCUUGGUUUUUCUUUUUCAUCAGUAUUAGUACUUCUUUCCUUCAUUUUAUCCUCUGACUUGACCACUUCAUUCUUUGGCUUAGUUGAUGUUGAGGAACUAUUUGACACGCCCACUACAUAUUCUAAGUCAUGAUAGAGAAAAUUAAUCCACAAGUUAUAAGCACAAUGCAAGUGAAGGAAUUGUACAUGGAGAAAAGAGAGAGAGAGAACAUGAAAGAUUUAAGCAAAUCAAGUUUAGACAGUCAUUCUUCUUUAGAGGAGUUACAAAUUCAUGCUUGUUUUAGUGGUAUAGCAUUCAAGAGCUGAUUAGCAUUGUGAUCUUUAGAUCACGGAAGGAAAAAAAAACCAUAAUUACAUCUCUAUUUUUACUUCUCAAUCAAAUUAUCCAAAUUUGAUAUUCUUAAAACAACACCAGAAAUGGUAAAAAAAAAACAGAAUUAAGAAAAUCAUUAAAGUUCAUGGUAGGCCAUACACAGUGAUACAUGUAGGUAACAACUUUCACAUCUAUGACCAAUUGCAAACCAAGAAACAGAUUGAUGACAAUUAAGCAUUCAAGUCAAGUUACCAAAGAUAGAAAGCACGGAAUUCUACAAAUAAUAUCCCAUCAAAGCCUUUACACAUUUAUCCCAUUCAUAUUAGAAAGUAGAAAGAAUAUGAUAAUUAAUCAUAUAAUUAUGAUCAGUUGGCUAAAUACCUGAAACUGGUAUCAUAUACUGCUCUCUUGUCAAUGGAAGAAAACUGGCAAUAUAUUUUUUAUCCCAAGCCCAGAACAAUACGGUUGUAAACAUAAGAACAACCAGAGCAAUGGAAAGAUAUCCCCCCCUCAGCCUGGUGAUGUUUCCACCUUUCAUCUCUUGCUUAUAUGAACAUGUAUUGAAAAAAUUCCCUCAGGUCACUUUAGGGGCAUUUCUUCAGCACAUUAGCAUAUGCCUCUCUAUGUAACUGUGUCUACAUAUAAAAAUUUGCAGACAUAUCAGCAAAAACAAAACGACAAAUAAAAAAAAAAUAAAAAAUCUUAAUUCCAGUUCCCUAGACGACAUUAUGGAAGAAAAUGAAUUGCUAAUUGGUUAGCUCCAAAAGAUUGUCUAACACAAUGCCAUUGAAAUAGCUAACAACAAAGUGACAGCCACACGAGGUUCUCAAACAAAUGUGAAUUUGGAAAGUAGAAGCUAAAACCAUCAGUUAUGCCAGAGCUAAAUCGAUCAAGGAGAGAGUGUUAAAGAAACUAAGCUGCCACAAUCAAUCAGAACCCAAAUGUGAUUUUGUACAAUUAACCCACCGAUCGAUUCGACUCAUUGUGAUUUCUAAGAAAAUAAGAGGAGGGUAAGGAAGAAAAAGCUAAAACAAUGGAGAUUGCAGUGAAAAAGGUGAAUAAAACAAGAAAAUUCACGCACCCAAAUGUGGGAAAGUAGGAGAUGGAGAUGCUGGCGCGGUUUCUUAGGAGAAAAUCUUAGGCAAUUAACAUUUGAAGAGAGAAAUACAGAGCUCUUCUCUCAAAAUGAUUAGAUCCAAAGGAAAGUUCAGAGACGAUGAUGAGACAAAAGAGAGGUUUCUUCAGCACCAAAGACUGAAUACAGAGAUCGCCUUUGGUGAAACUUGAAUGACUAAAAUACCCCUUACGUUUCCCACGUGGCGUGUUGUGAUUGUUUGUGUCCCAAGCUGCUAAGAGGGUAGUUCGAUUUAUUUAAAUUGUUCCUUUUCUUUAUGAUAACAUAUUAUUUUACUAUUUUCUAAAUAAAUUCAUUGUUUUGCUUUACAUGAAAACAACUUUUUCUUUUUCGUUUUUAAUUUUAAAAGAUUGUUUGUAAAAGUUUGAACAACAGAAUAUUAUUAUUAAAAGCUUAAAAUACAAUUUUUUGUUCCUUUAAUCUUAAUUUAUACUAUCAAAUAUUCAAUUUUUUAAAAUAAAUUGAAUUUAACAAUCUAAUCUCUAGAAUUAAAAUUAGAGAGAGUAGGAAUGUAUGUUUAAAAGUAAAAGAGACUAAAAUUAGAUAAAUUCUAAAAUCUAAAAUAUAUGUUAGCCUUCUCUAUCAUAGAUUCUUUUUUUGGUGCUCACGUGGAAUAUAAUACGAAGAUUAUUUGGGAGAGAUUUGUUUACGUGCUCUUGUACGGUUAUUUGGUGUUAGCAAGGUUUGAAUGUCAUAUUUAUAUUACUAUGACCUAUAGAGACUCGUUCAAGUUAUAGGAAGGAGAUUGAUAAAGUGUUUGAUGCUUGUAGAGCUGUUGAAAUGAGAUCUAUUUCAUAAAUGGUAUCCAAAUAUCAAAGCUUUGAAGGGUUAAUGGUACAUCCUUUAGGUGAGUUGGAUGGGUGUUAUAGUGGGUUGACUUCCUACAUUUCCUUCCCCUUCUAAAUUAGCAACUCAAUGUGAUCAUGGCAGGGUGAGGUGGACUCGAUUGGAUUGUUCUUUCUCCCAUCAUUCUUGAUGAAGAGGUUCAACUAUAAAAUCAUUUUCUUUCUAAACAAUUUGGGACAAGGUUAGCUGUGCUAGCCUUAGAACAAAUAAAUUAAAAUUAAGAAAGGGAAAAAAAAGGAGAAAAAAAACUUUCCUUUUAACAAAGAGGCAUAUGCCGAGAGCAGCCUGAAAUUGUAUAACUUAAUUAAAUCUAAAAAGAGAAGAAGAAAACCACCAAAAAUCCUCAUCUAAGUCUCAAAUUCACUGAAUCCAGUCCAAAGGAAUUUCAAAUUGGUCUCUCCCACAUCUCAAAAGGCCAUUCCUUUCCUUUUGCCUUCUCAUCUUCCUCAAAUUCCAAUGUAUUAGAGCCAACCAGCCGCUUCUUAUUUUAUCCCCAUAUUUAUUCCAAACCCAAUUCCCCUUUUUCCCACUUCUCCUUUCCCAUGGCUCGUUUUUGCGACCUUCAAUCGCUUUCUUCCCCAUUUUCCUCUCACCCAACAAUACCCAGGUCCCCAAAUUUCAAACCCAUUUUCUCUUUUCACUGCAGUUCCGCAUCAUCUUCCUCUUCUUCCCCAUUUACAGAGAAACACUCCGUCAAGAGAUACCAAAGAGACGAUUGGUUGUACAAGUACCAAUCGGACCAACCUUCUGUUACUUCAUCGUGUUCUAUUCCUUAUGAUUCUGAGUCCAUUCGGCAGAAUGACAUUGCCAUGCAGCUUCCGGAGCUCAAGAAAUUGCUGGAGGUGCUUAGGGAAAAAAGGGUAAGUAAUGGAUGCGAUGAUGGAAAAUGUGGACCUGGAGAUGUGUUUCUGGUGGGGACUGGCCCCGGUGAUCCAGAGCUUUUGACAUUGAAGGCAGUGAAAGUGAUUCAGAGUGCUGAUUUGCUUUUGUAUGAUCGAUUGGUUUCCAAUGAUGUAUUGGAAUUGGUGGGUCCUGAUGCUAGGCUUCUCUAUGUGGGAAAGACUGCAGGUUACCAUAGCAGAACCCAGGUGAGCGUUUUCUUCUAAAAAUCUCUUCUCAUGAGGAUUGUUUAUGUUUAUCUAUCGUUCUUGUGAAAUGGGUAGAGCAUUUUCAAUUUUGUUGCUGAAUGGGAAUUGUUUCAGGAGGAGAUUCAUGAGUUACUUCUGAACUUUGCUGAAGCUGGAGCUACAGUUGUGAGGCUUAAAGGAGGAGACCCUCUUGUAAGUGUGAAUUUGAAUGGUUGAAGUGCGAUUGUGAAUUUGGUUUGUCAUUCAAGUGAUGUAUCCUGAAAAGUUGUGUUGUUUGGGCUUUUUAGGUGUUUGGAAGGGGCGGGGAGGAGAUGGAUUUCUUGCAACAGCAAGGGAUUCAAGUAAAAAUUGUUCCUGGUUAGUGCAUUUCUGAAUAUUUGCAGUUUUAAGCACAUUGUCUUAAGUGUUUUCAAGUGACUCCAACGAUAUGGAAAUUCCUUGUUAGAAGUUCAGUGCACUCAUUUCUUUUUGGAUCAUAAAAUGUAACACUUGUUUCGACUGGAGAAUUUCGUAGGGAAGGCACAAAUACUUCAUGGAUUUCGCCCCAAGCGGGGCAUUACAUUCCUACACCCCACCACCCUACUCUAUUUUCUGCCCUCAACUCCUCAAGGACAAAGAGCACGGAGUGACAUUAAGUUAUGUUGAAUAGAGCCAGUAGGAGUGAGCUUGUUUGAAAUAGGAUUGGGGGGACAUUCUCAUUCCCUAGAACAAGGUCGCUUGAAUUUACUUCAGGCUAGGAGUCAAAUCAAUUAACUGUUAUAAAUAUGUUGCAUUCUCAUUUCCCAAUGUCAUGUCUAUGCAUCAACAUUUUAAGGAAACCACCUCAUAUUAGGAGAUAUGUUUGUUUCCCUUGUAGGUAUAACUGCUGCUUCAGGUAUAGCAGCUGAAUUGGGAAUUCCUUUAACACACAGAGGAGUUGCAACGAGUGUCAGGUUUCUUACUGGCCACUCGAGGAAGGGUGGAACUGAUCCUUUAUAUGUAGCGGAAAAUGCAGCUGAUCCAGAUUCAACUUUGGUUGUAUACAUGGGUCUAUCAACUCUUCCAUCUCUGGCCCUUAAGUUAAUGCAUCAUGGUCUGCCUCCUGAUACCCCAGCCGCUGCCGUUGAACGAGGAACAACACCCCAACAAAGAACUGUAAGAACAAUUCUCUGAUUUCUUAAACUUUUGUCAUGGGUUGGGUAGAGUUCAAUCAUAUACUCAGCUUAAAGUAGGAGAUCUCUCAUAUGUCAAAUCUAUUUUCUUAUCUGUGUCUUUCUACAUUUUUAGUGAACAGGUUUUAGACAUUUAUAUCAAUGGGGAAGGAUAUGUUUUCACUUUAGUUUUUUCAUUUCGUUUUGGUAGUGUCUAUAACAAAUCUUGCUUGGAUCUGUUACAUUUGUGUAGGUUUUUGCACAACUGAAGGAUCUUGCAGAUGAAAUCAAAGCAGCAGAGUUGGUUUCACCUACUUUAAUUGUCAUUGGAAGAGUGGUUUCUCUGUCACCACAUUGGUCUCUUUCUUCCAAUGAAGCAUCCAGUUUGGUGGAAGCCUAAUAGAAUAACGGAGCCUAGAAAAAGGUCAAGCAAACAAGGAAUAGUUCUUCAUUCUGUCACUUCAAAAUUACUUUUGAGGAGCAACUGCGAUAAAAAGCUUGGGAUAUUGAGUUUCUCCACAAGAUUUUGUCAUGAAUGAGUGUGGAAAAGAAGAAUUGCGAACUCUCCCAUCUACUCUUCUGCAUUUGAUUGGUCUGCCCAUUGCAUUCAAACAACUCGAUUAGGAGUUUUCUCAAUGGAGGGGACUGAUGCAGUGAUUUUCUUUAUCAGAUGCUAUACCCGAGCACGGUGAAGCAGCAUGUUCUCAUUGCCAUUUCUUGCAAUGAUUCAAAUAAAACUUCCAAACUCCAAGGUUUUUCUUAUAGUUCAUGAAGAAUCUUGUGCAGUGAGAUUACUUUAUCAGCAACCAAUCUUGUUGAAGAAAUCUUCAUGGUGUGACUGAAAUUCAGAAAUUUUAUUGGACUAUCUGGUGUAUUUGUUAUCAGCUAACGUCUUUUGUUUGUUCCCUUUUCUCGAGAUAGUUCCAGCUCUAGAAUUGUCUUUAUAUUGAAUAGAAGUUUUAGAAAUGACAAAUAUUGAAGGCAUACGUAUUGAUGUUCACCUCAAAUAUGAAUUUAUGGUUUCUGCAGUCUGGAUUUUAUUGUUUGGAAAAUGCAUUGGCGUAACCAAGAGGUCGGAAGUUCAAUCUUUCGAAGUGCUUGAGUUUUAAGUCUGAAUAGGAUCACAAUUCCAACUUUGUUCGGAAGCCAUACUUUAGCACCAUUUUAUUUUAUUUUAUUUUUUGAGUCAACUAUGCCUCUAAACUUGUCAAAUAAUACCAACUUAGAUUAAAUGUUCAAUUUCAUUAAACAAGUCUUGGCAAUAACCUUAUGUAAAUUCGUAAUACACUCGUUAAAGUUCUAAUUGAAAGAAAUUGCAUAGUUAAGGUCUGAAUUGAUACAUCAUUUCCAAAUCUUUGUACAAGCCAAAAUUAACGUGAACCAUCAAUAGUUUUAUUAUUAUUUAAGUGGAAUCAAUAAGAAAAACGAUACAUAAUAACUUAACCAGAUCGAUCAAUUUGAACUGGUUCCACUUGAUUCAUAAACAAAUUGAACUGGUUCAUCCUGAUUCAUAGAUACUUCUACAUUGAAAAUUCAUCGGAAUUCUCACACCAAGCAAAACAGCUUUUGUGCGAGAAAUUCCCAACACACGAACAAAACACAUCCCUUACUUCACCCUCUUCACCUUCCUUAUUCGUUACACUGCUUCCAUAGAAAGCUCCGGCAGGUGGGAGAGAUUUCUACUGCAGAGCUCAACGGAGAAGGAAUCGCUUCAACCAGUAAGCAGAAUACUUGAGGUACCUUCCUAAUUUGUGCCUAAAAUCAACGUAGACGAGGCCAAACCGCACCGUGUAGCCUGCAUCCCAUUCGAAGUCAUCCAAAAGUGUCCAUGCAUAGUAUCCCUUAACAUCCACUCCUUCACUGUAAUGUCAAAGAAAUAAAAGAACACCCAAAUCGUUAGAAAAGUUCUGAGUUCAUCUGCAGUUAACAAUGGAGUUUGGCGUUUAUGAAAUCAUUCAUACUUAAUAGCUUGAAGAAGAGAGGCAAGAUGAGCAUGGUGGUAUCUGAUCCUUGUUCCAUCUUUCAAAGCUUCCUUAAUUGGUUGUGUACUAUUGUCUGAAUAAGCCAUACCUAUAAUAGUAAAACACGCAACAAAAGCCAAUAGUUUAUAUACCCAUUCAUUCGAGAGAGACAUAGUAGAAACAGAGAGAGAAUUACCAUUCUCAGUAAUGUAGAUAGUUGGGCUUUUGUACUGUGCUUUUAUAUAUUUCAACAAUAGACGAAUACCCUCUGGGUAGAUGUAAAGCCAGUUCAAACCAGUCUGUAGAGAGAAACCCAUUUAUAGGUCAAGAACUCAGCUAUUAAUUAAAACACUGAAAAUUACAGCUCCAGAUAGAAAGAAUGUGAGAUUACGAACCGCUGGUCCAAUUAGAACGCCAUCUCUCUCCGCUGUAGAAACAGAUUGAAAAACAAGUAUAUGUUAAGGAUCACUGAAAAAAUCACCUAAACAAACUUGAUCCCAUGCAUCAAUUUUCAUCCUUAACUUUCAACUUCAAUUACAUUACUUACCCAUUUUCGAAAGAAGAAAGAGAAACAGCCUACCCAUGUUUGAAUACUCACUGAUUUCAAUAAAUGCAGCUCACCCAGUUAAGGAUAAUGUGCCAAAAUCGACCAUCUAGUAAAAUUUUAAAUUUUUUUUUACAAACUUCUGAUUUCAUUUUUUCUUAAAUUUCCACCCAUUUUGUAACAUAUUUAUGUUUAAUAGUUCAAUAAAUACACAGUGCAUAGCAAAUUCGAGUUUUAAGGCAGAGAUAUCUCAGUAGGUUUAUGAAGACAUACUAGAAAGUGAGACGUGCAUAUCAGAACUGUAGCUUUUGUUCGGCGAAUUUGAGAAAGGCACAUCGUCAGCAAAAUUCCCGGUAUAGUAAUUUAGUCCAAGAAAAUCAAACGAUCCUUUAAUGUUUUUCGACUCUGCAACGGAGAAUUUCGGCAACCUAUCUCCGACGUACUCGCGCAUUGAUUUCGGGUAAUCACCAUAAGUGAUUGGAUGCAUAAACCUACAAUUCAUUUCAUUAACUUUCACCCAGAUUUCUUAAUUAGCUAUUAUGAUGAAGAAAAAAAACUCACCAUCCGAAGAAGAAAUCAAGAGCUCGAUUCGCCGCCUUUUGAGAAGCUGCUGUAUUUCGUUUGGGCCUAAACCAAUGAGUCACCAAUGUGAUUCCAAUUUGACCCUUCUGCUUCUUCUGUAGAUCUCAAAUCGUUUUUCGAAUCAAAACAAGUUAAACACAGAUUAAUUUAGGGAUUUGUUCUUCAAUACAUACCUGAUACUUUUGCUUGUACAGUUUGACAGCAGCGGAGUGGGAGAGAAGGAGAUUGUGAGCGACAAUGUAAGGUUCGGUCGCGGAGUUGCCGGCAGUGCAAUUUCCGACGUAGUUGGAACAUCUUCCGGGAGCGAAUGUCCCGCCGUUGUACCCAUUAAAGCUGUAUGAAAAUGGUUCGUUGAGGGUUACCCAAUACUUGACCCGAUCACCGAAUAAUUUGAAGCACAAAUCCACAUAUUCCCGAAAAUCAUUCCUGUUUAACCACAGAAACAUCACUAAAUAAAAUAUGUUUAUAUGACUCGAUCAAGUCAGUAACUUGGUUGCUCUUACACAAUUUUGUGAGAAAAUUAAAUCUGGAGGAUGAUAUUUACUUACACAACUUUGCUACUUAGAAAUCCUCCGUACUCAUCUUCAAGUGCUUGAGGGAGAUCCCAAUGAAACAAAGUGACAUAUGGCACUAUUUCUGCAUUAUAUUUUACCAUUUUUUACAUCAUUUGAAUGCCACCAAAGUGUGACAAUUAAUAAUAACACCAAUAAAUUUCCUUAUCAAAACAAACAUUCAAUGGAUGAAUUAAACUUACUAUUGGCAAGGAGUUCGUUGAUGACAUUGUUGUAGAAUUUGACGCCAAGUGGGUUAAUUCCUCCACGAAUUUUCCCCUCUACAAUUUAUUUUUUUACAAAAAAAGAAAAAUUAAAAUUUUUAUCAUGAAGUGAAAGGGAAAUAUUGAGAUGGAAUAAUGGAAAGAAAAUAGUAUGAUCUUACUUGGCAGAAUUCUAGACCAAGAGAUGGAGAAUCUAAAAGAGUCCAACCCCAUUAGUUUCAUUAAUUUUAUAUCCUCCUGAAAAUUAAAUUGCAAAUUUAAAAUAAUAAUAGAAGAAACAAUUGGUAUUUACAAGCCAUGUAACACAUGAUAUAAUAUAUAGUUUUGGGUCAUAGUUAUUAAAUACAAAACCAUAAUCUUACCUUGUAACGAUGGUAGAAAUCCGUAGCUCUUUCUCCACUGCUAUGGUCCCAUAUUUUUUCUGUGUUCAUUUAUUUCUCUUCGUCAAUAUCCCAAAAAUAGAACCGUCACAAUUUUUAAAAUAAUUAAAUUAAUUUUCUUCACAUCUAAACACUAAUAAAUGUAAAGAAUUUUAUUGAUAUAACAUAAUAUUAUAUAUCUUCUCAGAGAAUAAUAUUCAUUUAAUAUAAUUACAUAUUUUAAAAAAACCAUUGUUUUCAGAUUUGGAAAAAACUAGUUUUGAAAAUAAUUAUACCUAUAAAUGAGAGAUAUUUUUAAAAAUAAAAAAUUUGACAAACUAUACCUAAUCGUAUAACAAAAUUUUAAUUCAAGUCUAAAAUAAAUAACCAACAUUUUAACUAAAUUUAAAUAAUUGUUUGUCUAAAUUAUUACCAUUACACUAUUUUCUUUACCAACUUUUGUGAUCUACAAAUCUUUUUAAAAAGGAAAAAUUACUUCUAAGGUAGAUUUAAAAUAUAUAUUAAAAUAGUUUUGGCAUAAAAGAUGAGUACUUUUGAAAAGACAUUUUACUUCUUCUCACUUCUCAUUUAUUUAUAAUACUAAUAGAUUAUAAUACUAAUGGAGAUAAACAUUAGUAGAUCUGAGUUAGGUGAUGAUCGACAUAGUAAAUGUUCAAAUUGAAGAACUUAUAAAGGAACAUAAACUAUAUGUUUGUUGAUUUAAUCAAAUAAAAUUGGUUGAGGUAUAUGUUGAUCAAAUAAAUGAUAACAUUACAAGUUAAAUGAUAAAUCCUUUAUAGUUUUGAUUUGUUCUUUAAAGAUUAAAAUUUCAAUCUCAAAUUUAAGUUUAAAUAUGUCAUAAUUUAUGUAGGAAUGGUCGGAUAUUCUGUUUAGUUGAUUAUGUAAAUCAAAUACUAUAUACUUUUAAAUCAAGUUAUGUAGACCCAUUUAAUUUAGUUGCAACUUUAUUUUUUGCUUUUAUGUUUUUCUAAAAUUUUACUUCUAUCACUAUUUUUUUUACUAGGGUUUUCAUAUCUUUAAAUAAAAUAUUUAAAAUGUAUUAUAUUUUAAUUACUUUUUCCAGUGAGUUUCAAGUUAGAGUAGACUAAACAAAAUCUUCUAGAUAAAAAAUAAACUUAGUAGUUAGAAAAGUAUUUGUAAGCUUAAUUAACUUAUAAGAGAAAAAAAAUAAAACUAAAUUAUUAGUAAAUACAACAUAUUGAACCCUAAAAUUCUUCCAUACAUAUACUAAUUAAAUUAAAAAUUAUCAAACCUAAAGAAAAAAGUUAAUUUUAAAGUUUUGGUAAAUGGGGAAAUCAAAAGGUGAGACCUGGGUGGUUCUUAGUGAAAGUAUCCCAAAUACUUGGACCUCUCCCAUCAAGACUGGCUGCUCCUUCUAACUGUAAACAACCAACAACGUACAUUAUCCACCUCAUAAAUUUGACAAAAGAAGAAGAAGAAAGUCUGCCGACAUGUCGACAUUAAGAGGAACCUGAUAAGCAGCGGACCCAGCUCCGAAGAUAAACCCUGCCGGAAAACUACUCCGGUUGAACGGAACUGAGGUAUGACUUGGCUCAACAGGAGGGCUGGUCCCACCGGUGCCCAAAGCGCCACUGGCAAUGGACGCCGCGAUUAGCGUUAUCAGAAGCACCGGAGCAUUAUACGCCGCCGUCAUGGCUACAAACUUGGUCGUCGGAUCUUGUGCAAAUGCCUUACCCCCAACUGGCCUUUAAAUAAUGAGAGUUCGCUCAUAACUUGGGGGUUUGUGUAAGAUUAUUAAUAUUAAAAUUAAAUCUGGAUCUCUUUUAUAUUUUUUGUGUGUUUAGUAGUGAUGAAGUGAAGUUUUGUAUUUGAUUUAAAUAGUAAUAAAAGUCAGUAAAUUUUAAUCAAUUAAAAAAUUCUUUCCACUAUUUUACAUCAAUGCAUGAAUGCAUGCACAUGUACUGUCAAUAGAAAUAGAAAUUUGUUAAUAUCCAAUGAUCGAACUUAAAAAUAUAAAUUUUGAAAAUUUUCGGAUCAAAUAAAUUUACCUAAUCAUAAGAAUAAAAGUUUAUUAAACGAAGUAUAUACCUUUAGAACUAAGCUUUGUUACUUAGUAAACUCAAGAGAAAUUUCUAUAAAAUAUAUUUCACAUCGACCAAAUAAAACUUCUAAUAUUUAUUUAAAGUUAAGUAGCAUUAUAUUAUUAUUAUUUGAUAGUAGUUUUUCAUUACUCUCUUUUUUACAUUAUUUUUUCAAAUAACAUUAUGAAAAAAGUUAGAAAGUAGUUGUAGUUAUAUUAUUAUUUUGAGUACAUUUUUUAUUUUAUAAAUAUUGCUAUUAUAGUCUAAAGAUAAUAUAUUAAAUAAGUAGUACACGAGUCAUGUUUUGGAAAAGCAAUUAUGGAAGUAAAAUUAUAUUGAUCAUCAAUCGACUAUAAAAUACUUUUUUUUUUGUUGCCUUUUAGUUUAGAGAAUCCAUUCAAAUCAUUGACUUUCUAAACUUGUAAUACGUAUUUCAAUAUCUUAAUCAAUUAAAUAAUUAGUGGUUCGAUUACAAAUUGAUAACAAAACUUAAAAGAUAAAAAAAAUUAAAUAAAUACAUUUUUUCUCAAGAAAAAAAAGGUAUUUUUCCUGAAUGUAGAUAUUACAUUUUCAAUUUUUAUUAAAUUAGACCAUAAGUGUAAAUAAAUAUUGCCAUUUUUACCUUAUAAUAAGAUUUUGGUGAAAAAAAUCAAUUCAAUAAAAACAUUAUCACAUGUAUUUAAUAGAUGGUAAAUAUAUAUUUAGAAUAAAAUUGACAAAACGUAAAAAAUAAAAAUAUUAAAGUUGGGUUUUUAUUAUUAAAUAUGAGAUAUGCAAACAAUUCAUACUCCAAGGAUGAUAAUGUAAUCGACUUUAAAUCAAAUUUAAAAAAUAGUCCUCUAGAACAAUUGAGAAGUGAAAUCUUGCAUAUAAUAAUUAAAAAUAAAAAGUAAUUCAAAAUAAUAUGAUAUAUUAUAAAAUAAGAUAAGGCAAUAUUUAAUCUUGAAAAAAAGUCAUAUCUUCAAGGGUUAAUUACAUUACAUAUUUUAAUCAUAGUUGGAUUAAAAUAAAAUCUCAUAAAAAAAUAUAUUAUUUAUUCUCUUAUUGACUUAACAUCAAAACCUUCUUUCUUUGUUUAUGAAAGUAUUCUCUUUUCCAAAUUAUAAAUUUACUGUCGUAAAAGUCGUUGAAUUUUUUUAAUGAAUUGGUGUAUUUCAAGUUUGCAAAUGAACGUGAUCAACCUCAAUCAUGCAGGUUCAAGAUGGAACCUAGGUAAAUAAGUCUUAUUUUGCCCAUAUCUUCCAACCUUAAAAAGGAUCACAUUUAUUGAACAAUAAUUUCAUUUAAGUAUGAACAUAGAGCUAGUGAUUUUUUUAACAUAGAAACGAAAGUGUGACGAGUGUAGGGCUGUAUGAAGUGUUGUGGAAUCCACAUUAAAAGAAAAAACGAUGGCGAAUGAAUCAGAAAAGAGAGUGAUGUAGAACUCUCACCUCCUCGGCUCCUCCAUUAUUUGAUUCACCAAAGCUGUCUUUUCCACCUUUUCUUUUUUCUAUUUUUUUAUUUCAAAAAGGACAAACCUGUCUUUACUUGACAGCAACGGAAUUAAUUGAAUAAUAUUAUUUUCCACCCAUUUCUUAUUAACAAAUUAUUAUUAUAUUCUUUUUAAAAAACCAAGAUGAUAUAUAUAUAUCCAACUUUUAUAUUUUUUUUAAAAUUUACUUAAAAAAGAUAUCAUUGAAGUUUCAAAAAAAAAAAAAAAAGAGAAUUAUUGCUUUUAAUAUAUGAAUUAAUAAAAGUUGUUAAUUCAAGUAGUUACAAAAUACCAUUACAUUUCACAAGUUAAAAUAUAAACCCAAACUUGUUACUAAGAGCUUUCAUUAGAAUUAUAAUUAAUCUGUUUGAGUUCUUCUAAGUGUUGUUAGGUUGAAAGAAUAGUGUAUUUGUCAAUUGAAACUUUAACCUGUAUGAGACGUUGAUUUGACCCAUCCUAACUAUGUCUAUAAGCUCAACAAAGCUAUUUGUGGUUUGAAGCAAGUAACACGUAUGAAAUAAUACUAACUUAUCAUGUAAUGACCUAACUUUUCAAAACUAAGUUGAAGUUUUUAUUUAAAAUAAAAGAGAUUUAAAAAAAUAAAAUAAAAUGGACAAAUCAAGUGUAAAUGGUAAAUAACAUGUAUUCGUUUUUAUAUUAUUUUACUUCUUAAACAAUUAGUGGAAGCCAAGUUAGAUUUAUAUAUAUAUAUAAAGAGUGAUAGCAAGAGACUCAAAGUUGCUAUUAAAAGCAAACUUCGAAGGAAAUGUUGAUUUCACUCAUUCUAACUAUGACGAAGGAAAAAUCAUUGAGUUUAAAAAUCAAACGACCGUGCUCUCGAGUGACAACUAAAAUAACGUAUUAUUUUAUUAAAAUAAUUUUUACUUAGUUAAUUAAUGUAGUGAAAAUAUAUUUAGAAAGACAAACCUUUUGAUAAAUUUAUUCUUUCAUUAUAUUUUUAGAAAAAUUAAAAUAUGAAUAGAACAAUACAUUACAAAUAAUAAAAAAUGUUAUAUUAAAACAGUAGUUAUAAAUAAUUUAUUUAUAUAAAAAAACACACUCACAAUUCACAAAAUAAUUAAUAAUAAAUAACACACCCUAAUAACUUAGUGGAUAACCAUAAAUUUUGUUAUCGUUUAUAGAUAUACAUUUUAAAACAAAACUUUAAUUUUCUUUCUCAACUUUAUUUUUUCUAAUCCACCAUCAAAUACAUAUUUAAAAACAUUGCAAAUAUUUGCUCAAAUUUUAUUAUUAUUAAAAGAACACAGGUACAUUUGACUAUUUCUACAAACUUUUUAAUUAGGACAAAAUCCGAAGAAAUUUCAAUGAUCACAUUUAAUUUAUUUGUAAAUUUUUCUAGAUUUUCUAAACGAUAGCACUAAUAAUUGAUCCUAAUGAUCUUAAGCCGCCCACAAAAUUUUGACAAAGCAAUCUUGUAUUUGACUAACAAAAUUACAAUUCAUAUUACAACAAAGGCAAUUAUAAAAAUAAACAUGAUUAGUAUCAUAAUCUCACAUAUGUAUGAUGAGUGUGAACGCCACCUUCUUGAGAUUUUCUAUAUUUUAUAGAAUUAGGCCGGAUAUGUUAGUUGAAUUUAUGAAGUUAAAAUAUUAAUUUUGUUCUACAUUCACAAAUUAAAGGAAGUAACGUGUAUCACGAGCUAUAUGAUUGAGGGCAUUUAUUUAUGUCAUUUGGUUGCUGCCCUACUACAAGUUUUUAUCUCUUUUCUUUAUGGGAAUUCUAAAAAUAUGAAGAAAUCAUCAACCUUAUACUCCCAUUUUAAACAAUAAAGAAACAAAUUCAAAAAAUAUUUAUAAAAAUAUAUAACCAAAUUUGCUUAUCGUAAUAAAUAAGAGUUUGAAUUGAAAAAUUCCCUUGUUAUUGUUUAUUUUGAUAUUAGACAGAAUUUUAACAAAUAUAGAUAUAGCCUAAUAAAACAAGAAGAAAUCUUCAAUCAUUACUUGGAUACAUAUUAUAAUAUAUACGUGAACAGCAUGGAGAAUCACAUCCUACUCAGAAAAUCAUAUCCUAACGUUCAGAAAAUCAUAUCCAAACUAUUUAUUUUUUGAAUAAAAACGUUGACUGAUAUAUCUAUUUAUUACCGUUAAUCAUUGUCGUCCGAAUCGAUUUGUUAACCAAAGAAUCACCAAAUCGACUAUGAAGAGUAAGUAUGGUUGGUUUUUAGUUUUUCGAUUUAUUAAAAGAACAACACAAUUUUAGUUUUAUAUUAAAUGUAUUAUUUCACGCCUCAUUUAAAUUAAAAGUUGAAAAUAUGAAUAAAUUAUAAACGAAAAUAUAGCGUGAGGAUCAUUUAAAAUGAUUUUUCAACCUUUUUCAUCAGUGGGACUAACUUCAAAUAAACAUUCUAUUCAAAUUUGGGCAUCUUUGAUAACAUUUAAAGUGUGGGUCAUAUAUGUAGCAAUAAUAGAAGGAUAUGACAAUUAAAUAAAAAAAUAGAAAGAAAAAGAAGAGAUGCAUAAUAUAAAGAAGCCAAAGAGUGAAGCAAUCUCUUGUAGUAAUUAAUUAAUUGAAAAGUUUAUAAAAUGAGACAAAGCAUAUUGUUGGGUUCCGAUUCUUGUAAUUUUGUGAGAGCAAAGAAACAAAAGAAAAAAUAUAUUUUUGAGAAAGUCAACAUACUGAGAUAUGGAUUUAUUUUUUUAAGAAAUAUUUGGACAAAAGGAAGUUAAAAUAUAUUUGUAUGAGAUAUUGUGAUGUUAAAUAAAUUUAAUCAAACAGUAUAAUGUAUAUAUUAUCAAAUAAAUUUAACAUUAGCUUAUAAUUUCAAAUAGCACAUGAUUAAACCGUAUUUAUUAUAGGAAACUGAGUGGUUAUAAUAGUUAGGAGAUGAAUAUAAGAGUUUACAACGAUUAAAAUGAUUUUUCUUACUUUUAUUCAAAGGAUAAGCUCUUAUAGACUUAAACUUUUGUACGAAGAAAAUUGUUAAAAAAAAAACUAUAAAAAAAAACCUCUAAUGUAUUUUUACUUCACUCUUUUAGAAAGAAAUAGAAGUAUGAAUACUUAAAUAAUCCAUUUAUCCGUCAACAAGGGCUCGUGUUCAAAUCCACUACAUCUAAUUUAUACUUAAAUAAUGGACUAUCUGUAUUUAUGGUCUAAAUGGGUUUUGAAUUGAUACAAAACCGAUGUUAUUUACAAUAUUAAUCAUAAAACUUAGUCAAGUCAAUUCACAUAAUUCACUUUAACCACGUUUCAAUGAUAUUAAGCAUCUCUUCACCAUUUUGUUGAAGAUGAUAAUAACAAUAACAAUCUCAAUGUAUUUUUAAACGCAAAAAAAAAAAAAAAAAAAAAAAAAAUUAAAUUUCACAUUUAAAAUAAUAUACUUCUAAGAAGUAUUGACACACAAUUUUGAAAUUAUCAGUUUUUUCUUAAUCUUUUUAAAAUAAAGGAUGCAUUAGGCUUCUAGUCCCUAAAAUUUGAUAUUUAUGUCAAAUCAAUCUCUAGAAAUUUCAAAAUUGAACAGUUGUCUCCAACAUUUAGAAAAGAUUUUAAUCUUUCAAUUAUUAACUGAUGUUAACUCUACAAUGAUGAUGAUGGUCUCCUUCAUCCUCCCCAACUCCAGUUCUCUUCCUUGGUGCAGUCAAUGCCCCCAACGACCUCGACUCCAAAAAAAAAAGAAAAAAAGUUACACAGACUCGUUGAUUUCAUAUGGUCCUCCAAGUUGAAAACAAUCUAUUAUCAAUGUUCUCUUUCUCUUUUUUCCAAAGAGUUUUGAUGUCUAGAUCAGUAAAACUACAAGAUGACUUCAAAUUAAAUAAUUGACUGUUGGGAGUGAAAUUUAAUUCCUUGACGAUAGAUUCUGAUAAGAGCUACAGAACAAUUUCGAGUUCGUAUAUAUCCAAAACCAAAACUUUCAAUUCUACUAAACUGAAGUAUGAAUGCACUCGACGAACAAGAGAAAUGAAAUUUAAUAGAAGAUGAAAGGCAAGAAGAUGAAAUAAUCUCAAAUAUUUGAGAAUUUGAAAUUUUCCACUUAAGUAUUCUAAUUUUUUUUUAUCAUAUAAUUCAUAUUCCUAUUUUGAUUAUCAACUCUGAGAGAAAAAACUUAACAGAUCGUAUAAACUUCUGUAAGAUAUAUGUUCUCAAACAACUCACUGAUAUAAUCAAAUCAAGAUUAGCAACAAGUGUAAACAACGAGAAGAUUCAGCUAACAGACGAUUCCAGAAUGUUCCAAUCUAGCAAAGGCCAAAAUCCAGGAUGCUGCUUGGAGAGGGGCAAAUCAAUAAAGUAAAAUGAUAUCAAGAUUUACCUGUAGUGAAGUAGGAACUGGAAAGCUCUGCAUCAAGCAAAAAUUGGUUCCCGCUCGUAGACUGACAGAUGAAGUGCAACAAAAAUGACCAAAAUUAUUCCAUAAUCUCUCCUUCCUCGAGUUCUUCAACCGUGAACGCAUCCCCAAGAAGUUCACCGCUUCCUUCCAUUUCCACUUCCUUGGAAAAGUCUCCAUCCCAAUCAAGAAAAUCAUCUGGAUUAAUUUGUGCCAUGAUGUUUGAGUAUGCAUCUAUCAGAUCUUGCUCAAAAUCAAACUCCAACUCUUUCACUACCCCUGGCUCCCUGGCCUGGGAGCUUGACUUGGGGCUAUUCCCAACUUCCUGCUUCCCCACCAAACCUGUAGAGUAACUAUGCGUUGCUCCAUGUAGGUUUCGGGGGCUGACUUUGCAAUGUGGGCUUGAAGUUGAUACUUUCAUCAGAUCAAGAACCUGAGGAUUGCAGGAAUUUUCGUCUUCUUCUAUUUCUUCCACUCUGAAGCAAACGCCUUCAUGGCUAGCAAGAUCAUUUUUCAGAGCAUUUGGACCUUCUAGAUUACGACUCACUGGAUUGGCAGUUUUAACUACUUCAAAAUUAGGAGUUUGAGAGGGUAAAACAACAUAUAUAACAGGGUAUUCCACAAAAGCCAAAUUGGAAAACAGUUGUCUUAUUGGCAAUGUCGAGUCCAGCUCACAAAAAGACGAUGUAGCUCCCUGUAUACAUAUUAAACAUAACAAAUAAUAAAGCAUGUUAAGAGGAGCCCUUGGAAAUUAAAUAAUUUCAAGAAAAUAAGCUACGGUGAAACCUCUCUUAAAGGAAUACUUUAUUAGUAAAUCAACAAAAUUGUUCUAGUUCAAAGCUUAAACAUGCACAAUAAUAAUAGAACGGUUUACAUUACCUUUUCUUACAAGUUACAAGUAAUUAGCUCCUACGUAUAACAAAAACUAACUUGCUCUCUACUCAACCUAGUAAUUACAAAAUAAUGAUAAGCAAAUGCCAAGCUGACUGCUGCGUCAAACACCGUAUAUCCUUGAGUGCAUAACCAAUAAAACAAAACUUAAAUAAAUGCAACGGAAAAAUGCACUAGCCAUGACAUUAAUUAACUUCAUCUUACAUGGAUGUUAAAUACGAUAUACUUUAGAAACAACCCAAAGUAAUUGGAGCUAUAACCUUGGGGUAUGUACGGACAAAAAAUUUGAGGCAAUCCAGCUGCUCAUAGAACUUCUGAAGUUGAGUUUUCCAUGGACAUGGUCGUAGAUGGUUUUCAAGAAUGGUAGAAAGCUUAGAGUUUUCAUUAACUCUGCAGUUAAAGGAAAAUAUUUUUUUAAAGUAUGUCAUCAUUCAGACCCAAAGAAAAUGACACUUGUGCCAUGAACAUAGAGGAAAGGACAAAAAUAAUAUACAUAAUCCGUCAUCCUUCCAAUGACGUGGAGAAGAAAACUCACUCAUGGUCAACUAAAACAAUGUCAGUGGAGUUAAACCGCCAUUCCAUUGUCCAGAAGAUUGUUUUUUCCCUGUAAACAACGAAACUUCAUGUUUCAAAUAACACUUUAAGUAAUACUGCUUCCCAUAAAACAAACUAGAUGAGUGAUGAUUAGCCUAACCCUUAAGAAUAUUUAUUAUCAAGCUGAAACUUUUAGGUCCUGUUUGUAACCAUUUUAAUUAUUGUUUUUGUUUCUGAAACAAUUUUUUCAGUAGUCCAAACUUGAAGAUUACUGAACAAGGCUUAAGAAACAGUUCUUUCAGAAAUCCAAAACUUGAAGAAUGAACACGGUAAAAUGAAUUUUGAUAUACAAAAUGUUCACAUAGAGAUCAUCAACAGUCUGCAAAGUUUCAAAUAAACACAACAAACCAACAACUCUUUUUUGGACAAAAACAUCUAAGUCAAUGUAUGACGAUACAGCUUUCAAGAUAAUCCGUGGUACAUAAGAAAGGAGAAGAAAACCUCUUAUCAUAUCGAGUUUGAUUGUUCUCCCUUUUCGUCAUUCCGGUGGGGAGAAACAUAAUUUUUGUUCUCCUAUUUGAAGCAGCAGCACGCAAACUUUUAAGAUGAAACGGUAGUCGAAAGUAAGCAUGAGUGUAAGGGCACAAUUUCUUUCUAAGUCUUUGAGCUGAUUCAGCCAUUCUCUUAACUUCCUCCAACAAAUUAUAAUCUAAAAACCAUCACAAAAACAACCGCAAUAUUCAUUAUCAGAAACAACACAGAAACUCUGAACCAAAAUCAUACUAAUUGAAUCAUUCAAAACCAGUGAGAUGAAUUUAGGGAAGAAUGUCAAGUACCAGAAAGAAGGAUACUAUCAUUGAAUUGAGAAAGAGGGACGAAUUGGGUCUGCUUUCUCUUGCCAGUACAGCCACUGCGGCGCUUGUGGGCAUUGACGCAAUUGAGGCUACAAGAACGGAUAGAGCACGCGGGGCACUUGUACUUUGAUGGGUUUGAUUUACACUCUUCGCAAAGUGAUGAUCCUUGCUGGUUGGAGCUUGUGGAAACUGCCACAGUUGCAUCCACUUCCGCCAUCUUGGACAACAAAAUUUCCUCAGCAACGACGACUAGGUUUCGUAAUUUGAAUACGGUUUAUAUUGUUUCGCCUGUAGAAUUGAAACAGAAAAUGAAGAAAAUUUGGAGAAAAGAUCAAUAGUAACUAUUGCAUAUAGAAUUAAACUGUAUAUAUAAUGGAAACUUAAAUUUUUUAUUUUCUGUUUAGCAUGUGCAUCAAUUUGUAGAAAAAAAACACGCACAUUGAAUUGAUUGACGUAUGUUAGAUUCAAUAUCAAAUAUUUUCAUUCAACCAUUAUUUCUUUAUUUCUUUUAACACAACUGAGAUAGAAAGAUUCAAACAAAGACUUCAUAUUACUAACACACUUGUAUAAUAAUUGAGAUAGGCUCGAUUCUUAUUUCUUAUUUAUUGGAUAAAAUGUACUUUUGCUCCACUAAGUUUCAAUUUACAAAAUGAUUCUAAAGGUUCCCUCACUUAACUUUCAACUAAACUAAAAUUUCUGUAAAAUUAAUGCUGAAACUUAAUUCGUUAUUAGUCUAAUCACAAGAUAAUCAGAGGGUUCCAGACUAGUUCUUACCCCAAUUUCGCCGUUAAAUCUUGUUGGAUCAGCCCGAAGUUAUCAACAGAAGAAUUCAAAAUGUGGAGCUCGAGGUUUCGGUGCUGGAGGAUGUUCCGCCAUCGUGCGCCGUGGGUCUCCGUCUGCAAGGGUGUAGAAGAGCAGCAAACAGUCGUCAAUAGUGGAGGUGCGGCACGGGUCGCUGGUCGGAGUCGCAAUGAUGAGUGCUGGCGGCGGAGGGUAUCGUGGGUCUAUGGAGAAUCGCCGGAGUUGAAGAAGAAACAGUGGCGGCUGUAAACGUGGCGCGGGGGAAUGUGAAGGAAGAAUGAAAAGAAAGAGGAAAAACCAAGAGAGUUUUUUUCUAUUUUUUAAUUACGAAAAAUACUUAGGGAUCGAUUAUAAUUUUGCUUAUUAUUGUAUUUUUAAAGGUUAAAAUUUUAAUACAUUUUUUAACCAAUUAAAUAAUUAAUCAUGUUAAUUAGUUAAAAGUUUAAGUUAGGAAUAUUUAGUGGGGUUAGCCCAGCCCAAGAUCAGGCCCAAGAGAUUAAAUUGAUCUGGGAAGGCCUGGGAGCGGAAUUGAAUGCAACUAUAAGGUCGAAAAUAAUUGGGGUGUAAAUGGAGUUCACAUCCGCGUGUUUAUUUUUUCUUUUUUAAUUAUUAUUUUUAUUUUUUUUGUAUUAAGAAACAAAGAAGGAAAAGAAAUAAUAAUAUUGGCGACCAAAAAAAUUGUUCUUGCACACACAAACUCAGUCCCAAACUCAGGUCAGGAGUUGAGUGUUCUCAUUGUACAUCGCCGUCGAUUCCCAUUUGUUCCUGAUUCACUUCAAUUUUCUCUACUUCAAUCUCAAAUCUCAAUCCCAACUUCUCCAACACUUCGCCGGAGAUUCCUCUUCUUCCCGGCAGAUUUCAGCUCCAAAACUCGACAUUUCUCGCCGUUUCUACUUUCCCCUCUCUCCGAUUUCCUUUUCUACAUUAUUCCUCUAGCUGUUUUUCUCACUGUAUUCAAGGGUUUCCGCCCGGUUGCGAGCUGGCUAUGGACUACGAGCCCUAUGAUAGUAGCGGUAAAGUUUACUCUCACGAUGCUUUCAUUUUCUGUUAUUAGGGUUUUUCUUCGAAUUUUAGGUUGCCGGUUUUGUUUUUAGAAUUGGGUUUCUAAUCUUGCUUUAUGGGGGCGUAGGGAAGUUGUAGGUUGCUUGGAGGAACACCCGAGUUUUUCAACCUUUUACACUAGUUCUUUUCUUUGAAGGGAAUUCUUUAUAUUUUGCAUCCUUCUUGGGAAAUUUGUUUAACUACAUAGGGGUUGCUGGCUGUUUCCUUGAGGAUGUGUUGCAUAUGAAAAUUUGGAUCCUUUCUUCUGUGUAUGAUCUUUAGCCUGAUAAUUGUUGCAAUACCUACCCAGAGCGUGACAAGCUGUUGAAAUUGAAAUAUUGUUCGAGUUAUCUUUAGUUGUAUUUUCUCACGGCAUUGUUGUUCCUUUUCUUUUUCUCCAAAUUUCUUCACUUAAUAUCAACUCAAAGUCUGUUCGUAUAAAAAAUAGGCAAGAAACACCUGAUUUUCUCAUUAUAUGUGAUUUCUCAAGCCCGAGUCAUGACGAGGAGGCUAAGAACAGAGCAAGUAUGAAAAUAGUUGUAGUUGUUUGGAUAAUUGGCUAUUUGGUUUCUGAGCAUUUAAAAAUAUCUAUGAAGGAACUAGUUUAUCAGUUUUAUUCAAUUUACGCAGUUCAUGUCUAAGCUAUUGCCGCACUUGCACACAUGUUAACGAUUCUCCUUUGAAUGCAAGACUUAGACUGACCUUCUGCCUUUUUGAAGGUAUCCAGUACUUCCUUAGCCUCAAACAAAUCGUUUUUUAACCUGUUUAUAUUAGUAGCCAGUUCUUGAUUAUUGAUCCGCGGGUUUAGUUCUUCAACAUUUUUGUUUCAGAAAAAGAAUUACUACACUUGUUCCUGGCUCCUAUUAUUUGAAUUCAGCUGUUUAAUUUUUUUUGUGGUGCUAUCCGUUUCAGGAACUGACGAUGAUCUCCCUCCAUCUCACCAGAAUAGAAUUGCAAGAGGAGGGGGGCGUGUUUCAGGGAAUGGAAGAUCAGUCAUGGGUUCUGUUCCUUAUCCCAGGAUGUAUGCUGAAACUGACAUGGAAGCUCAAAUUCAUCAACUUGAGAAGGAAGCUUACAGUUCUGUUCUUAGAGCCUUUAAAGCUCAAGCUGAUGCCAUUACUUGGGUACUUUUUGUUUCUAUUUCAUGUAUCUAAUAUUGGUAAAUUUGUUUUAUCAGGUUUAAAUGAUUGCUACAUGAAAUGUAUUUUCUUCAGGAGAAAGAAAGUUUGAUCACAGAACUCAGAAAAGAGUUAAGAUUGUCCAAUGAGGAGCACAGGGAGCUUCUAGGACGGGUUAACGCAGAUGACAUGAUUAGAAGUAUAAGGUUUGAUAACUUGAUAAAAAGAAUAUUAACCAAUGUUUUAGGAGGUUGUAGUGUUCAGAGCUCUUCUAGAUUUUGAUGGAUACUUUUUUGGUUCAUGUCAUAGGGAAUGGAGACAGGCAGGUGGGCAUCAGCCUGGCAAGCUCAGUACUAGCCAAGCCAUUCAUGAUCCAAUUCCCAGCCCUACUGUCUCUGCAUCACGCAAGAAACAGAAACUAACUCAUUUGGUACCUCCACAGUCAUUUACUGGCCCAUCUCCAUCCUUUCACCAACAAAAUGUUCCUCCCCCUCAUCAGCCAUCCUCAUCUGUUGCAAAAAGAGGAGCUAUCCCUCCCACCAAGGGCAAGAAACAAAAAUCUGUAAGUUUCAGAGGCACUAGUUCUGAUUGGACUUAUUUGUUCUUCAUUUUGUUUUGUUUAUAUUGUUCCCUUUCCUCAGAUAUUACCUGGGGCAUCUUCAGCUAAACAGUACCAAACUUCAGUUCCUAGUGGUAGGAAUCAAGUAGGAAAUAGAGUUUCUUCUGGAGCCCUUGAGCCAGCUGAAGGAGCAACAUUGAAUCCACUUAUUGGGAGGAAAGUAAGAACUAGAUGGCCAGAUGAUAAUAACUUUUAUGAAGCUGUGAUAACUGAUUACAACGCUGCUGAGGUAAACUAUCUUCUUCCAGCGGUGUACUAAUUCACAUUUCAGUAAGGAAAGUUGUUGAAAAUGCAUUGCUGUCUUCCAGGGACGGCAUGCUUUGGUUUAUGAUAUCGGUUCUGCUAAUGAGACGUGGGAGUGGGUUAAUCUCUCAGAGGUAUAUCCAUCUAAUACAUUUUAUUUGAACUUAAGAUACUUGCAUCCUCAUUUUUAUAAUCCUCACCGUGUAGCCAUUUGCAUCACCUGGUUAUAUGUUUCCACAUCUGGAUUUGUGUGAAAAUUGUUGAGACCUUCAAUUCUGAAUUAAAAAAUUCCUCCAUAUUAAAAAAAUAUCCACGAGUGUUUGAGCGAGCUUGUGUGCAUAUCAACUAAUCUUACGAGACACUCUGUCUAACCUUACAUGAUCUCUUCUAUGGCCUGAAUGGUUACACCUUAGAUAGUUCUUGUGAUAUUUAUUGAAGCAGCACUCUAGUCCUUAACUUUUUGCUGUCAUAUUAAUGUGAUAUAAAAAAUGAAAUUAUAAGCAAAAAAAAAAAUGGAAUGUAAAUUACCUUAAUUUCCUUUCAGUGUUGGGUAAUUAAAUUAAAAAUUUUUGAAAUUGAUUCUACUCAUAGCCCUUAAAUUGCUUUGACAAUAUAUUCUACAUAAUUUUAGUUUCCGUGUAUAGAACUAAUGAAAACAAUAGGUUGCUGUAGGCAUGUUUUUUGGAAAUCUCAGAAAGUCAUCUCACAGUCUUCAUGUUUUAAAAAAGUUUGUUAAGUACUUUGUUGGGGAUGGUUGAUUGGUUUCAUAUCCUUUUUUAGAGGAUCACUUGGCAGUGACACCUUCCAUAUCAGUUAUGUGCCUACUGCCUAUUUCGUUAUGCAAAGGUACUAUAGUUAAUCUUGUCCUGCUGUGCUAUGGCGGUCUUCUGUCUCUCUUUCUUAUUACAUCCAUUUUAGUAGAUCUCUUUCUGAUUUCAUGUUGUUGGAUCAACUUCACUUCUCUCUUUGUUGCAUGAGUCUUUAUUCAAAUUCUAGUGACUUUCAUACUCGAACCCAAGAUUUUUUAAAGAUAUCCUUAAAAUCUAUUUCUAUUCUUUGAUUGCUCAACCCUCCUUUUUCUAUCUUCCUCUUCCCUCAUCUUCCCCAGAUUCAAGAAGUUGAAAAUUUAGAGAUGUAAUUCUCUCUUAGCUGGUAGCAUUUGGGAAGAUUAACAUCAUGGUUUCCAUCCAAACUCAAAAAAGGUUUUUUAGUGGUUUCCUUUUGUGUUGGUGGUUGGGGUUGAAAAAUCUAGAUCAUAUUUUAGGGAAAGAUCAAUUUUCUUUGGGUGCUAGACUGAAUUGUCAGGAUAUGGUGGAUAAGGUCAUCCAGUCUUUGACUGAGAUCUUCUUUUGGGCAUACAGUGUUCUUUGCUAUUGAUUAGUAUAUUUCACUUGACCACCUUUUCAAAGAUCAACACAUAUGGCAACUCAGCUGUACCGAAAAUUUUCUGAAUAAUUUAGAGGAAGAUCAUGAUUAUCAUUGCCCAUAAUUCUUUGUGGACCUCUUCCUUUACAGUUAAGUUUCUUACUCAGGCUAAGCUGCUACACAGUGGCUUACUAACAAUUUGGAUUAAAUCAAGUGUUAGAUUAGAGUUACCUUAGAAGAUUAAAUAUUGCUUUAAAUGUUAUAAAGUUAGAAAGUAGUCACAUUUGAACUUGAUGGGAUCAAGUUAUCUGGGGUUUUCGUUGCUAAAAGUAUGCAUGUUGGAGCCAAACUUUAGGAAGGUGUCCUAACUUCCAUAUUUCUAAGGACUGGAAAAGGUAAACAACAUUGAAUUUAACGAAAUAUAAAGGUCAGUGGGUUUGGUGGAAGUGCUUGGUCGCUGGGGUUUCUUUUCCUAGUAUCAAAUUUAUAGUUGUAUCAAGCAUGCCUUUUCCCCUUCUUUACAUAUGUUAGAUGAUAUGGUCGGGCCUUAUGUGAAUAUCCAAAUUCAAGAUGGUAUAGUUGCAUGCGUACAUAUAUUCUGUGAUUUGUUGGAUUAAUGAUUUAGGGUGUGUUUGGAAGAUAUUCACAAAUGUUUAAUUUAAAAAUAAGUUAUUUUGGAAAAAACUUGAGUGUUUGGAAACUACUCAAAGUAGCUUUUGAAGUAUAUUUAAACCAUCUUUAUCAAAAGUGUUUAAAUAAAAAUAAGUUUUUUGAAAAAUACUUUUUUCUUAAGUCAAUCCAAGCGGACCCAAAACAUGUUUAAGGGUUUUUCUUCAGCAUGUUUUUCACCCGUUGAUAUAUGGUUGUGUCAAUAGUGUCUAAUAGUGAUGGGAUAUUCCCUAAUUUUAUAUUUUUUGAAUUCCAUACUACCUAUUUGAAAUGUUACUAGAUUUAAAGAUCCAGAGUUUUUAGAAAUGGAGUACAAUGGUUGCUAGUGCUUAUCUUAAAUAUUCUGCCCAGAUAUCUCCUGAGGACAUCCAAUGGGUUGAUGAAGAUCCUGGAAUCCCACAUAGAGGUGGUUAUGGUGGAUCAGGUCAUGGAAUGAACCGAUCUGUAGGCCGUGAUGGUUCUGGUGCAGGUAGAGGUAGAGGAGUCCCCAAGUCCCAAUCCAGAAAAGAUUUCUUGCCAUCUCAAAAUGGUAUUGGCAAGAAGACAUCCGACGAUAUACGGAUACUCCACACAGAAACUCUAAUUAGAGAGGUACAAACACUGUGGAUUUAUUAUUUUGACCUUUAUGAAUUUGCUGUCUUUCUAGUGUCCAUGAACUCUUUUUCCUUCAUUUGGUUAGCUGGAGAGUUUUUGGUUCAAGCACUGUGGAUUUAUUCUUUUGAUCUUUAUGAAUUUACUGUCUUUCUAGUGUCCAUAAACUUUUUUUCCUUUCUGCUGGUUAGGUGGAGAGAGUCUUUGGUUCAAAUCAUCCUGAUCCCGUUGAAAUUGAAAGGGCAAAGAAAGUUCUUAAUGUAAGAAGCAUUAGAUGCACCUGCAGUCUUUCAUUCUAUUCCAUUACCUUUUUAAUCAAUAUACUAACUUACUCUGUCCAGGACCAUGAACAAUCACUUAUUGAUGCUAUUAAUAAGCUUGGAGAUAUUUCUGAAGUAGGAAGCGGUAAAUUUCAUAUCAAUCUCAGCCAAUGCUUUUCGUUUUUUUAUUUCCCAUGCUUGUCAACUCAGUCACUUAGAACAGUCCACAAUAAUACCAGCCUUAAAAUCUUAGGAAUUCUGACUAUUGGGCACCUGAAUUUGUUCAUUCUCUCUUGGUGGUUUACAUUCUUGAGUUCAACACAUUCAUGAAUUGUAACUCUACAUUCCUUGAUACCCUAUCUGGUUUGGUUGCUUUUAUAACAGACGAAGGUGGCCACCGGUUCUCGCAUGGGCAAUCUAUGGACCGGGAAUAACAACAGUUUCAAAACGAAGGUGGUUCACUCAGUAAGAGCAUCCUUUUGGUAAAAAAAAAAAGACGACGGGAUGUGGUAAGCAACUUUUGAGUUAAAUGGGGAGUUGACCCUAAAACUCUCAAGGGCCUUUUCCUGUAAAAUAUAGGAGAAUUGAGAUGAAUGUUCCCUCGCUUAGGUUAACUAUGGGGUUUUUGUUCUAUUAGCAUAGAGAUGGUUCUUAGGAGGAUGGGGUGGGGUUGGUUGUUUUCUUCUUUUCUUCUUAUUAUUCUCCCUUUUUUUGUUGGCAAUGGUAAGAAUUAACAUAGGAAGGCUGAUGAUACUUGUGUAACAUUAUUUGAAUAGUGAUUUAAGAUGUGACCCAUGUAUAAACUUUUAAGAAUUUGUUUGGUUUAGAAAAAGCUAAACUUUACCUACUAACAACUAAUGAAAGUUAAUUCAAAAGAUAGUUGAAAUAAAACAUUAAGUUAACAUCAGUUUUUAUCAUCAAAGAUCACACUCUUGUACUUGGAACAAAAUGGUUCUCUUUAAUCAAUGGUCCAGAUCUUUCCAAUUAAUUAGUAGGUCAAAAUAGAUUGAAUUUACCCAUUAAAAGAGUUUCUAAUUUGAUCUAACAAUAUGGAUGGUUAACUAGAUUUUGGAUGUUAAAGAGAAAAUAUUGCCCAACUUUCUCGUGUAACAAAUUAGAAGUUAAGAAAAAAUAAUUAAAUGCAAUACAGAUAUGACACUGCAGAUUGCGACCUAUUAGUAUACACAAACAAUACAGAUCUUCAUCGUUUAGACUUUUUUCUAGGCCUCUUGAGAGGUUCUUUUCCACCCCCUUCUCUGGCUCUUUUUAUUGGUGUUGGGGGUUCUGCUUCUGCUGCCUUCUUAGGCGGUCGACCUACACUGCGCUUGGAAGGGCUGGCAUCCUCUUUUGGGCGCUUCCUGUCAUUGCUUUGCUUCAUCGUUGUCGACACUCUCUCUUUUCCUUUCUCAUUUUUGCUACUACCCUUCUUUUGUUCCGGAGUCGCAUUACUGACACCGCCACUGCUUCCACCUCUGCCAUUCCUCUUUGUAGUCUCUGCAGGCGAGUUCUGCUUGAUCCUCUUCAAGAAAUCUGCUGCACUACGCUUCUUUUCCAGCGCUACUGUCUCAGAUUUCUUCUUAUCUGGUGUUGGUAUCUCGGUUUCAUUGGCUGAACUGGGUUUCCAUCUGGAAGUUAUAUUCUGUUUCUUGCUGCUACUAGGGCCGCUGGAGUUUGUGGCACUAUCAUUGCUCCUUCUCAUACUCCUGGCUCCAGUUGUGGGCUUCUCUUUGACCUUGCUAUCCUUUGUAGUAUCCUCGUCUUCAACAAGAUUUGAAGCGGUUUUGAUACUUGAUUUUAGAUCAGCAGCUGGUUUCUCAUCAUCAUUGCUCCGCUCACCUUUUUCACCAACACCAGUCGUUGAAGGGUUAGAAAUCUUGCUUCUUUUCCUACAAACUACUAUAGGUACAGAGGACUUCUGCUUGGCAAGUAAGGACUGUGACCCUUCAAGAUCAGGACCCUUGGAUCGAGAAGGAAUCGUUGGGGACGAAUCCACUACUUCAGGCAAAGGGUCAGUCUGAGCAAUCCGCAAACUCUUCUUCAUUUCAUUGGAUAUGAGAAGACGGAGUUCACAAGCGGCUACCGCUUCCUUUGAGGAUUUGGGGAAGAAGGUAACCACAUUAUUGAAAAGAAGCAAGAGAUCUCGGUAAAACGCAAGGUUGGAUGAUGAAUAAGAGCCAGAAGUGAUCUUGCUUUGAACUAUUUCCAAGUCCAAAUGCUGCCGGACCAUCCCCUUGUACUCUUCCGUUUCCUGCACGAAAAAUCAUGGUGGGCUGCUUAACAGAUCCGACCCAAUUGGUCAAAGCGUCAAAAGCACUUGAUUGAAAUACACCACCUUUCCUACUUGCCAACUUUUAUUUUAUUUUUCUUGGUCUAGAAUAAUUACCACAGAAGAUCACAAGGAAAGGCUGGAAUUGUGUUAGUUUAUACAUAAAAGAACUAAAAUUAUAAUAAUAUUUUAAGGGCAACACCCACAUAUUCAGGUCUGUCUUGACCCUUAAAAGGAAAUAGAACAUGAAAAGGCUACAGACAGAAAAUGGUUGAUGACUCAGCUGGGUGGGGUUAACGAGGGCCCUAUCAACCAUGGGAAUGGCCUAAGUUAUUUUGAUAUUAAUCGCUACCCAAAAAGUACAUCCUAUACGCCGGGACAAAAUACUAUCUCUUCAUGGCCCUUCGAAAUAGGGUUUUUUUCUUCUUCCAAAUUUAAAUAACAAUAACAAUAAUAAUCCACAGGUUAAACUUUCCCAUUCAAAAUAAUAAAAUUUCUGUUGAAAACAAAUUUUAUUUUUUUAAAACAGGUUUGAAACCUAUAAUAAUGUUGAACCAACUAAUUGACUCUAGAGUGUUCUUUAAAAUUAUAAAACAAUUAUACACAUAUAUGAUAUACCGAACCAUAGAAUUUUCCAGAACGUUGUAACAAAUGUAAUGGCCAAGAAAUGUGUAUUGGACUCUCGUGAUGACUUUAAAUUUACCAAACCAAAUACUACACAUCAAUUUUAUUUAUAGAUUUGGGGGGAAGAAUAAAAAACUUAAAAUAGAAGGAAGGAAGGAGACGUGCACAAUAAUAAUUUUCAUUUUCACUUGAGUAUUAAAAAUGAGCAUAUUCCAUUUCGGGCUAAAAAUUUGGGCCCACAAUACAAAAAUCUCACAGAAUUUGUUGAUAAGAAAACGGUUUAUCCAAAAAUUAUCUUAGUAUUGAACCCAAAAAAAACUCUAAUUAUCUAUCAAUUAUUCAGCAAAGCGUAUAGUAAUAAACAUAAAUAAUAUAUUGUUUUUAAAAAAAUCCAAAACAAAAGUUAGCAAUGAAAAGCAACGUGGAUCGAAGCUUUUAAACGAAUGGUCCCCUUUUUUCUUUUUUAUUUUUCUUCUUCUUCUUUAUUUAUUUAUUUAUUUAUUUAUUUGCAAUUGGAAAUGGUCCAAAUUUAUUGGUCGUAAAGCUUUUAAUAGAUUUGGAUCAAUAUCUUCAAAUCAAUUUUUGUGUUAAGAAUCUUCAAAAUAACAAAAAUCAACCAAAUAUUUAGUAUUUAAUUACUAUUUCUAUAACAUAAAUUUUAACCUUAAAUUUUUUAUAUUUAUUAUACGUUUUUUUUAUAAGAAAAAUGCUUUGAUUUAGACAAUUUAGUGACAAAUCCUAUCAAAUUUUAAUGUUUUUAUUCCUAACUUUAAAGUAAAAAAUGUUUUGUAUUGGAAUUGGAUUGUUAGGAUUAUUUUUAAGACUAAUUUAAUUUAUAUAAUUAAGAACCUGAUUAUUUAUUUUAUUAUUGAAAAAAAAAAAAAAGAAAGAGAAAAAUGAAGAAAUGUUACCUGACUUUGAAGACGAGAUUCGAAUAAGGAGCCAUGUUUGUGCGCUCGUAUCAACUGUAGAACCUCGUCGAACCGUCGGGACUUAAUCCCUACCGACCGGCGAGGUUCAUUGCCGCUACUACCGCCGGAGAUCUCCUUCCUGAGGAGUCUCUUGCUCUUCAUCCUACCCGUCAAACUCGCCGAGCUCUGUACUUCGCUGCUCUCUCUUGUCGUCGUGCCCCCGCCAUGUGACUGAGCCUCCGAGUCGGCUAACUCGGACGAAUCGUCGACGCGUUGCGUUUCCUUUUUUUUUGUCUCUGAUAUGUCACACGUCGGGUUUUUAACCACAGUAUCCGUACUGCCGUCAUCCGACUGUGGACCGGCUGGUUCGGAGGUUCCCCGGUUCUGUUCUGGUCUAUAUGAGCCGGCGAAAUCCGGUUUAGUUUCGGAUUUGGCGAUUUCGGCUGUGCUUUUACGAUUGCCGCUUUUAGAACCAGUGGAAUUGGAUUGGUUUACAGAGAAAUUUUCCCGGUCGGAAUCUUCUCCAGGAACCGCCGGCGGCUUCGUGACUGUUCCGUUUGGUCCGGACCGAUGGUCUGGUUCUCCGAAGUGUUUUUUGUCGUUUUCUGAUCGUCGCUCUCUGGACUCCGUUUUUAGAUCUGGUUUUCCAGUGCUGGCCUCUCUAUCGUUCACGCCUUGUUCUCGCUCCUCCUCCAAUUUCUUGACCUUCAACUGCAACGAGCUGCCGAAAAUCUCAAUACGAUUAACUCAGAUCUGAAAAUUUCAAGACAAAAAAAGAAAAAAAAGAAAAAGAAAAAAGAAAGAAAAAUCAACAAAACCGAUAGAGAUUUACUUGAUUGAAACAUCAUAACGCUGGACCUCUCGUCGAAGUUCGGCAACGCGGAGUUUCCUCAACUCAUCAACCCAAGGUAAGGCGGUAUCAAGCUUAUCGGCAAUUCCAGAGGCGUUGUGAUUCAAAACGGCGUCGUUUUGAAAAGAAGUAAAUCGUCGUUUAAGGUCUUGAAAUUUAAGUUCGCAGUUACGAGCGGUGGUUAAGAGAGGAGGAAGAGAAGAACGAUUCUGAAGUUCCAUGGAUACGGAAUUCCAGUCCUUAAAUCCAUGGCGCUUGACUGCACAAGCGAGUAAAAGCUCCUCCAAUGUCCCCCAUGUAGCGGUGAUCUGUUCACUGUCCGCCAUUAGAUUACAACAGCAUAGAGAUUCCCGAUUGAUUAAGCAGUGUUGUUUGUCAUCCUUUGAAUUCUGUUUUCCCUCUUAGAAUUUUUCAAAAAAAAAAAAACAAAAAAAAAAAAGAAUCAUAGAGAAAGAGAAACAAAAAGGGAAAAUUCUUCCAUUAGAUACAGAAGUUUGUUAUUAGGGUUUCUUUGUUUCUGCUUCGUAUUCUUUCUUUUCCUCUGCGGCUUUGAAGCCAACAAAAAAAAAAAUUAAUAAAAAUCCCAAACCAGUUUUUUUUUUUAAAAAAAAAAAGGAUUUUAAUGUGGUUUUGGUUUGGCUUUUAUAUGUAAAUUUGUUUUGGGGGUUCGUUCAAUUCAAUUUGGGCCUCUGAUCUCUCUCAAGCACGCAAUUUGGUUCGUGAAUAUAUUUGUUUUUACGUAAAUACCCUCAUAAUUUUAUUAAUAUUACACCCUUUUUGUCCUCCUCCUCCUCCAAUUCAAUUUCAAAUUAUAUCAAAUAUAAGCCAACGUAGCGGCGUUCCCUAAUUCCCCCUUUUCCUUUAUGUCCCUUUAUCUCUUCUCCCCCCCCCCAUUUUAUUUAUUUAUUGUUAUUCUUUUUAUUUUACUUACUCUAACUUUAAAACAUUCUUUUAAAAUCAUUUUAAACAUAUUAGCCCCACUAUCAUACACCUUAUAGUAAUAUUGUAAGAUAGCUGGACAAAAUUAGUCAUUUUAUAAGAUUAUAAUUGAAAAUGUGAAGAUUAAAAUCCAACAUAUUUUUGGAACAAAAUUUAAAGUUUUGAUAUAAAUAUAGAAAAAAAUCAAAAGCUUAGAGGUAUAAUUGAGUAGCUUAUACAAUUUAACAUUUUCGUUUUCUUUUUCUAAAAUUUUACCAAAUAUGACUUCCUACUUCCUUUUCCCUCUAAUAUUUUUGUUGUCUCAUAUAUAUUUUUUAGUUGUAUUUUUCAAUAAUGGUGAAAAUAGAGAUCAAAUCAUUCGUUUUUUAAAUAAUAAAAUAUUUUUUUAUGUAUGUGCAUUUGGUUCAUGUUUCAAUGUGUUUUCAAUCCACCAUUUUUAAUAUAGAACGGUUAAAAAAGUUUUAAUUAAUACUAUGAUUAGAAGUGUCAAUUCAUCCUAUAAUUCAAACACUUAACUAUUCUAGUUGCUAAUUUGGUUGAUUGGAAGAGAUAAAGAAAAGUGAUGCGUAGAUUAUGAGGCUAAGUAGCACAAUGGGAAUGUAGAAUCAAUACUUAUGCCUCUGCUAUGUAAUUAUUUCAAUUAGUAUAAAUUAUUUUUAUUUUCUUUGACAUUGAAAGAUUCCAAAGAAAUUUUCAAGAGGAUUCUUCUGAGUUGAAAGAUUUAAAAGGUGAGUUUUAUUAUUUUAAAUAAUUAUUAAACAUUUUAAGUUAGAAAAAUAAUUUUAUCCAUAUAUAUAUUUCCUCUAAACUUGUUUUUUUCUAAUUUAUUUUGGAAUUGAAGAAUAUGCCCCCAAGGUUUUCUUAUAUUUUCUUUAGUUUUAGUUGCAAAAUUUAUUCUUCAUUUUGAACGAACAAAGAAAGAAGAAGUCGUUGCCAUUAUUUUUAUGCCUCCAAACUCCCACUCACUCAUUUCAAAAAAGGGUACGAGAGUUGACAAGCGUUGUCAUAUAUUGAAACCGCUUACCAAUUAAUCAAGACAACUAUCAAGUUACCUCAACUUGUGGCUCAAUCCUCUCGGCUUAAAUAUUCUUCCAAACUCCUCUUGCUUGAAAAUAAUCAUAUUUUACCUCUAAUAAGUCUUUUAAAUCCAAAAAAUAUCCAAACUUCAAGCAAAAGUUGCCAAAAUACUCAAAAGGCCUAAGAAUUGUAGGUGGGUUGGGCUAACAUGCAGUCAUGGGCGGUAGAGAAAUUUGUGCACGUGCAAGGCCUUGGUAGCGUGCUAGUCACCAGCCAUGCAGCCAUAUUGCUGCUCGCUCUACCCCGUCGCGCAUCCCCCUAAAGGGAUAACACUUAAGCUAUUAUUAAUUCUUACUAACCUUUCAUUUAUUAUUUAGCCUACUUUAGGGUAAAAUAGGUAUGGAGUUUUACAUUAUUUGACUAAAAUGUUGUACGGUCAGGGGAGCUAUCUCAUUAGAUUGAUGGAUGUAUGAAUAAGUUGACUAGACAAUUAAGAAUGCAUAUACAUACAUACACACAUAUAUAGAAACAUGUUUCAAAUUUGACGUAGAUAGUUUACAUGAGAGCCACGUGUUAUAUGAUGCGUAUUAAAAUAAAAGAUGCUUAAAGUUUUUACUAUAUAAACACAUUCAUUUUGAUUAAAACGACAAAAUAUACAAUUUUAACUAUUAUAAAAAGUAGUUCCUUUCAUGCAAAUUUAGUUUGAGGUUGACGUAACUUUUCAAAUAGUUACUGUAAAUAAUAAUUUUGAUAAAUUAAGUGCAUACUCGUCAUCAUCUAAAAAAUAGUUUUGUGUUUAAAAAAAAAUCCACAAUUUUUUGUUGACGAAAAUUAACCUAAUUCAUCCACUUAUUAUAAGAUAAUUACUGAUAUAUUUAUGAAAUUUAUAUGAGAAGCAACUUUGUUAAUAUAAAUUUAAAAAAUGAAUAGAUCUAAAUUUGAUUGAUACAAGAGAAUAGUAUUGAAAAUAUGUGAAGUGAUAGGGUUUAGAUUCUUAAAAUUUAUUCAAUUUGUAAGAAACUUGGUAUAGAGUGAUUUUGAAAAGAGAUUCUUUGUACUAUUAGUGAAGUUUGAAAAGAAUUUGUUCUUAGAACGAAGAUACUAUUCAUAGCAUUUAAACAUCUUUUGUUAGUAGUCACUCUAAUUUAAAAAAAAAAAAAAAAUUAGGUCACUUUUAAUUUUGAAAAAUGAACUUUUAUGGGGCAAGUAUCUAUGAACUCAAAUAAUAUCAUAUAUCACAUAAUAAAAAUAAUGUGUUAAUUGAUAAAGAAAAGAAAUAUGUAUUAUAACGAUAUUAAAAAAGUUUUAAAAAAUGUAGCUAAAGUAAAUUUAGUUCAACCGUAAUCGACAUAAUAUCAUAUUCGAGAUUGAAGUUUCAAAUACCCAAUCCUCCAUUGUUGGACUUCAAUAUACUAUUCUUUACAUCUAAUUUUGUUACUAACUGUUGGAAAUUACUUGGGCUUCAGGUCCAUGGCAAAAGAAGGAGAUAUCUUGAAAGAAAGAACGUGGUAUUGUACCACGUUGCGGUGAUAGUAUAACAGUUGAGUUUGGAUAUUUAUGCUUAUGCAAAAAAUCAAAUAAACUCAAUUUUUAAAGAAUUGAAACAUACAUUUAAUAAGAUUAGAGAUUAAAAUUGAAAGGUGAACUAGAGAUUUAAACAAUCCGUGCAUGUACAUCCUCCAAUUUUUUAUUCACGUUUUUCAAGACAACGACUUUAUGAGAUAUAUUCCGCUUAAAGUUAUAAGGUCGAGAAUGUUCUCUUGUUUUAUUAGUAGGGUGUGUAUACGUUGACUAAACAUUAACGAUUAAAGAAUAUACAUGUAUAUAUAUAGAAACAUGUUUCAAAUUUGAGUUGGUAGUUUACAUGCAGGCCAUGUGUUACGUAAUACGCAUUUAAAUAAAAGGAGUUAAAUUUUUACCAUUUAAAAACAUUCAUUUGGAUUACGACAAACAAAAUAUAUCAUUACAAUGCGACGAGGAGUACCUCAUUUUGAUGUAAAUUUAGUUUGAUAUUGAUGUAGCUUUUUAAAUAGUUGGUAUGAAUGAAUGAUGUGUGGUAAUUAAAUUAAAUAUCUUCUUAAAAAACAAAUAUACAUACAAAAAAUAACAUGGGUUUAUUUUUCUCAUUUUCGAGUUCUCGAUAUUCUAUGUUGCAAUGAAAAUUGAAGUGUUCGACUUCAAACCUGAAUGCAACAAGAGAUAUGAAUCAUGAUUUUUUGAAAUAGUCAUAGAUGACGUCUCUCGACUAUUAAAUGGAGAAAAAUAGGUGUUAAAUAUAUUUUUACAAGCACGGACUAGAUAAAGAUUUGAUUUGAGGUUGAAGGACAACUCGAAUUUAGAGAUUUAUAGAUUUUUCACGAAUAGUAAUGAAGUUGACGAUUUAAACAUCUUCUAACUAUAUUGUCCACAAUUUUUGUAGUUGAAUGUUCAAUCUUCCAUCCCACAAGUUUUAUACUAAAAAAAACUAGAUUUGAGUUUAAGAGAAUUAAACUAAUUUGGCGCAAAUACAAUUUAUGUUUCAUUAUUCCAUAAAUAAUUAAUAAACUCGGCCCAUGAGAUGGCCCAGGUUAAGAAAGCUAACGGACUUCUAAAAUUAGAGGCACAAGCCCAUUUGAGGCCCAAAACCAAUGUUCUUACUCGUGGACCUAAAUCACCUACUAGAAUGAUUUAUCCAACUGUCGAACGACGUCGUUAUUCAUACCGUAUAGGCAUAUAAGAACCCGAAUUGUAUGUGAAUUCAAUUUAAGUACAAUUUGAACAAUUAUAGAGAGUUACCUUCAUAAAUUAGGUUUGACUAAUAAGCAAAGAUAAUCCAAUAUCAACUUUGAUUAAAACAUCCACCAUUGGAGCAUAGAGUUUUACUUUAAAAGAAAAGGAAAAAAAAAAAUUGAAAAGCCAAGGUUGACUUGAUCCUCCACCAUUACCCACUACAAACACCUUAUGGCCUAACAUUUAAAUCUAACAUCAAUACGAUUAUUAUCAAUAUUAUAAACAUAUAACUACAACAUAUUCAUAUCAAAAUUAAUUAUUAAUCUAAAAGUACUUUGAUGUUUUUAACCUAUGCUUUCCAAGAUUAAAUUAUAUUUAUUAUUAUAAUGGAAGGGAGUCAAUAUUUCUUUCUUUCAAGAAAAUGGAAAGAUUUCAUUACUCUUUAAAUAAUAUUUUUAAAAAGGAAAAGUAAUUAUUUAUUAUUUAUUUCGGGAAAAGGAAUAUUUCUGAAUUAUUUUUGUGAAAUUUAUAAUUGACAAAUUAAUACGACUCGAUCUUUGCUUAGAAUGUUUAGUCAAUUCUUGCCGUAUUUGACUAUCUAACCAUAUAAAAUCACACUUACCCUAACCCCAUUCUUAUCCAACUUAGGCCAAACUUUGUGUCCCCAAAAUUACAUUCAAUUCCAAUCAAAGUUACCGAAUAAAUCUAUUUUUACGGGUAAAAUGUUUCAUUUACGUCAAAUUCAGUUGAGCUACGUGAAAAUUUUAAAUAUGUUGUGUUCUUUAUUGAAUUUUUUAUUUAUACUUAAUUGAAGUCUAAUAAAAAUUAAUUGUCUCCACUAGUACACAAAGGAAUGAUAAAGUAAGGAAACUUUUUACUUAGAUAAUGAAAUUUAGUUGUGAUAAAUGACGGAAGAAUUCCUCAAUCAUAAAUCAAAUGUCCAAAUUCAAAUGAUACAACUAUUUUAAUUAGUAUGACUAAAGUUUUGCUUUUAUUUUAUGAAAUAUAUACUUUUGAGACAAGUUGAUAAACUGUCAAAUCUUUAUUAGUCCAUCUCAUUCCAUUCAUACUUAAUGCAAAUAAUACAAACAUAUAUGUUUAUAAAAUAGUUAUUACUUUAAAUUUUAUUUUUCUUCGUAAAAUUAUUUGCGACCAAGGGAGACAAAUGCAAUUUUUUUUUCUUUGGAAUGGAGGUUCAAACGACAACUUAUUAUUAGUAGAUUCGGAAACGAAAAUUGAAAAUAUAAUUAAUUUAAAAGUGUAUGAAUCAAAUUGGAUGGUAGCUAUUUACAUGGUCAUUAAAAUUUAUGGAAAAAAAGUGUUUUCGUUUUCUAGAAUAUUUGGAUGGCCAUGAUUUUAAAAACAAAAAUUGGCCUUUUCUUUUAAGUUAUUGCAAUUUUUUUCCAAUUCAUAGGCAUAAAUAAUAAUAAUAAGUAACAAUAAUAUAUUAUUAUGAUUAUUUUACUUUGAAUGUUUAAUGUUAAUCCACCAAAACCCCAACUACCACCAUUGGUUUAUCUCUUGACUUUUCUUUUUCAAUUAUGUAUAUAUUAAAGAGUAAAAAAAGUUGAAUUCUUUUUCUUAGGUCAUUUGCAUUGUGGAAUUUUCCUUUUUCUUGCAAAGAUUCAACGGAUAAAGAAAGGAAGCAUAAUUUUAUAAAGUUUUUUUGAAAAAGAAAAAAAGAGGAGUCAAAAUAGGAACUUUUUUAAUAAAAAGAAAAUCCAAUUCUAAUUUUCUAAUCUCAAUGAUUAUGCAAAAUUACUUUUGGAAUUGCCUUCCAAUUUCCACGGCCACAUCGCUAUUAAAUAUGUGGUAUAUAAUCAAUUCAAACAUAAAUUGUAGUAGAUAUCAAUUUUGUUUUUCAAAAUUUUUUAUAGCCCUAUCCAAAUUUUUAAAAAGUUCAUUUAUGUUUAGCUACUUAAUUAGAUUUUUUCAAAUCAACAUGAAAAAAAACUUAUUUUACCUUUUCUUUUUCUGUUUAGACAAAUGGUUUUAAUUUAUUGAGCUAAUUUAAAAUUCACACUUGUAUGAAAAGUCAAAGACAAUAUUUAAGUAAGUUUUUAAAACAUACUUUGAUCAACUAUAUAAUAUGACAUACAAUAUCUUAUGUACAUAAACAUUAGAGACAACCUUUUUCUUUUUUAAUUAAAAAUCAUAUUUAACAAAUCUUCAUAGUCUAAUCACUUAUAUUGAGAUAAGAUUAAAAGUUUUAAAUUUGUGAGCCUAUAUUUAGUUGAAUGAUGGGCAAAAUUUAAAUUAAUUAAUGGUAUAGUAUUAGUAUAUAUGAGGACUACUUUAUAUAGUUUAAUAAAAAUGAUGUGUGUGUGUGUGUGUGUGUGUAUUGGUUGGGUUUUUCAAGGGGAGCAUAGUGCAUGCGCAAGCUCUUCUUUUUCGUGCAAAUCUUUGGCCUUAUCCAAACUCCUAAAAGCGAAAUGAAAUUGCUUUUGCUUUCUUCAAAAAGCAAUUUUGGUAUAUGCCCCUAAACCUUAAAUAUAUACAACACAUUAUGCUUCUAAUCAAAUGUCAUAAUCUUCCUCUUAAAUUUUACUUUCUUUCUUUCUUUCUUUUGGUUUAUAUUUGUUUUCUCUCCCUCCCUUUCUAUGAAAUUUCUUGGAAAAGAACGAAAUUUUCCUCCGACUUUUUUUAUCCCUAAAAAGUCUAAUAGUUUUACUAAUUGGUGUUCCAAUCAAAAAUUUAGAAAACAUGUUGAAUGUGUUGUUUAAUUUGAAGUUCAUAUUUUAAUUAUUGAUCCGUAGCUGUUGGACACUAUGAUUGGUAUUGUUGUCACGAUAAGAUCAUUAUGCUUUGUGAAAGAAUGGUUUUUUUUCUUUUUUCUUUUUUUUUGUAUAUGAAUCGUCUAUUUGGUUAGUACUUGAGUAGACUUUCUUUCAUUGCUGACUCAAAAGGAUAUAACAACAUUUUCUUAUGGUACGUAUUUGAUUGUGUAAGAGUUCGUCAUGUGCAAAUGGAAGGGAGUGAAGAAAUUAAAGUUGAUUUUUUGAAUACACAAAAACUCUACAACAACCUAGAGUUUAUUGCCUUAUUGCCUCAUUCUUUUUAUUAAGUUCUUACUAAUGAUAUCGAUAGUUUUGAACUUGACCUAAAAGCAUCUAAUUUAAAAAAUAUUUACGAUGAUAACAUUACAUACUUAGAUUAAAGUGGAAAGGAAAGUAACAGAUUUAGAUUAAAUAAGUUGCGAUUAAGUUAAAUAGUAAUGAAUUAGAUUUUAGCAAUUAGAAGAAGUAUAUUUGAAGGAUUUAGGAAAGUGGACCUAAAGAAUGAGAUUGAAUUUGAAUAGGGAUAGUGACACAAUAAAGAAA